UUUUGUUUUUUUUUUUUUUUGUUAUUUGCACUCUUACCAUUUGUUUUAUCAUAUAAUCUAAUAUAUAAAAAAUUAUAUUAUUAAAAUGAUAACGAGAGUGUGAUAAGCAAAAAAAAAAAUAGAAGUGUAAAUAAUAUUUUUUGCGCAGUAAUUUCUAAUUAGUUCUAUUCAACAUAUAGUACAGGGAAGGGUGCUUGCUACUGUAGUUGCCAAACACUCGAGGAAAUGUGUUAUGUGGGUUUCUAUCUUUUGGUUUAUAUGCGUCACAUAUAUUUGCUAACAAGUUCAAAAGCCAAUAUCGUUGUAGAAGUUUGUCAGAGAGAAGAAGACUAGAAAGAAAGAAAGAAAGCUAUUAGAACAAAAAUUUUCUUUUACAGGAGGGAUUUUAGAUUCUUGUAACAUAUACAAAAAUCAAAUUUUAUAUUUGAAUAGAAAUCAUGCGUCAUGUAUCAACAAAUGCUACUUUUGGAAAUUUUUUUAGAUGGCGCAGAAAAAAUUAAGGGAAAAUGGCUAAAUUCGUCCCUAAAUUUUUUAUUAAUGUCAAUUUAAUCCCUAACUUUUGUUUUCAGCCAAUUUGAUCCCUAAACUUAUAUUAUGAUUUCAAUUAAGGAUCUCUACGGCAGAAUCACCACGGAAAAUAGAUUAAACUCCACAUUGACCAAUUAAACAUGGGUAUUUUAGGAAUUUUUAGAUAUCCCCUUCCUCUAUUAUCAAUUCCUACGGCCUACCAGCCACCUCCCCCUUCUACUCCUACCUUUCUUCUCCAACCUCUCCAUUCCCUCCAUCUAUCAUGUCCAUCAUCUUUGUUGCAGCCCAAAACACAAUCCUUCUUACAUUGAAGAAGAGGCUUCCUUUGUCAAAAGAGAUAGCAGUAAAAGCUUCUCUCUUUCUUGCUUCUACACAACUAUAGCCAUGCCAAGUUCAAAGCAGGAAUCAAGGUUUAUCCCAAGCAGCCAUCAAAAUGACUUUUGUUGUGGUGGAUGAUGAGUGUUAGGCGAAGCCAUGAAAUCCUUGUUAGUUUCUUGGGAAAUUUUGGCCUUGCUGAACUUGUACACUGCAAAAAUAAUAUGGAUACAUUGAAAUAAAGUUUUUCGUAGCUUUGGGUAUAAGCGAUACAUCAAAUCUUGCCUCCAGUUUUUACAUAUAUCAUGUUGUCUUGUAAUUUGAUUUUUGAAUUUUGCCGGAAUGUUCUUGCUAUCUAUGAACAUGCCCUUUUUCUUCCAUGGACGGAGGAUAAAAAUGAAUUUAAAAAAAAAAGAGAAUUUACUCUUCACUCUCCAUCCAAUCCACCAUUUUUGGUACUGCUCCUAUAUUUGAUUUUGUUAAUAUAAUGCUUACAAAACUCAAAUUACUACUACUACUUGUCUGUAGAGAAUCACUGGAUUAGAUCCACCUUAAUCAACAAAAUCAUUACUAAUGAUUACCAAAAAAACAACAUACUUCAUCAUGUCUUGAUCUUCACUAGAACAGAUCCGAUACUUACCCAACAUCUAGAUUUGGGGCAUCAUAUGGUUUCGGCUUCACCCAAUUCAAGGGAGUCUCUUUGCUUAGUUUUUGGAAUAUCUUGGCCCUCAAAUCCCUCCCAAACUCUACCUUCUCUCCAUCAUUGGCUCCUCUUCGCACCCUUCUCCGUCCCAGAAGUCAAAGUAUCGCAUCUUGUUCCUGAUCGAUUCUUAGUUGCAAAAUUUAUAGAGAUGACUGACAUAACAGAGAGAGGAGCAAAAGAUGUGGGAGAAGAAGGGUGAGAGAAGGAGGAGGUAGGUGGCAGGUGGUGGAAAUUGAUGGUGCAAGGAGGACAUAUCAAAAGUUCCUAAAAUACCCCUGUUUAGUUGAUAAAUUAGGAGUUUGAUUUAUUUUUUGUGGUGGUGUGGCCGUAGAGAUCCUUAAUUGAAAUCAUAAUAUAAGUUUAGGGAUCAAAUUGGCCGAAAACAAAAGUCAGGGAUUAAAUCGACAUUAACAAAAAGUUUAGGAAUGAAUUUGGCCAUUUUCCCAAAAAUUAAUCCUAGAAAUCUUUUUUCUUCUUCUAACCUCUUAUUUGACACCCAAUUGUUGUUCUAUUGGGCCAGGUUGAUGUCACAUUGUGCAAAUUCAUAUCUCACCUUGUAGGCCCAUCGACCCAACUCUAAUACCAUUGUGGCAGCAAUAGCAUAGUGUAGAAAUACCCAAUUCACUCUCUCUCUCUCUCCCUCCCUCUCUCUCUUCUGGGUUUUUGAGUUUAGAGCCCAGAGGAAGGAAACCUUACAUGUACACCUAAUAGUGUGACAAGCACAUAUAUUGUUUUACAAAUGAUUAUACACUCGUGCGUAUAAAUACACAUAGGAUGUGUAUAAAGAUGCAUAAGUUAAGUAUUAUUUUCAGGAGUCACGGUCCUCGUCACCACCUUCUAUUACCAUUUGAUAAGAAUACACUUCUCAAUUCAAUGCAACGUUGCUUUUUUCGCUCACCCCAAAAAUCAUAUUUCUUUGCACGGAAAAGACAUUUAUGGAGUAUUUUAUACACAUAACCCAAGAUGCUAUUCUUUCUUGACUCGUACCAUGCCAAACAUGCCAAUUAGGAUAAACAAGUAGAGGCUGCAAAUCUAGGUAAUCAUUGUACGAUUAUGGGCAAAAGUUAAAAACUUGGAUAAAUUAGAUCUUGUAAACUUAGUGAUUCAAAUUUUAUCAAAUAUUUGAAUAUUUGAGCCGGAGAGAUCGUACAGCAAAUUUUAAACUACUAAAUUUACAUAGACCGGAUCUAUUCAAGUGUUUGUUCGGGCCAAAUGCGACCAAUAACAUGAAUUUAGCUUCAUUGUCUAUUUCUACAUCAGUUGGCAACAAUCAAAGCUCUAAAAGCGAAAUAAAUAUAUCAGGUUUUGGUUCGAUGGGAACGGAAUCAACAUCAAUUAUUGAAAAGUUUACAAAAAAACCGCAUCUUACCCUUUGUCCUUCCUCUUCCUUGGAAAUAACAUCCAUCACCCCACCCUCCCAUCCGCCUUGCCCCACUUGGAAAUAACCUUAAAAGGACCGAAAAUAGUAGUAGUCUCAGAAUAUUUCUUGCAGACUAAACCCUGAUUUCCAUCUUAGGGAGAGCUCCCAAGAAGCAUCUACUAUUUCGUAAAAUUUGUUCCGACCUCUAAAACUGUAAUGAAUACGAACGUGAUCUCAAGCUUCAUAGCCAUAGCAACUUCCAUCUCCUUCCUCCUCCUCUCACCCCCAUCAAAGUCCUUUUAUCAUUCCUUGUUCUUAUCUGAUUCCCUUUCAUGCAAUCAAUCAAUAGCAAACCACCUCUACAUCCUAACCAAGCGGCCUCAUGUUGCUGGGUCCGAAGCCAAUGCCGAAGCAGCGGCUUAUGUUCUAUCCACCCUCACUUCCUAUAAGGUUCGAUCACAUAUAACAACCUAUGAAGUUGCCUUAACUUAUCCCAUCUCACGUUCCUUGACCCUAAAACCUACUCCUCAAGACAGCCCCGUCAAGUUCGAUCUCCACCAAGAGAUUUACGACGGUGAUCCUUAUGCCGACGUGGCAGACGAAGUCCUACCGACGUUCCACGCAUAUGCCAAGUCUGGCACUGUAGCUGGACCCGUAGUAUAUGCCAAUUACGGGCGCGUACAGGACUAUGCUGUAUUGAAGCAAAUGAAAGUAAAUGUGUCAGGGAAUGUUGUAUUGGCAAAGUAUGGAAAGAUAUACAGGGGGGACAUUGUGGAAAAUGCUUAUGCAGAAGGUGCUAUAGGUGUAUUAAUUUACACAGAUAGGAAGGAUUACGGUGGAGUAGGUGAUGCAAAAUGGUUUCCUGAUGACAAGUGGAUGCCUUCAAGUGGAGUCCAGGUGGGAUCCGUGUACAAUGGGGCCGGUGAUCCCACUACACCUGGCUGGCCUAGUUCAGGGUUGUGCGAGAGACUAUCAGAUGAUGAUGCGGAGAAAGGAGGAGAAGUUCCAUUGAUACCUUCAUUACCUAUUUCAUGGGCUGAUGGUGACAGAAUCCUGAGGUCCAUAGAUGGACAAGUGGCAAAUGACGAUUGGCAGGGAGGGAAAGAUGCUCCUGUCUACAAGGUUGGGCCAGGACCAGCAAUUCUGAAUCUUAGUUAUACAGUAAGUCUCGAAAAACCAGCAAAAUGUCGAAUCUGUAGAGCUGAAACAGGCAUGCAGUAACUAAGAAAGCCCAUACCGUAAGUUUUGCAGGGAAAGCAAGUUAUAACCACAAUCCAAAAUGUUAUUGGAAUCAUUGAAGGUGUAGAAGAACCUGAUAGGUAAGUUUGAAUAAUUCAAACAUGCAAUGUACAGCAAAUUAAUACGCAUCUCUGAAACAAUUCUGCAUGAUGAAAUUGUCACGUAAGAAAAUGACAAGCAAAUUGUUAUAGCAAGCCCUACAAUAGAAAUGAUAGCCAAAAUGAAAUCAUAAUAUUAUUUUCCAAAAAACUGAGCCUGGAUAAACAAAAUCAAGCUUACCGAGUAACUUUCUAAUGCUAGAUUUUCCUCACACAGUUGAAAAUUUUCUAGAUAUGUCAUACUUGGGAAUCACCGGGAUGCAUGGACAUUUGGAGCUGUUGAUCCAAAUAGUGGCACAGCAGCCCUGCUUGAGGUAUGUAAAAUUUUGGUGCUUAAAUCGUCUUAACAUCCCUAGAUUCAAAUUCCAAGGAAAAUAGCAGUUCAACUGAUAUUUUUGAGAGAGACAGGUUGCACACAGGAUGUGGAAGCUCCAGGAAAAAGGUUGGAAACCUCGGCGAACAAUUAUAUUUUGUAAUUGGGAUGCUGAAGAAUAUGGCCUGGUUUGUCUUUCGCUCCUCUCACUGUAGCACAUUCACUCGUCCACAUGCACCCCUGGCUCCUUUCAAAUAACCAAAGCUAGAAAGAGGCUGUGUGAGCUCAUACAGGCAGAACAUAUUUGUUGUUUUAACUGAAUUAUAAGCAGUUCACCAUCUUCAGAUAGGAUCAACAGAAUGGGUUGAAGAGAACAGGGAAAUGCUAGCAUCAAGAGCUGUAGCCUAUAUGAAUGUUGAUAUUGCAGUUCAAGGAUUAGGAUUUUAUGCCUCUGCAACUCCACAGCUCGAUGAGCUACUAAUAAAAGCAACUAAGCAGGUACGAAACGAAUCUCAAGGGUUGGGGCAACAGGGUUUUACAACAUUGCCAUAUGCAUUAACAAUGAUUGCAUAUGGUUAAUCCACGUAGAAAGCAUCAAGUUUAAAAAUAUAUAUAUAGAGGUGCAAAUGUAGUUUAACAGCACAAGAAUACCAGUCUGUCAAACUUCAAAUGUCAAUUUAUGUUUUAUCUUUCUAUUCUCACUCAAAUUAGAUAAACUUCUGACUUAGGUCCAAGACCCGGAUAACUCCUCGCAAUCCAUCUACCAAUCCUGGAUUCGCUCCAGUGAAAAUCCUAAGGUAAGCAUCUUAAGAUAGUUUAAAUAAGAAAGAGAAUUGCGUAAGAGUUCUUAAAUGUGAACCUUGGGGUUGUGGGAGCAGGGUAAACAUUACAAGCACUGAAUAUAUGGCCACGUCCUAGACCAUUGUGCUACCACUUUGAUUUAUAAUUUAUCUUUACGAGAUAACUCAAUUGAUGCUUUUCAACUAAGGCAUUUAGCUACUUAGGUUUAAAAUCAAACUGCCCCUGAAUACCAAGAAUUACUAAAUCUAAAAGGUCAGCUUCUGGAUUUCUGUGGCCUUGAUAAGUGGCUUUUGGAUUUCAAUAUUGACAAACUGACCAAAAGGUCUUUAAGAUUGGAAGGUUAGGAGGAGGAGGAUCAGAUUAUUCUGCCUUCGUUCAGCAUGUUGGUGUUCCAGCUACUGAUAUCUCUUAUGGAGAAGGUAAAAGGAAUAUAUUCUGGCAAUCUUUUCACAAAGCAAGAGAUGCUUGCAUCAAUGGUUAUUACGCAGAUAUCCAAUUAAUUUCACCUUAAUGUAAUUUGCUCUGUCUUUUCAUUAAUUCCUUCACAUAGUAAGCUCCUAUGUCAUCUCCAAAACAACCCCCACCCCUCUUCCCAACCCCCCUGUCCUCUCCCCAGAAGGCAAAAUAAAUGAAAAAAAAAAAAAGCAGAAUCUAAUAAGACCACUGAGCAUUCAAAGCAAAACCUCGUACCAUAAAGCAUCCUAAAUAAAUAUAUCAGAGAAAUAAAUAGAAAAACAAUGUAAAAGCUCAAAACUUAAAGCAAUUUUUUUCUUUUUAAGCUAUUCAUGAUUCUUCAUGGUAAGAAUCAAUGAAGGGAUUUACGGACCAUGCAAGGAAAAUUAAUUUUUGUAUAGUAGGACUAAGAAAGCAGUAGCUUCGACAUACAUUAAGAACCAAAAAAAAACUUCUAAAAGCAAAAUAAUCUUACCAUCAUCUUUCCUCAUAACAAUUGGUCAGUGAGUGUGAUGAAAUUACAUCAGCCAGUUCUCUAGCAUCACUUAUCAUUUGUAUGUAUGUUCAUUCUCCAUAACGUUGUGUUAUACCACUUGACUUUCAUUACAAGAGAAAUAAUGACAUUAUACUCGUUAGGCUCUAAAGCAGUGUAGAAUGAUUACUUAAACAAAUCACAAAUUUAGAAAAGCACAAAAUCUCCAUUUCUCUAAAAGAACACCCAAGUAUCAUAGCUCUGGAGAUAUCGAGCAUGUUAGCAUAUCUAGGCAAAAAACUUUAUUUAGAUCUGGUGCAUAGUAUGUAUAACACGCUCAUAUCAAUCUAACCAGUAUAGUAACAGUGCUAGAUCAGGAUCAACUCAGUACAUUGAGUUUCUUACCUUGAACAAUAACCUAUAAAGAACAUCUUUUUUUAAAAAUGUCAUAAAAACAAGGGGAAGACAGCAAUAGAAAAAGAAAAUUACAGGAUGAGUUGAGAAUAAGAGUCGGAGUAAAUGGUACAGGGACAUCAACCACAAUGUAUCAAACAUUUAAGAGAAAACAAUGGUGUAAGAUCAAGUAGAAGAAGAAGAGACAGAUUUUUUAACAGCCUCAAAACAAGGUUUGCUUACCCAUUAAUUACAUACCUCCUGACUAAUACACAGGCCAUCCAUCCACUCUCUGCUGCUAAUUGGCUAGGCUUAAAAUUUUCAUCUACAAUCUGCACCAACUCUGAACAACAUCAAAUAGACACCACAGCCUAGAAAUUAAUCCAAAAGAAUAGAGGGACCUGAUGAAGAUACAGAUGCAAGAUUGAUAGGUCAAAUGAGUACAUUUUGCCAGAUGUCUAGGACAAACUCUAAUAUACACUAAGAUCAUCAUGAAUCAAGUUAGUUGUGAAGAUCAAUGUAUUUCCCCCACCCAAUUACACUUCUAACGUUGCACAAAAGUCAAAACCUUGCCUCUCCCAUGACACUCUUAGAGCAUAAGAAUCUCGACAAAAUAUAAUUUGCAGAAGAAAACAAAAUAAAAUCAGAAUCAGACCAAUACACUGAGAAUUCUAGCGAAUCAUCCAAGGCACAAUGUUCUAUUCAGUUGUCUUGACAGGCAUGCAUUCAGACAGAUUCUAGCCAACCCUUUAACAUCACUAGCAUACAAAGAACUGGUAAUGCCAGAUGCAUAAUUAUCAUGGACUUAACUAGUUGCAAUCGAGAAGCUUGUCUCCUUAAAAAUGUGCAUGACACAAGAAUUAACAUUUUUAUUGAGUACCAUCAUCUUUACUUACCACAUUACAAACACGUGUUGAGGCUGUGCAAUCAGAGUAGUUCAUAGUACAAGAAUUAAUUCGUAUAGACAUGACCCAGUUGACCUUAAAAGUACAUCAUGCAUAAAUUUUUUUUCCCUUAAGAAACAUAGACUUAUUAUUUCCAGCACUAGAGAUUCUCUUCCAGCACAAAAUAUAUCAUACUAAGCAAAAACGCUAGGCAUACUCCUUUUUAAGAAUCGGUCCAAUUCUUGAACUUUAUGACUUCUAACGGUUUUCAACUAUCACUUGACAAAAUUUGGUGCUUGUAGAUUAUCCAGUCUAUCACUCAAUGUAUGAUGACUUCAUCUGGAUGAAGAAAUUUGGCGACCCAAAGUUUCACAGGCAUGUAGCAGGUUAGUUAUAAUUUUCUGCUAGAUAGUAGAAUUUACUGCAAUUGCAUAGACAUCUCAAUGGCUUGUGAGAUUAAAAGUUUCAUCACAUAAUUGGGAUGAGCUAUCAAUUAAUCAUCAGAAAUGCCAAUCUUACAGAAUAGAAAGUCACAAAGAAACUCUUAUGUUCAGUUGAAAACAUAAAUUAAGUUGAUCCCGCUCAAAUAUUUCAUAAAUUCCCCACCAUCCCCUUAUUAGCAAAUCAGUUAACAUUUGGCAAUGAAAUCAAAAGUUGCAGGAAUCACAUGCAUAAUAAGACGGAUAGUGUGCAGAGAAGUGCAAAAAAUAUAUUAUUUAUUGGCCCUCUCCAAAUGAAAUUUCUUAGUUCAAGCGUCCAUUUGGCUAAAAGAGUUCCUAUAGAAGCAGGGUCUAAAAUCAACAUGGAAGAAAAACAACAAGACCAGGUUUCAUUUAUCAGGCAUUCAAAAAAUAAUGCAUAUUACAUGGAAACCCAACAAAAUACUGAAAAACAUUAAACAUAGCAAAACACAGAUUCAUUUAACAGACAGUAUUCAGCAUAACUGACAGAAAUACUAUGUUGGAGAGAUGUGUUAAAGGAGGAGGAAGAAAAAGAAAAUUGCAAAUAGGAAGAAUUAAGAUAAGGCGACGAAAAACUGACGGGCAUAAAGGUUUCGAGCAGCAAGAAACAACAAUAAUUUAUCCAAUAGAGCCAAGAAACAUCAUAAGAACCUAUGAUUGUUUAGUUAGAUGAACAAUGUCAGAAAUGACAACGAAAAUAUGACUUAAUUCAAAAACUAAAAAAAAAAAAUCAAAUACAGAAGCUUACUGCUUGUGUCAGACACUACAGACACUUUCAAGGCACUGAAGGGAACUCAAAAGUUUCAAAAGAAAUGAAAGAUUACCUUAGACAAGUCAUUGCAUACUCAAACACUUGCAGGACACAUCUCACCAAAUAUUAAAAUUGAGAUAAAUUUUCAUGUAUAAAGAAGAAACUUUUCAUAAAAAAUUUGGUAGCAUGAGUAGUACACAGUAAAAUUAGAAUACGAACCUGUAUCGAAUAUAUCAAGUAUCUGUUUCAGGCAUUUGACAAUUGACAUGGAUAGAUACUGAAUCAGACCCCUCUAAUAUGUUUUAAACCUAAAACAGACAUCUUCUAACUCCAUGUUAUAGUAGAUCAUGCAUAUAGUGCUCCAUGACACAUGACUGCUCCACAACAAGUACCAUUAUUGUAUGAUUAAAUCGUCACAUUUCCUAAUCUUCACGGAAGGAUAUAGGAGAAAUAAGAUGCUUUAAAUCAUGGUCUAUAUCGCAUCAAUGUCCAUGAAAGAUAUUAAAAUUUCAGUCAAACAAAUAUAGUCUCACAAAGAUUAGCUGCAUUACGUAUACAUAGUUAUUGCUCCAUCAUCACUAAAUAUACACAUAUUGUGAUGCAAGAGCAAAUUUAAUAUACAGAUGUUGCUAGAGACGGAUUUGUUAUUCUAUACCACUACUUCUAUAAAAAAAAUUCCUUCAAUUGUGUUUUCAUUCAUGUUGUUUCCUAUCAUCCAUUUUCACAAAAGAGACGAAAGUUCACUCAAACAACCUAAACCAUUAGAAACAUAGCUGCAUUAUGUACACAAAUAUUGCUUCAUCAUCAGUCACUGUUACAGUGGCUCGUGUGAUUCAACAGCAAACUUACAUUGUUAUAAUGCUACAGGUAGAUUUGUAGCUCCAGAUAUGUAAUACUUAAUAUAAAAAAAAUAUACCCUUUAGUUGUGUUUUCAAUCCUGUUGUUUUCUAUCAUCUAUUUUGUCCAACACAAUUCUACUUCAGCAGUUAAAUCUUUUCAUCAACUUGUUUCUUUUUGUGUACGAACAGUGACAAGUAUUUGGGGUUUAUUAGCACUUCAGCUUGCUGAUGAAGAAUUUUUACCUUUUGAUUAUCUGUCCUAUGCCAAUGAGCUGCAGGUAUGUUUCCUAUAGUGGAGAAAUGAGUAUAAUAUACCUGCUUCUACAAUUGAAAGUAAUCUAAUCUUUUGAUUGUUUGAUCCUGUAACUAGAGAAGUGUGGAAGAGUUGAAAAUUGAGUUGUCAGAAAAGGGCAUAAAACUAUUUCCCUUAUUUAACUCUAUCAAGGAACUGAGAAUGGCAGCAACUAAAAUUGCUAAUGAGAUAAAGGUACAUCUCCAGCUCUAUUAGUCAAAAACUUGGUAGAGAUCUCUAAGUGUGCUAAAUUUUAUUGAUGGAAGCACAAUUCAUUAGGUGCUACAAGACAGAAAUGUUUGGGCUUCUGUAUCAAAAAAUGACCACUACAAAGUAAGAGAAUUGAAUGACAGACUAAUGAUGGCAGAGCGAUCAUUCACAGACCGCGAAGGACUUCCUGGAAGGACAUGGUACAAGCAUUUGGUAAGCUUCUUUAAAUCACCUGCAAGUGACCUUGUUGUAGCUAAUUAAAAAUUCAGUUAAGUGCUUGUUAUUUCACCUUGAUUGAAGGUUCUUAUUUUCUUCCAUUACAAAGCACAAAAAUGACAUCAACUUAGACCAAAGAAUUUCAGGAAAGAAUAAUCACAAAAGCAUUUGGAACAUCUAGUAUACCAAAAUGCGUGCAGCUGAAAAUGACACUUUUGAUAACUGAAACCAAAUACUGACUGAUGCUUUAUAUCAUUCAGAUAUUUGCACCAUCAAAGCACAAUGAUUAUGGUUCUAAGUACUUCCCUGGAAUAGAUGAUGCCAUCGAAAAGGCCAAGAGCAUUAACACCACAGACUUGUGGCUUGCAGUACAGCAUGAAGUCUGGAGAGUAUCUAGAGUGAUUAAACAUGCUUCACUGGUCCUCAGUGGUCAGUUAACAUGACUACCGUCAUCUUAUACCCCUAAAUUCCACGUGUGUAUUCGCUAUUAAUAAUAAAACAAUUGGGUGACAUCUGGUGGACUUGCUUUAGUUCAAGACAGAAUCUGGGGAUUUUAUAUUGCAUUUUGUUUUUUUUCUUAGGUAUACUAUUGACUGUUCCUCAUUUGACUCACUAAUGGUUAGGAAAAAGAACUUGAUGGUCACAAAGGGAGAUAACCUGUAGUUAAGCUAAACAUGCAAACGCCCAACCUGAGACCAUUUCUAAUAACCAUGUAGUCUAAGUCCUAGCUGCAUGAUACAAAAUUCCAACAUAAUUUCUCAGGGAAAUGAUUGGCAACUAAAUAUUUUACAGUUUAUUCUUGAUUUCUCAAAUUUGGAAAAUCAGUCUAUUGGUUUGCAUCCAUCUGAAGUGAAAUUUUCAAGAUCAAUACCACAGACAGGCUUUCACAAUGCCUCAAAAAUUUCCAUCCAUCAUUAUGGCAGUUAUAUCAAACGGGAGAUAAAUCCAAUAUUUAAAGAACUUCAUAGUGGUUGAGCAAACAAAAUACUACCUAAUCCUUUUAACAGCACUAUAACAAAUUCUUUUAACAGUUUCACAGUUGAGCCAGUAAUGUGGCCUAGGCCAACAAAUAAGAAUUAAAGUUUCACAAUUAGAGGUCUAAAUGGAGUACAACAGUUUGACAUACUGCAGUACCAAGCUAAAGGAAAGUUGGAUGUCAACACAAAUGAAAGCAUUAUUUCCAUGCAAAAAGAAGAUAUACAUGUCACAAUAAGCUCAUAAGCUGUACAACUAAAGCUAGGUUAGAAAUGUAAAGCAGUUAGGAACACAAAAAUCUGUAUUUCAGAUUUGGUAAAUACUGUACAAUUAUUUCUACUGAACCUACAAUAUAUACAAUGAACAACAGUUAUUUCCGAGUCCUCUACUUCCAAACCUUAAUUGCACCAUCCCUACUGCUCGAAAUCAGAAGCCUCUGGUUCAGCUUCACAGAAGCCAAAGAGAGGACAGAAUCACGGUGACAUCCUGCAGAAUCAGUGGCAGCACCAGCAAGGAUAGUCUUUGUGGUCAAUCUCAUUGUCAAAGGUCGUCUUCUGCCCUCCUGUUUGUAAAAAAGAUCAAUAUAAAUUAGUAGGCCAUCAUCCCAGAACAUAAGUGAGGGGCUAUUGCUCGUCCAAAUGCAGCUAGGUAAGUUUACAAUCACAGGCAAAAAGAAGAAGCGAUAGAGAACCAUUGAACUAAAGAAAAUCUUCAGUUUGAAAAUGUACGACAUUUGAAUCCAACACUACCCCCCCCCCGGGGGGGAGCCCAACCAUCAGUCCAGUUUUCUCCUCCCAGGCAUGGCCCAGGAUUUUAAACUAGUACCUUUACAAUGAGAAGGGAAGAAACUUCUCAAGGAUUGCCAAAAAAAAUACAACUUAAGAGUCCCUAAUAAUUCUGAAUAGAAGCCUACCCAAAUUUUCAAGAACUUCAUUAGAAACAAUUCAUGUCCCAAGUAAAAAAGAGAAACAAAUCAUGAUGAUGCCAUUAACAUACCUGCACAACUUGCACACCAUAGUAAGACUUUGUCUCAAAACUAUCAUCAUUUCCAACUCCCUUUAUAGAUGGUCCACAUACGCAAUAACUUCGAUCAGGGCUGAAGCAUAGAUAUACAAGGGUCAAUAGAAUUGCAAUGACUGCCCAAAUGCAUAAAGAAAAUUGGAAAAUGUACCUGGAAUGGUCCCAGCGACGUAUUUUCAAGUCAGUACCCCCUGUCAAUAGAUCCCCACCUGGCAACGGAAGUAAAGCACGGAUGCCAGGAAGACGUGGAGGUGGUUCAUUCAACUCAUCGAUUCUAUAUUUCGAAUUAGCACUUACCCUGAUAUCCGAUUUGGCAUUGCCCUUGCUGGAUGCUCUGGCUAAUGCCCAAGGCGAGUCAGAAAUUUCAGCAUCGGUCUCAUUAUUUGCUACCCUCAACACCUGCAAAAAGCAGAAUAAGUAGCACAAAAAUCCACCAGUAUAAAAGCACGAAAUGUUAUUGCAGUGAUUGAACGACAGGUGCCAACUGCUCAUUCCAUUCAUCAGUCUAACUACAAUAUCGGGGUUUCGUAUAUCUUAUUCGAGUGAAUUUCACAUUUAAAAUCUAAUUGUCUGUAACUUCCAAAGUAUCCCAGCACAACAAGUAUAUUCUCUCAAAAUUACUCCUCAGACGUACAUUAUACUUCCCCCUCCAAUCCUUCUGUAUCUCCAUAACUAAUCAUCCCUCCCAAGCAUGCAUGGUUACCAGCAAGAAAAUCUAUAUGGAUCAUAUUCUUUCUAAAAUACAACAUCACAUCAAUCAAUUUAACCACAUUCAGUCAAAUUUCACUCUUUUGCUAGAUUCUUUACUAUUUUGUAAAAAGUACAAAGUGAUCCAACUGUACCUGAUGGCAGCUUCCAUUUUCUGCAUUCCAAAGAGAAACUUCAUUACACCCUGCUGCAACAUAAACAAGAGGUCUGGUAGAUAGGAAGAAGGAGGUACUAGGAGGAGGAACAAAAAGGCUCAUUUUCUCAAUUGGGCAUGCAAGAGAAUACUGCCAUGAAUUGACAGGUAUUCCAAACCUCAAAUCCCAAAGGGUAAGCACGCCUCUUGAUGACCCAGUGACAAACCAGUUCCCACAAGGAUCUGCAACCAGAGAAGAUACAUAACCCUCCUCAGGGACCACUUUUGAAUUCCAAACAUUUGAACUUGUUCUUGUAUCCCACAGAUGAAUUCCACAAUUCUGGGUACUGUACAAAAUCAUUUUGCAAGCACCACCAUCAGGGGAGUAGUUCAAAAGGUUUAAUAUAGCACCUUCUCCAACUCCGUUCUUUUUAACAUCAGCUAUGCCUGAAUAUUUCUCCACAACAUUGCCCAGACCCCCGGAUACGUAAUCAACAGAGAACAUGUGUAUAGCUCCAUCACAAGCUCCAACAACAACUUGAGCAGAACCCUGGAUCACAGCAACACACAGUGCUCGACUUCCAUCUAAAGAAUAAGUUAGGCGCGACCUGAAUGAGAUAUCUUUUUCUAACCUUUUAGAAUCCCAAAGUUUAACAGUAGAAUCUUCAGAUGCACUUACGAAAAAGCUAUGGUCAGUGGAAACAGCUAUGUCAUUAACAGCAGAGUGGUGAUCCUGGAGAUGCGCAACCAACACCCCACGAGGCCUCCACCCUGAAUCUGGAAUCGUCGAUGUUCGCCCAAAAGAUGGUACAUCUGCACCCUCACUUGAAGCAGAAUUACUUUCAAUUGAAAGGGAACUCCCUUUUGUUGUGCCAGACACUCCCAUUUCCAGAAACUUGUUAUUUACAAAGGCUGUUUGAUCCAUUUCCCUGUCUUCAACUUCAUGUACAACCCUUCGCAAUUGUGUGGAACCACCACCAAUGCUGAUUGAGCCUGAGAUAAACUUAGGAGCUGGAUCUGAAUUGGCCAAGCUAAAUGAUUUACUAACUGGAUCCAUCCAUGGCAAGGAUGCAGAACCAAAACCUAAAGAACCACAUGGUAAUGAUGAAUCAGAGACUGUUGGAGAGCCUGCAGCUCGUUUGUUAUCAACUUUAAAGUAAUACAAAGGAAUGCCUUGUGAUGAUUUCUCCAUUAAACUGUUCAUUCCACUAAGAGGUGGAGAGAUAAAACCGGGCAGCUGCAACUUUUCAGAAUCCAGGAAGUCGCCAGAAUCCAUAGCCAUAGGACUUUGCACUGAGUUGCCCACAACUUUUGAAUUCUGGUCAUUAUCAUUACAAUCUGCAAGAUCCAGAGGCAGAUUUGCACGUUCAACAACUUUAUUGCUCUGAAGAUCUCUUUGUCGGUCAGACCAGCACAUCAUUGGAUCCAGCUCCUUCACCCCUCUCUGAAGAAAAUCCACUGUUUCCCAAUUUUUAGCCUGUGAGUCACUGUUGUACCAUAUUUUUCGCUGUCUCUCCAGCAUGUCUGAGCUCCUGGCACUUUCUAAAACACGAUAGUAUCUCUCUCUUGACACUGGUGGCUCUAGGCAUGAAAAAAGAGCCUUUUCUGAAGCUAAAGAUGCUGGUUGUCUACGCAGGAAGGUGCGUAUAACAGGCACAAGGAAAACAUAUGAAUCUACUGCACCUAAACUCUCGCUGCUAGCUGCAAUGAAUGUGACAUCGGCCCUCCUGACCCAUUGACUAGGAUAACACAACAGUGGAAAAGCGUGUUCUAUCAUCUCAAGCAAGAUUCUCUUCCUUAGAAAUCCACUUUUGCAUAAAAUAGCUAGGCAUUCCAGAGCAUUCACAAUUACAGCCUCAGUUACAUCACUUAAAGCCUGCUCAAUGUAUGGCAAAAGAUAUUCCUCGACACUCCGUUGUCCCACGAAAAAGCAGACAUAUAUGAUCUGUCCAUAAAACACUGCCCUGAGUUGCUCAUCCCGGUCAUUUAGGAAAGCUGGGAGGAUGGGCAACAAGAAAUCAUUACUCUGCCUCUGGCCAAAAAACCAACAAAGAUUGCCAAUGUCAUGCAGGAGUGCUCUCCUGAUAUUUGGUGUUUGCUUUGGGCCCAUCACAAGUUCUUGAAUGACAUCCGCAAUAGACUUCCUUAAUUGCACAAGCUGUGCAUCACUAUUUGGACUGUAUCUCCUUCCAGAUGUAUCAGAGGAUGUAGAGAGUGACUUCUGUGGCGAACUUGAUUCACUGAGAACUCCUGCCUCACUCAAGCUUAUAGAGUGAAUCAAAAACCCAUAAGCAGUAAGUGCCAGCUUAGAUAUAUUGCUUGCAUAACAUAUCCUUACACUUUCCUCUGGAUCAUCAGGGAGCAUGGAGAGCAUUGGAAGAAUAUACUCGGGAAAAAUUUUAGCAUCACUGGGUGGAAAAUCUCUGACUAAGGGAAGAAUGUCACAUAAAGUCUCUAGGGCAGCACAACGCACAAUUGCAGCUGGAUCUGAGAGCAUUGCAAUGACAUAUGGAAGCACACGCUGCAAUCGAUCUUCAUCAUCAAUGUAUAAGGAACACGACUUCAAUAGAAGCACAGCCCCUCUCCUCAUGAAUGGCAGUUUGACAUUUCUUAUGCAGGAACAGAGCAAUGAGGCAAUCAGAACCAUACCUUCACAGCUCAUGAUAUCUUGAGGUAAUGGUAGAAAAGGCAUACCAAAAGUGUCUGACUGGUUGUCAUAAUCCGACAUUAAUGAGUUCAAAUCACUUGUUGUUAUCUUUUUUAAGAAGGGAUGGUGACUUCUGUUAAAUAUAUUAGAGAUACUCUGAAUCAGCUCAUCAGGAGAUUGCACAUCACACUGCUUUCUGUUUUGAGAAUAUGCAGAUCUAGCCACACCUUCCAGCAACGGUUUCAUGCUAUGAAAUCGAUUAUUUUCCUUUACAUCCCUGAGUAGAUUACCAACAUCACCAAGAAGAUCAAACCUAUCAUGAAUUGAGCCCUUAUCCACCUUUUCUCUUUUACUACUGGUGUCCUCCACAUUUGUAUUAUGUUGUGCAUCAGUCCCAUGGAGAGAUUGAUGCAUAGCAUCUAAAGAAAGCGCCUCCCCAGAAACAGUCUCCUUGACUACACUACUGCUCAUCAUUUGUCUAAGAAUCUCUUGAAAAGACGUCUGGCAUAUUAAAACCUACACCAAGGAGCUUUCUAAAUAAGCUUGAGCACAGCGUAAUUAUCACCAAGAUAAAGAUCAAGCACCAAAAAUACCUUACCCUUGCAUCAGAAUUAAGGGGAUUCAACAAGGAAUAGAAAUUGUGGAGAAAUGGAGAGAAGUAGCCAGGAAACACAAUGCCAGAGAAGUUCUGCAGAUAGCUUUCAGCAGAAAAACGUGCCUCCGGAUCCAAUUGAAUCAUAUGAAGAAUCAUCUUGCGGAUUCCUGAAUCUGGAAUCUUUAUGCAGACAAGAUAAAGACCAAAAAUAAAAGUUAAUUUAGAGAUUCAAUAAACACUCUAAGUGGACUAGUAGGCAAACACUUCAACCUAUAUAGUGAAGUCAAUGUUCCAUGAAAUUUCUUGAAAGAGAUUAAUUGGGAAAAUAUGAUGAUACAGGAAGAAGCAGAGAAAGGUCCUUUGGUUAGAGCCAAGUUAAAAUGGCAUUGACUAGAUCUUACUUUUUCUAGAUGUUGGCUAGGAUCAUAUUGUCCUCUACGAUAAGCAAGCAGUUGAGACAACUCAAACAAUGGCUGACCCUCGAGGAAUAGCUCAGCUAUUACACACCUGAAGCAAGAACAUGGAAUUGAAGAAAAGUGUAAAUCCAUUGUAUCACAAGGCAAGAGCUUAUUGCCAUAUAGAUAAAGACAUCCUCAUCAAAGAUUUGUGCCUCAACCAUAAAAGCAACCAUCCAAAGCCAAAAAAGUCAAGAAAAUUAGUUUGUGAACUGCUUUGUAUAACGUAAAAAGAGAACCUCUUGACCCAACCAAUAUGUAUAUACCAAUAAAAUGUAGCAACUAAAGCAAACAAAACUUAAAAUAAUAGACCACAACUGGAUUGCUUGGAUGAAAUAUGUAGAAAUGAUAGUAAUUAAUUUGAUUGUGCUCUAACAUGAACGCUCACUUGAAGGCUGUACAUGAUUAUGCAAGCCCAAUUAAUCUCCUAUACACUAGCAGUGUCUGUCAGGCCUGGAUGCAUGACAACUAAUUUUAAUUUCAAUUUGAAAUCCAAGUUUUACAUGGCAAGCACCCAAGGCCAACAGUGCAUUCAUUGUCGGUGCAUAUAAGAUUAAUCCAUAGACAAGAGCUAAAACAAAUGCUAUUGAUCUAGAACCCUAAUCUUUUUUUCAGAAAUACCAAUUUGAUUACCACAUGAUAUAGAAGUAUAAGUUAUUGCAAAGAACUUUGGUUGUUUAUGGACUCCUGCAAAAGCAACCGAUGUGAAGCGCAUCACAUUCCUUGAAUGGGUUUGGGGCAAUUUCAUUACUGUUGUUGAGGAAUAAAUCAUUGAUCUACUUGUAGGAUUUGAUACAAAAGGUAAAAGAAUCUUUACCCAAUUUUAUUAAAGAUCUAUUGUCACCAAUGCACUGUAUUAAACAAAGAAUCUCACAGACCAACAUAGUCCUACUACUUUCACAUACUUCAUCCAUGUGGGCCAAUUACAAGUCCCAACCACACUUUAGUCAGCCCCCACAAAAAAGAACACAUUUUUUUCUCCAUGUUUUGACUUAGUAAGGUGACAAUGUUAUUUGGCUAUUUGCACAACAGCAAGAUCGUCAAAACAAAAGAUGAACUUGCACAGCAAGCUAAAAGCUACAAGAUGUGAGUUCAAGGAAAUAACCUGUUCGAGCUUGCCAGAUCAAGUCAUUCAAAGUAACAGGCAGAAAGAGGGUAGAAAAUGAUACUGUUCAUAUAUAGUGCAAAGUCCAGGAUGCCAGAGAGAUACAAUCAUCUAUGUCCAAUAAGAAACAAUGAUUCCCACUCACACAAACGAUUUCAGACAAGUUUCUGACACAUAUCAAGCUCAGAUCCAGAAUUCCAUCAAAAGAUGAAAUGACUAUUGUUUUAAAAAUGUAAAGCAAGACACAAAAGUAGAAAUUUUAUCAUAUAAUAAAGAAAGACAAACAUGUGAUACGAACAUCUAUUUAAUAAAAUAUCAAUAAGACAAGCAAUGUUCCUUAGAUGGAAAAACAAAUCCUGGAUCAAGAAACAUCUUAUUGUUAAGUUAACAUAAUCAGAUACUUUACUUCCAAGUUCAGGUUCUUAUAAAACAAUGAGUGAUAUUUAUGCUCAAGCAGCAUAUGCAGGUAUAAGUAAAUUAAAAUUUCAGGACAAACAAAGACUUGCACAAGGAAAAAAUUAUUCUUUCAAAAUGGGAAAGAAGGUCUCAUCAUAUCUUCAAUUCAGUAAAUUGCAAUCUAGUGUGUGCAUUUGUGUAUUUCAAUUCGCAUAAAUAAUUUUAAAAGCAUGUAUAACUUUAGUUAAUGCCACUUCUCAUGUACUGGGAAAAGCGCAUUUACCACCUUUAGGCAUCACAUUAGAUUUCUCAAGCACCACUGCCCAUGCUUUUACAAGACAACAACCCUCUUGGCACUAAAACAAAAGCAGUGCAAGGGGCUAAUAUAGGACAAUUUGCAGCAGAAGGGGCACUAAACUUGUUAGUGAUAUAGGCUGAAGCCAAAGAGAAAAUCUAGAACUUAAACAAUAACUGGGAAGUAAAGGAUUCUGGGUCAAUUGAUAAAAAAUUAGCAUAGGCAGCAACAAUUGUCUUUUGAUAGUAUUGCAAAAGAAAAGACCCACAUUGACCAAAAUAUCAACUGUCACAAUACAUGUUGCCACUUUCAAAACAAUUUCCACUUAUCUGCACACUGACGUAAACAUGAUUCUACUACUAUGGAGCAUUUAAGAAGCAAAUGCUCCUUGAAUACCAAAACUUCAAGAACCAAAGAGAUAAAUUAUUUACAGUGUAUUUUUUAAUAAAGUAAUCUUCAAUUCCAAAUUAUCAGCUCAAAUGCCAGAAAACUCACCCUACAGCAAAGAUGUCCAUUGAUGGUUUUAAUGGUGCAUCUUGAGCAACUUGCGUUUCACCUCCAUGCCCAUAAAAUCUCUGAAAAAUGAAAGAACUUCUAUUAGCAAGUAUAGACAAAAGGCAACUGUCACAUUCAGUAAAUGCAAUUCUCUCUCUCUCUCUCUCUCUCUCUCUCUCUCUCUCUCUCUCUCUCAUUUUCUUUGUAGAAAGGAACUUCUAAUAUUUUACAGUCUAGUUAACCAUGCUAUAAAUAACCAAUUUUCCAUUUGAAAGAGGAAAAGAAUCAAUCAAUACUUGGUAACAAUUUGAUGAUCAUGCGUCAUGAAUGGUCAACAUAGGAUCAAAAUUAAUCUCCAGUCCGAAUUAGUCUUACAGGGGAUGAUAAUUUCGCUGAAUGUGACCAUUCAGGUGAUCCAUACUUCAGGUUUUGGAUUCUUCUACAAGACUUUUGUUUUUGCUUUUUAUUUUCUACACUUCCUAAUGCAUUUUGCUUCCCAUCAUCAUUAGCAUAAUGUUUAUGUCCUUUCUGCACUAUAAGAAACCUAAACAUAUGUUGUUGUACCUAACAGACAAGGAGAAAAGAAAGUCCAUUUAUUUGUCUUCUUAUAUCCAUCCAUAACCUUAUCACAACUGUGAUCAUGAAUCCAAUAAAGCUUACAAAGGCAGCUGCACAAACUAAACAUAAAUGGUCAGGGCUACCAAGAAAGUUGUGAAAAUUGAAAAACAAUAUUUAUGGACCAAAAAGUUGGAGAACAGUUUCCUUGUUUUACCUUAAUUGGACAAAGGGAGAACUCUGAAGUAAGAGAUCUAGAUGUCAAUAAAGCAAUUAAUAUGAAAUGUCUGUAGUAAUGAAUUUCAAUUUUGUCAAGGGGGCGAAAAAACACACAGUUACGUAAUUGCACAUAGAUUCAGCAAGGGUGUCAUUUAGUAAUUGUCAUGGUAAGUGCUGUUUCCUUAAACAUAAAUAAGCCGUCUGCCUUACACAAAUGGGGGAAAUUGUGAAUGUUUAGAAAGUUCAUCUUCAAAAGGACGAGGAGGAGGAAGCAAUAUUUGGUUGUUACUAGUUGUCAGGCAAAUUAAGAAAACCACUCCAUCGAACUAAAAGAAUCACCAAUAAAGCUGAUCAAGAUAGUCAAGUACUUUUAUUGUGAGUUAAGCUAGUGUCUUUGAAAAGAAAUACAACAAAAAACUCAUUCUAGCACUAUGUAUACAGACAACCAAAAUUAACUUUUCAUCUGAAAUUGGAUCUCACCAGCACAAACAAAUAGGAAGCAGACAACAUUCUCCAGAAUACACCAAAAAGGUCAUUCUUCUAGGGCACUUCUUACAGAAAAUAAGAAGUUACUUCCAUUAGUCACCAAAAGGAAAGAAGUUGACUCAUAUUAGAAAGGCCCUUUUAAAAAAUGAGAAAUAUGUGUUGUUAACUGCAUAGUGUUUCCCCCUAUCUUUAUGUUUUAUGACACCAGCCAACUGAAAGGUUGAAAAUCAGCCACUCUAAUCAAACAAGCAAUCCAUUAACAAUAUGAAAAAUCAUGACAAGAAGUUCAUAUAUCUAGCAAAACUUCUCUGCCAGGCAAUUUUAUACAUGUCCUCCCAGACCCGAAUAAUCAAAAGCAUUUGUUUGGAUUGAGAUGAUUUCAGAUAAAAUAAUUUGCUUCACAAAUUCCAAUUACCUUUUUAUCUCACAUACAUCACAUCAUAAAAAGUGCUACAGUAAUUAUCUCAAAUAAAUCAUCCAAAUAAACUCCUAUCCAAACAAACCCUCAUAACUAGAAUCCGAAUUUAUGUCAUUAAGCAAAAACCAGAAAGGUACAAUCAUAAAGCAAUGCGCCAAUGAAAAACUUAGCAAUUCAAAGUAACAGAAGAUCUAAGCAAUUUUAUGAUAAUCUCAACUGUAUCACAUUCUAGGCAGGAUAUUGCCAAAAUCCCAAGGCUUAUGGGAUGCUUUAAAUUUGUAUUAGCAUUAACCCCUAUAGUACUAGGACGAAAAGUUUAAUUUGAAGUCAAGAACUAGAAAAGCUCAAACUAAAAUAUUAUUUCCCAUCCUGCAUAUGUUAACAUAGAUUUUCACAUAAAUAUUAGAUGAAUUACAAAAUUAAAUUAAAUUAAGCUUAUCUUGCUAAAUUUCUGGUUGGGAAAAAAAAAAGAUUAACUAGAAUAAGAAACCAACCUCAGGAGCAAGGUAACACCGCCUUCUUCCACCAGUGUCAAAGAAAAACGAAAAAUCAGAAGGAUCAUCAUGUGGAAUAUACGUCGGUUUGAAUGAUGCAAAAUCAGCAAGAUAAAGCCAGUUCCAGGAAGUAACCAGAACAUUCUCACACUUAAUAUCACCUGCAUCAGAUUAAAUUAAGUUACUUCUUCCUAAGAAUCAAUAUAAUGUUGCUAACAGAGGAGAUUAAAUUUACACUUAUCUUACCAUGACAAACUCCAUUUUCAUGGCUCUGUUUUACAGCAUAAAGCAGCUGCAAGACGAAAAAUUUCAUUAAGCCCUAACUGCAACUAAAAGACUAACACUGCAAUGAGAAGAAAGAAAGAAACCUGAAAAGCCAGCCAUUUCUUCUCAACAAGACUGAGGAAAGGUCGAGUGCUCAGCCGAUCAUGAAGAUUAUUAAAAAAGUAUUGUCUCAACAAGUAGGCAGCUUUGUCAGUUUCAAGCCAAAACUGCAGCAUACAACAUUUGCAAAAUAAGACCAUUUUAAGCCACCAAAAAAGCAAGAAAACAAAACAAUCAUAAAGUCUUAAACUCCUUAAAGCGACUAAAAACCACAAUUAUUCAAUCAUUCAGAAGGAUUCAUCAGUCAAUGAGACAAUUAAACAUCUAAAUGUAGAUAAAGUAAAAGCCCUCCUUUUGGUGUCAACAAUUACUGUCAGUUUCUGUCACACCAAAACUGCCCUUUAGAGUUAGUAUAAAACUGCUCAAAUCUACCUUCAUUUUACAAUCAUGAUCUCAAAAACAAUAGCUUCAUUUAUUAAGAAAAAGAAAAGGGCAAUAUAACCAUAGACUUUCCAGCAAGCACAGGCAUAGGAUAUGCCAUAUACACUAGUCACCAGAAGUAUUUUUGCCUUUCUUCAUUUUCAGUCGAAACUUCAGGGAAUUCGAAACCUAAAUUCAUGGUCAUCACCUAAACACAUUCCUACCAAAUGUAAAAGGAAGAGAAAAAAAAAAAAGAAUGCAAAGUAUUUCCAUCAAAGUAUCAGCCUCGUGGUGCCCCCAACUUCCAAUGAAAAAAACAAUUUCAGACUGACAUGAAUGAUUUACAAAUUUGUCUUUAUAAACCUUCAAUUGGUAGCAUAAACUAAAAUUAUUUUAAAUAAAUACUACUUUACAAACACUAUUUUUCCCUGAGCUCCACUUUCUCCUAAUACCCAUAUUGGUAAACCAUAAUUCUACCUAGCUUGUAACAAAGUAACCGGGAGAAAUUCAAAUAGCAGCAUCACUUUGAUAAAGCAUUAAUCUGAUGCAACUCAUUUCCGCCACUGAUGUCCAUUGCUUUUGGCAAUCCCAAAAGGAACACUAGUUCCCAUAGCUCGACUAUGAACACGAGCUUAAUAUUUACUUCUGGCCCUUUGCUUACUACAUAUUACGCUCUCAUUUAACUGCUUUAUAAGAUGCUGCAACCAAAAAUUAAAAUGCAACCCUUUUAUUAAAUAUGCUUCACACUACAAUUUCUCUUCCACGUUCUUCUAAGGAAUGAAGUACUAAUCUCGGCAAGGGUGAUACCAAUUUUAGCCCUAUCCUCAAACUAAAAUACAAUUAAAAUCAAUUCACAAAUAUCAGUGCGAAGGUGCAUUUAUGUACAAAUAAAUGUACUUCAGAGUAAAAGUAGAGGCAGACCUGGAAGGGCCAGACAUGAGGGUGAUCGAGGCCAGUAAAUACACCGUGAAUUUGGGAGAGGCGGCGCUCGUAGUCGCGUAAGUCAAUGGAGUCCCCUCUUUUGAAAUAAACCUUGACUAGCACAAGUCCUUCGUCGUGCUUGCACAGGAUCGAUUUCAGGAAUCGUCCUCGGCCUAAGACUUCUUUCAAUACUAAAUUAUAAGAAGACGGUAAAUCGUGCAGGUAAUACUCCGUCGCCGAAGCUUGCGUUGUUCGCGCGAUUUUAUUCCCCAUUCUGAGCUUGUGUUGUUUUCCCUCUAAGCGUUUGAAUUAGCUAGGGUUUUGUUUUCUGUUUUGCUUUUAAUUGUUUCUUUCACAUUGGGCAGGUCGGGUUUAACGGUGACCGAAGCGCGGCAGAGAGGGGGAUCGGAGGCGGAGGUGGUGAUGGGAAGGGACGGAAUGGGGGGAGCUGCGGUUGCGUGGGACUGUGUGGCGGAAGCAAGGUAAUGCUACUGCAGCGGAUCGUUAAUUUUCCAGUGGUUUAUUGCCAUGUCAUCAACGAUUUGUUUUCACGUCUUGCACAAGAUUGUGAAAAAGCGUGGCCGUAAACCAUUCAAUGGAAAUUGCAUUUUCUCACGCUUUUCACCACUCCAUUUUUUUCUUUUUUCUUUUUUUGAAAAAACCAGUCAAUGCUCUUUGCGGAUAAAUUUUGGCUUUUCCUUUUGUUGUGAAAUCUGUUUUAUCGAGAAUGCUAGCCACCUUACAAAAAAAAAAAGGGCAAAAAAUCUCAGCGGCCAUUAAACUAUUGACGGAAUCAUAUUUUGGCCAUCGAACUAUUUUUUGUCAAUAAUUAGCCACUAAACAAUUUAAUCCGUAAAUCCAUGACCAUUUCGUCGUUAAUUGCUCUUAAGUUCUGAAAUUAGCAUUACACGUGUCAAAAUGGAAGGACAAUUUUGUCCAACAACUAUGCGACCUUCUUCUCCCCUGAAUUUCUUUCCUCAAACAAGCUCUGGACUUCAUACAUGAAAUUGGUUGGCUUCUCCGUAGAAGUAAGUUGAAGUUUAGAUUGGGUUUUCUAGAUCCCAACUUGGAUACAUUUCUCUUCUAGCGUUUCAGAUGGCUUAUAGAGUUCUCAGUCAAACAUGACUGGUGUGCAGUGGUCAAGAUGCUUUUGAAUGUUCUGGUCAUCAAACUCAUGGGUGAAGAAAAACGCUCUUCAAUUGAAGAUGCACUGCUGGAAAAUGGGUUGCUCCAUAAAGCUGUUCGACGAAAUUGUAGGUCCAUGGUUGAAGUCCUCCUAAGAUACCAUCUAGAUGCAGAUCUGAAAAAAUCAAGUCCAAUCUGCUAUGUAUUUAGACCGAUGUCAAAGGCCCUGGGGGCUUGACUCCUCUGCACAUAGCAGCCGGAUGCGACGGAGCUGAGCAAGUGCUGGAUGCAUUAACUGAUAAUCUUGGACUGGUACGGCUCUUCUUAAUAUGCAUACUGUUAUUAGCGGAACAUUACUUUUGGAAAUGGAAAAAUAGUGCUCAGAUCCCUCAGUGGAAAAAUACGGCCUUCCUAUUAUCUUUAAUUUGUGGUUGAAGAUUUGGGACUCCCAAUUGAGUCCAUAUUUUUUCCACCACAUAAUGUUCCAUUCGGUGAUUGUCUGAGGAAAGAAAUUCAGGGGAGAAGAAGGUCGCAUAGUUGCUGGACAAAAUUGCCCUCAGGCAUUGCCACGUGUAAUGCUAAUUUCAGAACUUAAGAGUAAUUAACGACGAAAUGGUCACGAUUUUACAGAUUAAAUUGUUUAGUGGCCAAUUAUUAACAAAAAAUAGUUCGAUGGCCAAAACAUGAUCCCGGCAAUAGUUUAAUGACCGCUGAGAUUUUUUGCCAAAAAAAAAAAGCAUUGACUUUAAAAAAAAAAGAGAGAGAGAAUGCUAGCCACCUUCAAAAGAACAAAAAAGGAUAUAAAUAUACACUUAGGCUAAGUUUGGGAGUUUAGGAUAGAAAAGUGAAGAAGGGAGAACUUAAGUUACGAGAGGACAGAAGAGAUUGUUAUGUUGUUUGGAAAUUUUGAGAAUUAAUUGAAUAAUUUUGGAUAUGAAAGUCAUUAUAUUUGUUCAAGACAUUUUUAAGGAUAAAAUAGAUAUUUUAAAAAAUUUUCAUAAGGUUCCUCCUAAUUUCUUUUUAUUUCUCUCCAAUUUGGGAGGAAAAAUUUUACCUACUAUUCAUGGCUAAUUUCUUAGAAUAUAUGUAUAAAAAAAAACAUCCGUCAAAUGUAGCUUUGACACAGGGUAUUUUUCAAUUUUAUACCUGCCGUGCUGAGUCAGCAUGGCAGCAAACUGAAUUUUCCCUUCCCAGCCAAAUGGUGUCGGCCGAUCAGAGCCUCUGCAAAAAUUUCAAUUCGAUCAGUGGCGGAAAUUUUUUCUUUUAAAUCAGCCUGUCCCCUACCGUGCUGACUGGGUAUGGCUAGGGACAGCCAGUCCAAAAAAAAAAAAGGGCCAUGCGCCUUUGUUAGGGUUUGACCAUUACUGAUUAUUGAACUUUCAAAAACACCCCAUAUUUCUACCGAUCUCCUUUGAUUUCAAAAUUGUUAGAUGCAACCACUUGAAAAAUUUACAUACUUUAUUUGUUUGUUAAAAAAAAAAUCAUGCAAUAGAAAUUCAAUAAUUAACACUAAAAAAAUAGUACCAAAAUUUGAACUAAACAAAAUUCAAGACAUUUUUCUAGUAUUUAGCCACUAAUUUGUUUAAAAAAAUGAAAAGACAUAGCUAACCAUGGUUGUCUCAAAAUUAUUUUGUCUCCAAAAGUUUUUUUUUUAGUACUUUACCCUUUUCGUCAGUCAAAAAUAAUGUUUGAUCAUGUUAUAAAUUACUUAACUUUGGGAGGUGUUCAUGUUUCUAUUAGUUGGAACUUUUGGACAAAAUUACCUAUCCGUUUGGAUUAGCUAUUUUUGGGGUUAUUUUUAAAAAAUAGCACUAUAGCAUUUCGUUUUUGAAAUACAAGUCCGUUUGGAUUAGUUGUUUUUGGGGUUAUUUUUUAAAAACAAUAUGAAAAACUUUUACUGUAGAUGUUUUUUGGAUUAUUUUUAGAGGUAUUUUUAAAACACAUUUUUGAGUAUUUUUAUAAUUUAUAAUUUAUAUACAUUUAUGCAUUUAUAAUACAUUUAUAAAUAUUUAUAAAUAAAUAUAUUUAUAUAUUUAUAUAAAAAUAUAUAAAUGUAUUAUAAAUGUAUUAUAUUAUAUAUAAUACAUAAUAUAAAUAUAUUUAUAAAUGUAUAUUAUUAUAAAUGUAUAAAUUAUAAAUGAAUAUUAUAUAAAUGUAUAAUUUAUAAUUUAUAAUUUUUAUAUAAAUAUACAUUUAUGCAUUUAUAAUACAUUUAUAAAUAUUUAUAAAUAAAUAUAUUUAUAUAAAAAUAUAUAAAUGUAUUAUAAAGGUAUUAUAUUAUAUAUAAUACAUAAUAUAAAUAUAUUUAUAAAUGUAUGAGUGUAUAUUAUUAUAAAUGUAUAAAUUAUAAAUAAAUAUUAUAUAAAUGUAUAAAUUAAUAUAUUAUAAAUAUAUAUUAAUAUUAUGUAUAAAUGUAUUAAUAUCAUUAAUAUAAAUGAAUAAAUGUAUUAAUAUUAUGUAUAAAUGUAAAAUUAAUAUUAUGUAUAUUAAUAUAAAUGUAUAAAUGUAUUAUAUUAUAUAUAAUACAUAAUAUAAAUGUAUAUUAUAAAUAUACAUUAAUAUAUAUAUUAUGUAUAAAUGUAAAUUUAUAUAAAUGUAUAAUAUAUAAAUAUUUAAUAUAUAUAAUAUACAUCAAUAUUAAUUAUAAAUAUUAUAAUAUUAUAAAUAUGGUGUUUAUAUAAUAUUUCAAUUUGUAAUAUUUAUUGUAUAUUUCAUUAUAUAAAUAUUUAUAAAAUAUAUAAUAUAUAUUUUUCAAUUUGUAUAAUAUACAUAAUAUUGUAUAUAUAAUAUAAUAUAAUAUAUUAUACAUAAUAUACAUUUAUACAUUAUUAACUAUUAUGUAUAUUAUAUAUUAUACAUAACAUUAUUAUACAUUAUUAUACACAAUAAUUUACAUAAUAAUAUUAUACAUUAAUAAUGUAUAUAUUAUAAUAUAAUGUACAUAAUAUAUUAUGUAUAAAUAUUUAUACAUUUAUGUAUACAAUAUUACAUAUUUUGUAUAUUAUAUUAUAUUAUGUAUAAUAUACAAUAUUAUGUAUAAUAUUAAUGUAUAUAAAUAUUUAUAUAAUAUAUAAAUAUAUAAAUAUAUAAUUUUCAAUUUGUAUAUUUCAAUUUAUAUUAAUAUAAUAUAUAUAUUAAUGGUGUUUUUGGAAUUAUUUUGGAAAUACACAUUUAAUGUAGCAUUUGGAAUGUGAAAAAUAGUUUUUCAAAAACAGAAGCAAAAACAAGGAAUCCAAACGGAUCCCACACUUUUUCUAACAAAUCCCUCUCAUAAACCUUACCAAAGCUUACCCUUUCUACUUUAAAGAAAGAACCAUGGUUUGCUAUGUCUUUUCAUUUUUUUAACAAAUUAGUGGCUAAAUACCAGAAAAAUAUCCUGAAUUUUGUUUAGUUCAAAUUUUGGUACUAUUUUUUUAGUGUUAAUUAUUGAAAUUCUAUUGCGUGAAUUUUUUUUCUAACAAACAAAUAAAGUAUGUAAAUUUUUCAAGUGGUUGCAUCUAACAAUUUUGAAGUCAAAGGAGAUCGGUAGAAAUAUGGGGUAUUUUUGAAAGUUCAAUAAUCAGUAAUGGUCAAAGCCUGACAAAUGCACAUGGCCCUUUUUUUUUUCAUGGACCGGCUGUCCCUAGCCGUGCCCAAUCAGCACGGCAGGGGAUAGGCUGAUUUUUUUAAAAAAAUUUUCGCCGCUGAUCGCACUGAAAUUUUUGCAAAUGCUCUGACCGGCUGACACCAUUUGCCUGGGAAGGGAAAGUUCAGUUUGCUGCCGUACUAAAUCAGCACAGCAGGUAUAGAUUGAAAAAUACCCUGUGUCAGAGCUACAUUUGACAGAUUUUUUUUAUAUACAUAUAUUCUAAGAAAUUAGCCUACUAUUCAUCCUCCCAUUUUUUUUCUUUUCUUUCUUACUAAAAACUCACAAACAAAAGAAAAUCAGACUUUAUCUUCUCUCCCUUUCUUUUCAGUCCAAGCCCUCAACUCCCAAAGGCACCCUUAUAUUAGUUCCGUUUGGAUUAGCUGUUUUUUGAGGUGUUUUUGAAAAAUUUUACUAUAAUAGUGUAUAUAAAUUUUUUUUUGAAAUAUUUAAUAUAUUGUAUGGAUGAGAUGUUUUUUUAGUUAUUGUGUAACACUGUAACAUUAUAUUUGAAAAACUUAGGGUUUGUUUGGAUUGCUUCAUAUUUUCCCAAUUUUAUUUGCUUACAUCAUCUUUACAAUUUCCAAUACACCUUUUUAUCUUCCCAAUAUCUUUUUAUCUCACAUACAUCACAUCACAAAAAGUGCUACAGUAAAAAUAUCUCAAAUAAUCCCAAAUAACUUACAAUCCAAACAGACCCUUAUUUUAGUAAAAAUACCCAAUACUAGGAUUUUGGAUGAUUUGUUAAUAUAUGGAAGGCAAUUUAUUGCUUAAUAGUAGGAUUUUGGUAUAAAUUAUGAAAAACAAUACGAUAUAUUGCACCAUUAAUGUUUAAUUUCUAACGAUUGACCAAAUUAUGACAUUUGAUUUUUAAUAACUUACUUAUAACACAAAGCACAAGAGAAGUUCUACGAUGCAAUUAGGAGGAGGUACUAGCAAAUAAAACAACAGCUACCCCCAAUCAAACUAUUAAAGUUCAAGCCAGGUCGUAUAAGCACAAUUAGCGCAAAUCUUCAACAUCACGUGUUAGAUACUUGGAUAUAUCUAUGAAAUGUACGGACCUGUUUGGCACCCUAGUUUUUUACCAAAUUUUUUACCUACUAAUUUUUUAAUAAUUUUUGCUACAGAAAUCCAAAAAAUUUCCCAAAAUUUUUUAUCUACACACUUCAAAAAUCUAUACACACAAAAUUCCUCAAAAACUUUUCUUUUUCCCUCACCCAACCCACCACACCAGCCACCACCUCCAUCAUCUCUCCCGGCGCCGGUAACCUCACAAAAAAUUUCUCUAAUUAAACCUCAAGUUUUGAUUUUGUCCGCUUCAAGCGCCGGAAGAUUCAGUCCGCUCUGAAACAACCAACAAAAAGUUCAUAUCUCACCAAUUCUGCUCACUCUCUUUGAGCCUUCUCUCCCUGCCGUCACAGCAUGAAUUUUAAUGAAAACCAUUUUAAUGAAAUGAAAAAUUAGCAGAGCUACCCAAAAAAAAGAAAAAAAACCCAAGAAAAUUAAUACUAGGAUUUUAGGAGGAGCAACAAAUACAAAAGAGAAAACAAAUCAUCAAGAAGAAGAAGAUGGAGGAGCCCAAAAGUACUUUUCCCAAGCAACGAAGGAACAAGACUCUGAUCAGCAGAAUGGGCAAAGCCGGGGGUGGUGGAGGGAUUGGAGUUGGAAUUAUUUUCUUGGGCGGAGCAGUAGCCAGUGCUACUGCAGCUUUCCUCAUCAAGAGGCGGCUCCAAAAGUCCACCAGAAAUAUCAAGAAUUGCAGCCAUGAUCCGUCAACUCCAUCCGCUGAGAUUCCUUACAAAUUGCUGGAGGACAAAAACACAAAUCAAGCCAAGGGCCUAAAGUUUAUUGCUCGCGAUUCAAAUUCUCCUGCAUGUACGGAUACGUAUCAAAACUUGAGGUUUGUAAUUGCCGAAAGAUCCUGGUGGGGGGAGGGAGAGGGAGGGGGGAGAGGAGAAAAGCAAAAAAGAAAAAAAAAGAAAAAGAGCAGAGGUAGUACUGACAGAGGUGCUGGAGGUGGGAGGCGAACGGGAAGUGGGAGGGGAAAGGAAGAAGAAGUAAAGGAGAGGAAAGAAAAGAAAAAGGAAAGAAAGAAAAAGAAAAAGAAAGAGAAAGAGAAAAAAAAAAGUUUUUCGCUUCAUAAAAAUUUCUACAAAAUUUUUCACAUUCUAAAAACUUUUGUAAAAUUUUUUUAAAAACUUAUACAAUACACUAUAGUAAAAUUUUAGACAAACUCUUAAAAAACUCAGGUUCAAACAGACCGUAGUUUCGUGGAAUUAAACUUCUGCAAAUAUGAAUCAAUUAUUAAAUAAAAGAAAUAAAUUGAUUUACUUUUUGUGCCCUUAUUGCUAUCAUACUUACCUAUUCCCUGUAAUUUGCUAGACUUGAUUAGAUUUAGAAGCAAGUAAAACAACGUUCUCAAUCGCGAGGAAGAAACCAUUCGAUCAUCAAAAAGAGCACGCCCAUAAGAAUUCCACACAAUAUGGAUUCAAAGAUCCGACAACUCAAGGAACAGAAGAACGCACUAGAAUUUAUUUAAUAUGGUAAAUCACAGAUCACCAUAGAUUCAUAUAUCUAGGUAUAAUCAAUCACAGAUCACCAUAGAUUCGUAUAUCUAGGUAUAAUCAAAGGCGUAUUUACAUCUCCAAGUUCAUAAAAAACAAAGAAAUCAGAAGAUCAACAUUUGAUAAUCACAGCCGAUGACGAUGACGAUGACGAUGAUAUUUAUGAUCUUCAGUCUUCGUUCUUAAUAGGAUCUUCAUAGUUGGGAUCAUUUACGUCGAGAGCUUCUUUGGGGAUCCGUCCUAGCUCAACAUCAGAGUAACCGUCACCGGACCACGUGAACUUGCCGCCAUGGCCACCUUUCUUCGGCGAUCCAUUCAUGCCUGUAGCCGAUUUCCUGUCUCUCCUGAUCUCCUGACCGUUGCCGGCCUUCACAUUUGUCUUGGAGCUUUUGCCGGAAUUCCUCAUCUGUCUCUCUCCACUCGUGGCUCUUCUGUAGCUACUCUAUCAAUUGAAGCGAGUGAGAACAGGAAACCCAGGUUGGCAGAAUUUAUAGGAAGCUGGGGUGGUUUGUACAUUGGGAGCGGUAUUUUAAUCGCGACCUUGUGGGCUGAUCAUGUAACGUGACAGCGACCGUAACAAAUGGAUAAGAACGGACUAUUCUUUCUUUUUUUUUUCUUUUUUUUUUUUUUUGGGGGGGGGGGGGGGGUAUGGGAACAAACUCGUCGGUUUUCUUUACUAGCCAAAUCAAUGAUCAUACACUCACAUUAGCACAUUUGAGCAUUGGGCAGUGGUUGUUGGAAUUUAACAUUUUUUUAAAAAAUUUGAAAUUCUCAUUACUUGAUUAAAAUUUGUAAAUUUUAAAAAGAAAAUGCUGUAUAUAGCUACACCUUGCCAUUGGUUUUUUUUUUGUUCAAUAGAAAGGGUUUUGACUCAUUUCUUUUGUAUUCCUGCACAUCAUUACUCAACUAUGGCAUUCUAGCUUUAAUGUAAACCCUUUGGCUUUGGUACAAAUAAACUAUAGGUCAAUUAGAACUCCACCAUAACCCAGAGAGAAGGGUCUUCACACGCUUUGACCAGGACAAGAAGCUGGAUAUACAAAACGGAAUUGAUGUAAAUUUGCAAUGAUUAUCGAUGAAUGUACCAGUGCCUAAAGAAUUUUUUACGAAUUUUUUUUGUGAAAAAAAAGAAUAACAAAAAACUUAUCCCACCAGUUUUUUUUUUUUUAGUUAUUAAUGUACAUAUUUAAUGCAUUUCCUUCAUGACAUUGAUGUUAGACCAAAUUGUUAUUCUUGACUUGUACCCAAAGACACUCACAAUAAGUCAAGUCCUGAUAUUGGAACUUCUUAUAUAUUUGAAAAAAUAAAAACUUUAGGAAAACAGUAAUUGUUUGCUUAACUUCUGCUAUGCAAAUGAAUCGUUUACUAUUUUCUACAAACAUUCCCUUAACUUCUUGUACCAGUUUGCUGGUUAAUUAUUUCACUCAAAGCCCUGCUCCAGAGAUUGUUAAACUCAAAAUGACUGAGGGCCUCGGGCAGCAUGGAAACCAAUGCCAGUAUAAUUAAUGGAGUUCAGAAAUAAUACCUAUUUAAUGGAGUUUGUUUGGAUAGGAAGAUUUGCAAAAAAAAUUAAAAUUAAAAUUUAUUCUAUUUACAUCAUAAAUAUAAUUUUCAAUUAUCUUUUUAUCUCGCAUGCAUUGCAUCACAAAAAAAGUGCUAUAAUAAUUAUUUUAAAUAACCUCAUAUCUCAAAUGCAUCACAUCUCAAAUGUAUCCCAGUCGCUUUCAAUUUGAUUCGCGAUUAUAGUAUUGAAAAAACAUGGCACGAAUCGAAUGGAAGAAAAUGAGAAUCGUCCUAUUGUCAAUAAUUAUUCACUCUCUUUUUCUUCCCCAUCACCCUUCAAUUUUUUCACGAGGAGCAGAGGCGGAGGCAAGUGUAACUGAGGGUAGGCAAUUACCCCAUCUUCCCCUCCCCCCUUCCCCGGGCAACAAACCUCCUCUUCAAUUUUGAGAUAUUUUCUUUUCAAGCUUAGAAUUUUUGAAAAAUUUUAAGUUGUUCCUUAUUUGAACCCCUUGAAAUUUUUCAAAAUUUCAUUUUUAUCUACUUUGCCCCGAUAUUUGUAUAAAAAUCUCUUUCUUAUCUAUAUUGUCUCCCUAAAGAACUUUUAAAUAUUUAUUUUUCAUUUACAUUGACUGCUCUUAAUAAAUUAAAAAUUUUUAAUUUUUACACUUCACAAGAAGUUGGAUAUAAUUAAAAUUAGUUAUUCAUGUAAAUUUAACAAUAAACUCUGUUAACGUUUCCAAACUACCACUACAUUGUAGUACAAUUUAGAUAUCAAAAUAUAAUUGACAUAAUGAUAAAAAUGUAUGCUUAACAUAAAUGCCUUUUAGUUAUAAAUUUACUAUAACUACAAUUGAUGUGGCGUCAAAAAUUGAAAUCUCAAAUCCUAGGGCCCUAAUUCUGAGCAAGGUGGGGCUUCAAAUCUUUUAUUCCCAAAGUAGUCUCUGUCCCAUCUGUCUCUUAUUUGUACAGCUGACACGUGUCUCUAGCAUUUUGUUAACCCAAACUUAAAUAAAUCGAUAAUAAUCAGUUUAUAAGUUUACUCAAAAUCAAUUAAAACCAUAGUUAUUAAACCCAAUCCGGGAAGGAACCCGGCGAAGGAGGUGGGUCAACGGGUUACUGGUUGAACCGGUGGGUGAGUGGUUGAACCGGUGGGUCACUACAUAUAUUUAAAUAUUAUAUUUCAUAAUUAUUUAUAUAAGAUAUAUGAUAUAAAUUGUAAUAAAUAAUGUCAUAACAAAAGCUCAUUUAAUUUAAUUUGUUAUAAAAUAAUUAAUUCAUAUAAGAAUCAAUCAAAUAUAAAGUUAUUUAUUAAUAUACCAAUCUUCAAGUGUAAAAUUUUAUCUAUAUUUAGUGUAAUUAUCUAGCUUAUUUAUGAAUUUUAAGUGUAAAAAUUUAUUAAAAAUAAUAUUUGUCUUUAAAUGAAUUAUGUAAUAUGUUAUUUUUGGAAUCCAUUUUAUAACUUAUAGAGUUUGGAGGGUAAUAAAUUUUUAUUAAAAGAUUCCAAAUAAAUUUGUUUUAGAGAAAAAAAGAUAGAAUUGAAAAAACAUUUAUAUAUCAUACUAAAGCUACUAUAUCAAUAUAUUUGGAAGUGGUUUGGUGGUAAGCAAGCGGUAGUGUGAGGGCAAAGGUCGGAAGUUCGAGUCCCAACAAUAGCAAUAUAAUUUUUCCACAAAAUCCGGUUAGUGACAAAACCGGCCAAAACCGGCCGGGUUUCCGGUUUAACCCAGUUCGACCGCCGGGUCGUUGACUAAGUCAACGGUCUGUGUGCACAAACGAUCUGAUUCCAAACCCGGCCCGGUCCAAUGACCGGUCCACCGGUUUGACCGGUUCGACCGCGCGGGCCGGGCCGGGUUUAAUAACAAUGAUUAAAACAGAUAACUCAAAACUUUUUUUAUUUUCUUUUUUAACAAAAAAGAGUCUUGUUGAUCAUAAACAUAGAAAUCAACUGAAACUCUUCUUUAUUUUUUACUCCAAAUCAACAAGACUCUUUAUUGUUAAAAAAAAAAUUUUAAAAAGUUUUGAGUUAUCUGUUUUAAUUGAUUUUGAGUAAACUUGUAAACCAAUUAUUAUCGAUUUAUUUGAGUUUGGGUUAGACACGUGACAGCUGUACAAAUAAGAGACAGAGGGGACAGAGGAUUUGAAGCCGCAAGGUGGCUUUCCCGUGAUCCUUCAAUUGUUCCAUAAGAAAUAGUUAUGCUCUUUGCAUGUUUUAUAAUAGCUAUACAAUAACUAUACAACAUAUAAUGCCUAAGUCACAGUUGUUGGUGUAAAAUGCCUUUGGUCAUCUUUUAAACUUUCUAUUUUAUCCUUAUAAAGAUUAAUCUAUACGAUACAAUAUAUAAUGCUUGAGUAAUGAUAACUGGCGAAAAUUUUUUGUUGUCUUUUAAACUUUCAAAUUUGUCCUUAUAAAAAUUAAAUUUUAUUAUAAUCACCUAAUUACAUUUUGCUAAUAUAACCCCUCAUAACCACCAUAAAAUAUUGUAACUACCAAAUUAUUGUAAUCGUAUAAGCCAAAACUUUUUUUCAUGAAAAUUUUAUGCAAAGUUUUUGUAUGCAACAAACAAAAAUUUAUACAAAUUUGAUCUAUUUUAAUUAUUCCCGAAUUCCGCACACAUGAGGUGUGCCCUUAAUGCGAGUUUAUGAUAAUUGCAACUCCACUGUCUAUCAUAUUUAUUACAUUUGCCAGAAAAUUCUUCUGGUGAUAAGAAAAAAGUUGUUUAAAAGUGGCAGCAACGAGUUAAGAGUGAUAUGUUUCACUAGGUGCCUAAUUAAACAGGGAAUAAAUAGAUUUUUGGAAGAUAAUUGGUUGACAUCAAUGAAUUCAAUAUCCAAGAAGCUUAUUCCUGAUAUGUGGGCUAGCAACUGUUAAUGUGGUCCUCAAUAUAUUCUGUUUAUUUUCGUUAUUUUUGGGUUGUUGGGAAAUAUUUAUUAUAUUGAUUUGCUUCUUAUCAUGGACUAAAGUUUUGGUUUAGAAUAGAUUUUCUUUUUCCUCAUUUAGAUCCAUGGACUAAAUUGAAACUAGUCAGAGCACCUAGUUAAACUGCAAAAUCAAGGACUAAAACUAAUUAAUUCUAUAUCCCUAUUUACCCAAAGCCAAUAAAAAAAAAACCCCAUUUACUUAAAUUUUUUUGGUAUAAUUUAACAAAAAUAAAAUUUUCUGGGUUAAUUAGUUAUUAUAACGACUUAACGUGCCAAAAUCCGGUCCAACGAUCCAAGACACCCGUAAACUACCGAACCCGGUUGAUUGGCUGACAUGGCCAAUCGUGAUUGGAGGUAACCCCCACGCAACAGCACCUCUCCCGACCACUCCCAAAACCCUACCGUUCGUCGAAUGGUAAAAGGGGGAAUAAAAAUAGAAAUUUCCAAAACCUCUCAACAAAUACAAAGGAGAAAGCCGAGGAAAGUAUAAUGACCGCUGCGUUGUAUGCCUACUUAUUUCCGACGGCGGCCUCUCCCUCCCAAUUUGCUCCUCCCAAGCUUCUCUUCUCUUCAAAAUUCUCUCAAAUCCCUCCUCAUUUCUCCCACCUUUCAACCCGUGAGUCUCUCUUCUUCUUCUCUCCAAACGUUUUGCAUCAGCUCUUACACUUAUUUUUAUCUCGUAUGACUAUUGUUUUAGUUGUUUAAUUAUCCUAAAAUAUAAGAUAAUUUAGUCAGUUACUUGUAAUUAUUGAAAUACCAAUGCUUUUUAUCUGCUAGGAAGACGUGCACUUUUUACUACUCCAAUUUAGUAGUUUAGAAAGAGCUGCUACUUUUAGUUUUAUGUUCGAUUAGAUUCAAGAGUUACUGAUGCAAAUUUGGGUAGCAUGGCGUGUGCAAUGUACUUGAUUUUCGCUACGUCAUACAGCUGCAAUUCUGUGGCUUAAUUAUUGGUGCUUUGGUGGGUGCAUUGGUUUGUUGGAGAGAGUUGUGUCUUUCUAAAAUGAGGUCGUGUGUUCUUGGGCAGCAGCUCUUUUUUAUUACGUUUAUGUUUCCUUUCUUUUUCAAUUAUCUUUGAAACUGAAACCUUUUAGACGUUUUUAGUUUUCAAGGGAAAAAUGAAAAUUAGCAUUGUUGAAGUGGUUUUAAAAUAAUGGUGGGGGGAUAAUAUGUUGAUGAAAUCAACAUAUAAUAGACGCUUGACAGGUUUGUGGUUAUUUGUCUGUCACUUGAAGAUAAUAUGUUGAUGAAUUGAGAAUUUUUGAGUCAUUGUAUUCUUUUUGAAUGAUUUAGAAAUUAAUUUUUAUGGGAUGUUUGAUAUCGUUACUUGUUCUUUGUGCUAACCUGUUAUUUUGGUGUGGUUAUUGUGAAACUAGACAGGUAUUCUGAGAACAGCUAGUAGGCCUUUCUCUGUGGCAAAACUGCAAUCUGUAUCAUCCAUGGCAGAGGUAAUUUUUCAUUAGUAUGUGCAACAUAAAUGACUACACAGUCACAGAAAAGACUGCAUAUAUUGAUAGGUGUUUGCUUUUGGAGAAUGUGACAUUUAAUAUGACAGUUCACUGAGCUGGGUAGGAAAAUUGGGGAUUUUUGAUCAACAAUUUGGAGAACUUAAGGUAGUGGUUGGUAGCCUGUAUGAUUUAGAUGUAAUCCAUAUGCACACUUACUGAAUGGAGGCUAGUGCAAAAAAGAUUGGCUUAUACCCAUCUCUGCACCUUGAUAUGUGUUUCCUUUGGAGGAUUUGACGUUCAGCAUUAUACUUCACUGUGCAGGUUAUGGAGAGAGUAGGGAGUGUUAAGCAACAAUUACAGAGACUAUUUGGAGAAGCCUUCAGAGAUAAAUUUCCUGAUGAGUUAGAUAUAGUUCCUAUUAUUACUCCUUGCAAAGAUCUAAGACACGGCGAUUAUCAAUGGUAUGCAAAAGCUUCUCAUAUUCACAAAUGGUGUAUUAGAUUGUCUAUGGAUGCUAAUUGAUUGGUUUUGCAUUGAAAUGUUGGUCUGUUGUGUGUGAAAUUACAACAUUUCCAUGCCUAGAAUCUUUUUGCAUAGCAUUUGUUCCCUGCAAUGCUGAUUGAGGAAACUAUUCUUUUGGUCCAGCAAUAAUGCAAUGAGCUUAUUUGCGAAAAUUAAAGGCAGAGUUCCUGAAUUCAAGAAACCGCAGGCUGUGGGACAGGUAUUCAUGGUUUCAUUUUAGUAUCACCCAAAUCUAGAAUGACUAUUGUGACAUAAAAGUUAGGUCCUUUUAUUAAAGCAUGAAGAUUCAGUUGUUCUCAUUCCAUUUGUAGGCAAUCAUGGACAGUCUUCCUGAUUCAGAAAUGAUUAGGGGGUGCACAAUAGCAGGACCUGGCUAUGUAAACGUUACAUUGUCAACAGAAUGGAUGGCAAAGGUAUUUAGCCUUUCUUAAUUUCACCAAGUGUUGUCAGUAGUUUUAUGUUUCAUAUGGAUACUAAAUGUUCCCAAAUUUGCAUUGCUGUGUAAUUAUUGCUGGAUGGGUAGAAACAAUAAUAAGUGAUAAUAUUGGCAAUGAUGAUAAUAAUGUUAUCAUUCUUCCUGCAGAGAAUUCAUAAUAUGCUUAUUGAUGGUGUUGAAACAUGGGCGCCAGAACCUCCAGUCCAAAGGGCAAUAGUUGAUUUUUCCUCACCUAACAUAGCAAAAGAGAUGCAUGUUGGGCACUUAAGAUCUACCAUUAUUGGAGACACACUGGCCCGUAUGCUGGAGUUUCAAAAUGUUGAAGUUUUUAGGAGAAACCAUGUUGGUGACUGGGGAACACAGGUUAUGGCAAUUUUGGCUACAUGUCUAAUUUUCCACUUGGUUCUUUUACUUUUGCCUUGUGGCCAAUGUGAUUUUCGGCAUUUUUUGAUUUGUUUACAUCUAUUAGUUUUGCUUCUUAUUUGCUCUACCUUCAAAGUAUUAAUUGUGGAAAAUCUAGAGAUCUGUUUUUUGGUUGUUCGGAUUGGAGAUGUCCAUGGAUCGUAGUCUCCUUGGUAUUAUUUGUUUGUCAUUUUGCUAUACCUUUUUAGAUGGUUUCCACCCAAUCUAUUUUCCCAUCUUUUACCUUAUAGGAACGGUGUAAAAGUAGGCAGAUUGCGCAAGGGGGUUUCACUUGUCACAAGCAGUCUGAUAGGCUUGGUUAUUUGUUUAUAUUAUCUGUUAUCCACGAACCUAACUUGUCACAUUAGUUUGUAUUAAUAUAGCUCUGUAAGCGACUUCACAAAUUAAGUUCCAUCUCCUGUCCUGCAUGAUGUAUUUCUACUGAUGUGACAAUCAUGUGUGAUCGAUUGUGACCAACUCUUUGGUUACCCCAUUUAUUUGAAUCCUAUUUUUUAUUAUUUGUUUUGCAGUUUGGCAUGCUGAUAGAAUAUCUAUUUGAAGAAAAUCCUAACUGGGAGGCUGCUCCAACUGAAGCCAUUGGAGAUCUACAAGUGAGUGCAAGAUAAAAUAUGACUAUUCAUGAUUUUUUACUUGUUUCAUAUUAUUCUGUUGAGAGGUGGUAAAUAUUUUCAAGGAAUGGCUUGCUUUUAUAAUGCAUUUGGGUACACAGGUCUUAUUGAAUUCAUUUUUUAAUAAAAGAAUUUAUCUGGGAAAAUAUUCAACUUCUACUAUUUAUGUUGUUUCCUCCUCAGGACAGUAGGUGGGUACUAUGAUGCAGAUGGAAAUUCACGUUAUUUUAAAUGCACUUGUUUAGCAGAUUCCUGUUGGUUCGUGAGUCUUUGUAGCUGUUCAAUUUUACAAAACACGAUCAUCUGAUGUCUAUUAAAUUGUUACCAUUUUCAGGAAUUUUAUAAAGAAUCAAAGAAGAAAUUUGAUGCCGAUUCUGAUUUUAAAGAGAGGGCCCAGAAAGCAGUAGUCAGUCUUCAGGUGAAUCACCUCAAUUUUGUAGUUGAAGCUUCAGUAGUGCGUGAUUUUGAUGUUCAUAAAUCCAUUCAUGCUAAAGGUUUUUGUAUUCCUUCGUUUGUUUGUUUGAGGAUUCAGGUUAUCAAUAUAUUGAAGUUGAUUUAGUGGUUGUCCUUGUUGGCAAUUCUAUUGUCAUGCUGUAAGUUAAUUUUUGUAACAGGGAGGAGAAGAGAAGUAUCGGAAGGCAUGGGCACAGAUCUGUGAAACUAGUCGAAGGGAAUUUGAUAAAGUUUAUCUGCGGCUAGGUAUUAAGUUGGAGGAGAAGGUAUGGAAUGGAAUGUUUGCAGUUUUGUAGCUUUACAUGAUGAAACGAACACUAAAUAAGCAAUGUAUGUCUUGCAUUCCAGUUGAGUGUUUGAGAAGUCUCUUUCCACUGGCCUUUGACUGCCUAGGUUUGAUCAUUUUCUAAUGCAAUUUGGUCUCUACAACUUAUGGGUCCUGUACUUUUUGUGAUUCAACUAGGUGUUUUUAAAUUGGGACACAUGUAUAAUAUAUUGACAAUGACAAAUGGUCGUCUAGGAUGAAUACACUUUGUGACCUGGUUUUCACAAAGGCCACUCUUUAUCUGUAUGUAUUGUUAAUCAUUUUUCUAUCUUCCAUCAUAAUGACAACAAACAUGAGGGAGUACUCGAGUCCUGGAAUAUACAGGAGGACAAAUAUGCAGUUUUAGUUAUAUUGGCUUGUAAAUGCCAAUGGAGAGGAAAGGGAGGAAAACUGUGGGUGCUUGUCUCGAAUAUGGGAGACAUCUCUGUCUCCCAUAUUUGAUCUUUUUAAAAAAAAAUUUUGUAUGCUUUAGUUAAUAGUUGAUGACUAAGCCAGAAUGCAUUAUACUUGGUAUUUUGUUUAAAUUCUAAUGAUUGUGCCUUCGGAAUUAUGUACACAAUAGCUUAAAAAUGCAUUAGUUUUUAAAUUGGGAAGUUUUGCAUAUGUCUUAGUUGACUUGGAGUGUGUAGGGACUAGUGUAGUCUUUGUUCUUGACUGUGCACAUGCCCAGGUUUAUUUAUCUCUUCUCUCUUCUUAUUAGGGGGAAAGCUUUUAUAAUCCAUAUAUCCCAACGGCUUUAGAGCUAUUGAGUAAAGAGAACUUAAUUGAAGAAAGUGAAGGUGCACGCGUUAUCUAUGUUGGCGGGAUCACAAGACCUCUUAUUGUUGUGAAGAAGGAUGGUGGUUACAACUAUGCUUCAACUGAUCUUGCUGCUUUGUGGUUUGUUUUCACUUUUUGGAUGUGUUUGUUAAUGGGAUUAACAUUCACUGUCUACUUUUCUUUUAAUAGUAUUGUAGAUCAACUGUUUUAUGCAUUGCAUGUGGCUGAACUUUUUUAAAAAAAAAGUGUGUUAUACAUAUAACUACUUAUAUAGAUUUUUUGACAGAGUAUAAUAUGGAUUAAAUUAUCUUGUAUGAUUAUUUUGUUAUUGAUUUGUGAGUUUGUCACAUUGCCCAUAUUAGAUGACUUUUGCUGCUCGUCAUUGUCUUGCAAUUUCGUCUGUGUUCUUAUAGGCAUAGACUUGAGAGGUUUAUUUUUCCAAAAAGUGAAAGAAGUAUGAGGGUCAAAUUUGAAAAACUAGUUAAUCAAUCCUGGAUACCUUAUUCUUGUAAGUUCUUGGAAUCUCUGUAGGUGAAUACAUGCUGGUCAAGCAUUAGUUUAAAACCACAGAUUAUUCAGUCUGUAGCUAAAUCUGGAAGUCUGGAAAGAGUAGCCGUGGCUACGAGCUCAAAAUACCUGCUUUACAUGACUGAAAUAUGCCACCAUUCUAUAUAUAUUUGUCACAUAAGAGAAUCUAGACAAGAUUACUUCGAAUGCAUUUUUAAUCAACCUUUGCGUGCACUGUUUGGUUGCUUCUGCCUCAAUUAUCAAGCAACUAUGUUAAACCAGACUCGAGUUAGCCCUGCUGUACCUGUGUCCUACUCUUCAUUUUGCACUAGAGUAGCUGUUUUUUGGGGGGGGCGCACCCAUACCCAAGUCCAGGAACAUAGUCAAGCUAGCUAACAUAUUUGAUAGUGGCUAGUAUGCGAUUUGCCUAAUAGUGCACUUAGUGUGAACAAUGAUUUUCGGCCUGUUCAUAAGAUGUUGCAAUUUAUUACCAUUGGUGCAUGAGAACGUGAUUAAGAAAGGACUGUUCUGUGUCAUCCUACCUAGCCCUAGACCCCUGAUGAGGAAAUUAUUAAGAUGAGGAGAAAGUUCAUAAGCUCCUAUUUAGUUGGCAUCUUUCAAACAAAUAAUGCACGUAUUAACUUCAAAGUUAAUCUCUUGUGAAAUGUUACCUUUACAAGGUUUUGUAUACUAAAUGUUAGGGGAUUCAUCCCUUUAUAACGGAAAUUUGCCUAAAAUUGCAUUGAUUCUUCUUCCUGCUAUCUUUCCUCUGUGAUUUGGCAUGCCAUGCUCCUAACCAGAGUUGCCACCUGCUUACAAUUUUAACUAAUGAUGUCAAGAGCAGUUCCAGAACUAUCAUUUGGGCAAGGUUGGGGUUUUGUCAGGGGUGGUGUAAGGAGGGGUGGAGGCCCAGGUGCUAGGUCCUGCUGCAUAUUUCUUAUGUGUCUUUUUAUGCUGUGAUGUUUCAUAGCCCAAGAGAAGCAGGUUAAAUGCAAAUUGUUUGCCAUUAUAAUGGCGUUAAGCUUUUGCUUCAAGUGUCAAAAGGCAUGAUAGUGAGGGUAGGUUAUUUGAGAGUAAAAAAAAAAAGAAUUUGGCUUGUACCAUGCCCUAUAGAUUAUAAUUCAGAAAGACUGUUUUCUCUAACAUUUAUUUGAUGACUACCUAUAAAGAGAUAGGCAUUGAAAUUUUAUAUUGGUGUCUUAAUUUACAUGUGACUUUUAGUAGUAGGAAUAUUUGUCUAAUUAUUGAGGUUUUCUGCCUGCAAUUUGUAGGUAUCGGCUCAAUGAAGAAAAAGCAGAAUGGAUCAUAUAUGUAACUGAUGUUGGCCAGAGGGAGCACUUUGAAAUGUUUUUUGCUGUAAGUAAUUCAUAUCCCGAUAGAUGCUGCAUCCCACCCCCUAACCCUGGAAAGGAAAAAAUUUAUUUGUUUGAUCGGUUGAUCUUUGUGCAAUUAUCUUCUAUUCUAGGCUGCCAGACGGGCAGGUUGGCUUCCAGCUGAAGAAGAUAAGUAUCCCAAAGUCAGCCAUGUGGGUUUUGGUCUUGUUUUAGGAGAAGAUGGAAAGAGAUUCCGUACGCGAGCUACUGAAGUUGUUAAACUAGUUGAUUUACUUGAUGAAGCUAAGAAUCGGUGUAAAGCAACUCUGAUUGAAAGAGGUAAGGAUGUUAUCGAUGAACUGUUUUUCUUAAUAUGUGACCUCUCAGGCUACUUUUGGCACAUAUCAUGCUCGAGUUUUGUCAAUGCCUCCUUUCUACUCCACUUUCACCCUGUAAGUAUCUGAAUAACCUUUAACUCCUUGAACCAUGAUAAAUGUUUGAAUAUUGAUCAGGCAAAGCUGAGAAAUGGACUGGGGAGGAGCUUGAGCAAACUGCUGAAGCUAUUGGAUAUGGGGCUGUAAAGUAAGUUCCUAUUGCUUGUCCACUUGUUUGUUCGCACUUUCUUGAAGUUUCCCCACUUCUAAGUUUUAUCUUAAUAGUGAUUUUGUUGGAUGUUAAUCAGGUAUGCUGACCUAAAGAACAACAGGUUAACCAACUACACGUUCAAUUUCGAUCAGAUGCUUAAUGACAAGGUGCGGCGCUUGAUUUCUUCUCUUAUGCAACCAGUAUUCAUGUUUUUCUUUAUAAUGCAUUUCUCCUUAUUCUUCCAAAGUUCUGCAUUCUUUGUUCAUUACAUCAAACAAGAAAUAGUUGGCUCCUCACCAAUAUAAUUUCUGAAUUGCAUAUUGUCACUUGAAGUCUUCAUGACUAUGCCUAUCAAUCUAAUUACCCAUCUUGUUUCUACAAGCCUCUGAUGCUUUUUUUUUUUUUUUAAAUAAAUCUUCUACCCUGUUACCAUACAUAUAGUAUUGCUUGUUUUUAUAUUGAACAGGGAAAUACUGCUGUCUAUUUGCUGUAUGCACAUGCUCGAAUUUGUUCAAUCAUCAGGAGAUCUGGUAGAGAUGUAGAGGAGUUGAAAAAGGUAGAGGUUCUUCUUCUUCUUCAUGCUUACAACAGUAGAGUAUUUGAAUUAUAAUGGUGAAUUUUCCAAUGUAUUCUUCUAUAUUCAAGAACCUUGAUCACGAAGUCAACUUUGGUGAUUAGCCAGUAUGAUUUUGUUGGAUUACAAAGUGGAAGAAGUGGUUUCCAAUGAUUUUACUCAAUAGUAAACACCCCAUCUGCAAUUCGUGUUUUGUGUGUUGUACACGUGUUCUGCACAUGUCUCUGCCUUGUCUGAUGAACGACUUGGUCUAAUGUACACAAAUUUUUUUGGAUUGAAGAGUAAAGUUCAGUCCUUAACUUAGAGGAAGAAGUCUAGAAGUUAAGAAUCAAGUAAUAAAUUCAGAGCCUUUGCUAACUCAGAGCCUUUGGAGUAGAAGUUUCAGAUUAGAGCUUUAUGGUGAUAAUCUGCGACUUAGAACUCAUAUGCUUUCUGCUCUUACUGUGCUAUCAGAUGAAUUGACUAUCCAUUUGGAUUUUUAUUUGUUGCUCUUUUUCUCUUCUUAUGAAAAAGUGCUUAUGAUGUAUUACAAGAAUGACAAUCUUUUUUGGAUUUAUUCAAAAGCCUAACCCUACUCUGUUUUGGAUAAAGCAAUGCAGCUUCUUUGAAAUUUUCAGUAUUUACUGAAAAUUGAACCUAGCCUUGGAUGACAGUCUUCUGUCUAUAAAAAAUCAACUAGGAGCCUGCCCGAGUAUUUUUUCAGGGAAUGGUGGCUCGAUGCUGAGAAAUAUGCUUUGCCUGGAAUGCUGGCUUCUUACAUCAUACUUCAUCUGUUUUGGGCAGGUUGGAACAGUUGAUUUGGCUCAUCCAGAUGAACGGGUUUUGGGGCUUCAUUUGCUACAGUUCCCAGAGGUAUGCCUCAAGACUGCAGAUUUUGCAAAAAUUUAUCUGAUUGAUAUAGCUUUUUUCACUUAAAAACAUGUUGCAUCUUGUUAAUGUGUUCCUUUUUCACAUUGCAGGUGGUUGAAGAGGCAUGUACAAAUAUGUUGCCAAACAUUUUGUGUGAAUACCUGUACAAUUUGUCUGAAGACUUCACAAAAUUUUAUACGAACUGUCAGGUAUGGAGCCCAUAUAAUGAUGAGAUGAAGAGGAUAAAAUUGGAAGAUAAUGCUUGUCUUAAUCUCAAAUGGCUUCAAUGAGUACCUUGCAUGUUUUAUGGUUUCGAAGUUGUUACAGGCGUUUGAUUUGAAUUUGUCCUGGUGAAAAAUCUGUAGGUGGUUGGGUCACCACAGGAGAUCAGUAGACUCUUGCUUUGUGAGGCAACUGCAGUUGUCAUGCGAAAGUGCUUUUUUCUGCUGGGAAUUACACCUGUCUAUAAAAUUUGAUACCUUGAGAGAUACAUUUGCCGACCUCUAAUUUGUGGAUUGUUAUACAAAGUUUGUACCUCACCGUGGCAUUUUUUUUUUUUACGUGAUGAUUAUAUUCUAGGAUAAGACGAGCCUUUUGCUCCUAUCUAAUGAAAGCAGUUUUAAAAUUUUUUGGAUUGAUUUCUACGAGUUACUGUCUGUAAAAUUUAUACCUUGUGUUCCAAUAAGCUUGUGCAAUUUGUCGCAUUGCUGUUUGUCACUGCGGUUGUUUAAUACGGAAGCGAGUUUGAGAUCCGGUACGUAAAUGUCGAAGUAAACUAGGGCUUCCCAUAUGGGGGUGGUCUAGGGGCUUCAUUAGCAUAUGUAGAUUGGAGUAAACCAAAGAAGGUAAAUAUAUCGAGCAUUAUGAGUAGGCAAUUUUGCAUAUGAUUCUGAAAAGCAUAAUAGUUAAGACUUAAGACUCUUGGUGGCCUUAGCUGCUGGGGUCUGAGGAUAUUGAACUCCCGGGAAUAAAUUCUCAAAAAGCAAAAAAAAGAAGAGGAGGUGGGGGGCCGGGGUAGGGGGAGUGGGUUUUGAUUAUUCUCCCUGAAGGCAACGGAGGCACGAGGUGGAAAACGGGUGGCGCGGUUUGAUACGAAACUGAUUGAGCAGCUGGCAAACGAAAAAAUUGAGAAGCUGUCCGGGCCCCCCUUGUCCGUUCUGGAGGGCCCCUAGGCCUGAGCUAUCUGUUCCAUCGCUGAAGUCCUUCUGAGCAGGGCAGUAAACAGAAUUAGCAAUUCCGUAGCAACUUUUGCUAUGGAUUUUCUGAAAGAUGAAUAAUUUCUCUUUUGUAAACCAGGCAGUAAAACAGAGUUAAUGAUAUCAUAGCAACGUUUGCUGUGGAUUUUAGAAUGUAAAGUUGGAGCGAUUUUUUCAUCCUGUGGAUCGAAUAUGCGCCACAGGGAACGAAUUGGGCAGGUACGCGAUCACCGUACUUGAUUCAAAAGGUGGUUUGUGUGGACGGGCAAAGUUAUUUUGAGUAGUUUCACAGUGCUCAAAUUUCACUUUUAUCAGGCCACACGCAGGCCGCUAGACUAUUGUACCUGUUUAUUUCUUUUUUUUUUUUCGUUUUUUUUGGGGGGGGGGGGGGGGUGUUGGAUCCACAUUUUAACGGCAGAGCAAGGGAAUACCUAGUUAAUGACUUCUUGACAGAAAAAAAAGGGAAUACCUAGUUAAAAAUGCUAGGGUUCAAAAUUUUUUGAUUAAAUUUUUAUGUUAACUUGUAUAGUACUUAGUUUAAAAUUUUAUAUUCUUAUUGUUUAAUUAUUAAAUAGUAUGUAAUUUUGUUACAUAGAGUAUGAAUAGAAAAAAAUUGAUAAUUAGACUUAUUGAACAUUAUAAGUAAAUAUUUAAAACUAAUGAUGGGUACAAAGAAUAGUAUAAAUUGAUAAUUUAGUUUGCAAAAAUGAAUCUAAAUGAGUUUAAAAAAGUUAAAAUAAAUGGAUAAUUGCAUUAUUCAAGUCAUUUUUUGACUUACCCAUAUAAUUAAAUAGGUACAAAUGAAUUGAGUCACUCGUACCAUUACCUAUUUUACUUAACCCAAACCCGUGUAAGUCACCCAUUUUGACACCUCUAAUCUCUAGAUUUCUGCUAUGUAUUGUUUACUAUUUCGAUGGUUCCUUGCAAAUUCUGCUUUCUUACUUCUGUAGUCCAUUUUACAUCUCUAGAUUUCUGCUAUUUAUGUAUUGUUUACUAUUUCGAUGGGGUUGAGAUAGAGAGGCGGAAAUAAAAACCUGUUUGCUUCAUUCUACACAUAUAUGACCUCGACUCGUUUAUCUUAUACGGUUUGAAAUUUGAAGAAAAUUUCAAUGGAGAAAUAUUAGAAAGCUUGCAAUAAAAAUACAUGCAAGCUUCUUAAAUUAAGUGAUUUACAGAUUAACAGUCUUUUUGCAGGGGAAUGGGAUGCCGACAACUGCCAACAAAACUCGCUCUACUGCCAAAAGAAGAUAGAAAUGAUGAUCCCAUUCCCCUGGAAGAAGACUUCUUGGCUAUGACAGCCUUUGGACCAAUCUUUCGACCAACUAAACCUGCAUAGCUCUUACAUGGCUUCAUCCUCUGACCAUAAGGACUAACUUUCUUUGCAAGAUCUUCGAGGCUCUUCACAUUUGCCAAAGAUGUAAAAGACUGAGACUUUCCUUGAUAAUGUUCUGAGAGACCUCUCCUGAACGAACAAAAUUCAUACACCAUUACUUGAAUGAAGAACCUAAAGAUUAAUAUAUUGAACAGUUGCAAGUCUAACUCUUCGUUCGGUACAUCACAAAUAUAUCGAAUGCUUACUUGAUAGGCAGCUGGUUCGUAAGCUCCGACAACUCGUACAACGGCCCAUCUGAAGGUGAUGUAGAAGAUGGUGACGAUGUUGGAGAAGAUGAUGCAUCCUCUGCUAAGUCUGAUGAAGAAGAUGAUGCUGCGGAGUUAUUCCCCGAGUCUUCACCGAUGGAUUCAGAAUCACAGGAAGUGUCAUCCUCAGCCUCCGUGAUCACCCACUGAACAUGCCUUGGAUCAGGGCCGGCGAAGGUAUUCUUGAAGGUCAUUUCUUGAUAAACCUGAUUUGCUCCACCCAUUGCAGAUCACAAUCUUGGAAUGAACGGAUCAGGAGAGCAGCAGAGCAAAUGGAUGAUGAAAACUUGAUGAUGUACUAUUUUGUUUCAGGCUUCAGCAGGGGUUGAAACUCGUAUGAGCUAGGCCUCUGGGGACUUAAUUAUGUAUAUAUACGUAUAUUAAUUUACAGGGUGGGUUAGUUAGCAAGAAGUUGAUUCUAACAAAUAGGAUGUUAUUGAAGCAAUAUUAACUUUUUAAGUUUUAUGACAGGGGCGUUACAAAUUACAUGCAUGAGCUACGCGUUUUUUUGUUUUUUUUUUUGUUUAAUUGAUGAUAUGUUGCUUUAUCCUCAGGCUUGUAGUCAUCUGUCAUUGUCAAAAUUCAUAUGGUUUGAAGAAUUUCUUCCUUUUUCCCAUUCUACAAGGAAAGGGGAUAAGGUUAUGGUCCAAAACGAAGACAUCCGUAUGAUCCGAGUCACCAAUGACCAACCCAUCAUAUUAUCCUCAAAUUUCUAUACAGGGAAAAAAAUAAAAUAAUAUAUAAUCUUUGGCAUCCUCUGCACUUUUUGCCCCAUAAAGUUACGACAUAACUGUUUUAUCCGUUUCUUUUUGACAUUUUAAGGCAUUGAUCCACAGUUUAGGGAUAACGCCAAAGAGGGAUCUCUAAAUUAAAGAAGAAACCUUCUUGGCGUAAUGACGAUAUAGAACAAUAAUUAUGAUAAUAAAAGACAACAAAUGGUGGAAAGUGGAGAAAGGAUAAGCCAUGAUUUUUGAGACCUGUUCUCGGUGAGCAUUUCAUCUAGCUGAAGACCCGAUUGCCUCUUACAAUUAUUAUAUUAUAUAUAUUUUUUCCAUUCUCAAUUUUGGUAGGAUCAACUUAUCUCUACGCUAAUCAUAAAAAAAAAAAAAGCUUUAUUGAGAUAUGUAAGUAAUUUGAGCAUAUAUAGUUGCAGCCAUAGAAACAAAUGCCUAUUUGAUUGUAGGCAUAGAAACAAAAUGCCUUGAUAUGUGCUGUUAUUAUUACACUCCUAAAGUCUAUUGUCAAUGUAACUCCCUCUGCAUGUGCAUGUGCAAUGAUCCUAAGUAUUAUUUUAUAGAGUAUUAUUUAGAAUAAUAACUAUAGUAUUUUUUGUAAUGUGACGUAUAUAAAAUAUAAAAAGAUGAAUUGAAAAAUAUGUUUAUCAUGCAAACGAAAGAUUAUUUGAGACAAUUUGCUAUCCAAACAAUACCAACUAUUGUUUAGUCAGCUUGCCCAUUCGUGACCAUUAAUUCCUCAUCCACCAAGUAAAACAAAGGCCAAUGGCCACUGCCCAUUUGGUCCAUGGUCAUCACCAUUUUUGGUGAUGCUGGAGGUUACGGGUUCAACCCCUGCCUUUCACAAACUUAUCACUUUACGUGGUUGGUCUUUUGCUAUCCGCUCCUCCUCCUUAAAGUAUGGCGACCUUCUUGACUUAUCCAUGGUUCGAGUCAAUGGGGCUUCCUCUCCCCGACAGCAGGCCCUGUGUUGACAAAAAAAAAAAAAAAAAAAAAGAGUAAAACAACGGCCAAUGGGGGAGGCCAAUAGCGUAACAGUAACAAUUUAAUGGCUUCUUUAAUGGAUGUUCAAUACGCAUUUGUUAACACAUUUAAAUCUUAACGCCUACAUUAUCUUUUCUUGAUGUGAUGCAACUUUUUUAAAAUAAGAUCUAACGCACGAUGAUAUUCAUAAUUUAAUUGAAGACGUCACGAUCGAGAAACAUCAUUAUUGUCAUUAAUAGAAUAUUGUGAAGCCUAAUUACAUCAUCCGGUGAGAUCCAAUCAAUCAAUAAUAAUUAAUGCCAAGCGAGUGACUGUUAUCAAAAGGAGAGAAAGAAGUCGGCAUCGAAAUGGUAGCUUUUGGAUCGAGGCUUCCGUGGCAUCAGAGGAUUGAAUUUAAGGGGGCUUGGGAGUUAAUGAGUGGGGAGAAAGGGAACAAGAUAAGGAAGCUGACUGUAGCAUUGGUCAUGAAAUGAAAGCUUGAGCUGCGUGGGAUUGGGUGCUUCUCUCUGGCACCACACAAGUCGCUGUUGUAUGGUUUCUGCCUCUUACCCAUGAUUAAAUUCCCUGUUCCACGGUCCGUAGCCCACAGCUUCAGCCUUUGCCAGCUCCCCCCCCCUCUUAAUGAUAUGAUCGUUUUGCAUUUCAAAAUAGGAAAAUCACUUAGAACAGAAAUAAAUUGAAAGAUGACGCAUUUUUUAAAAUUUAGGAAUUUUCGAAAUUUUUAAUUGCUUUUUAUAAAUGAACUCUUCAAUGAAGGAAAAUAUAUAGACCCUAAAAAGAGAAAAUGGUGGAUCAAGUUGAAGUUUUCAAGUGCUUCUCUAGUCUAAAUCACAUAAAUAAAUAAAGUUGAACAGAAAAUUGCGAAUUUGUUUAAGUCGUCUUUCUAACGCAUCAUUUUUAUUUGUAGCACCUUCUUCCCCACAAUUCCAACUAAACUCCUUAGCCAACUUGGAGCUACUGAAGCUGACUAAAUCCACCAGCAAAGUCCAAAAUUUCUAGCAGGGCCUCGAUCAUCCAAGAAGACAUCCCCGCUUCCACAUAUACGAGUAGCAAGGUCGCUCAGAAGACCUUCACCCCUCAAGAAGUUUCUUAUGUCAUAACAAAAUUUGUUAUUUAUUUCUGCCCAUUUCUUCCAGUGAGGGAUGAGGACUUCCUUUGCCUUAAUUUCACGAGGAUCCCAAGAAUCUGCAAUUAUCUUCACCUUUGAAAGUAAGAGAUCAAAAGCUAUUGCUUCAACCAAAGGUGGGCGUGACAAGUACUCCCCAUGAAGCUGAGCCACUUCCUCUAUUUUUCUCGCUACUCAAAGAUUUCCCUCAAUUUGGAUGCAAAAUGGUUACCGUCUUACUUUCCGUAGAAAUCUUAUUGUGUACUUUUAAAAAAGCCCCUGCCUCGCCAUUGGUUUCUGUACAGAAAUAUGUGUUUUAGGUGACAACACCUAGGUCCUAAAUUGGCACGAGAAUUUUAGUUAAGGGACUUAAUUCAUGCGAUAAAAUAUCGAGGGACCAAAUCGAUUUUAGUGAAAUAAUUUGAGGACUAAAUUGACAAUUUUCCCAAUAAAUAAAGUUGAAGUUUCAAAUGGUUUGACUGACACCGAAUGGUGGCUCUAUAACUGACUCAACUACAAGUCUGAUCCAACACAUCAAGUUGUGAGCAUAUGCUUCUUCUUCAUGUUUUAAUAUAAGCUAUAAUGCAUUUUCUUUUUUUUUUUUUUCUUUAUUUCACGUGUACUCUUAUGUAAGCACAAGCAGAACCAGAAUUUGAGAUUUUAAGAAAGCAAAAUUAGUAAGGAUGUAGACUCGGGAGGGCACAUGUACAAUUGUGUAAAAAAAAAAGAAAAAAUUGGAGGACAAAGUCCAAUAUUUACAAUCAAAUUGUUUGGUUUGCACCUUCUUUACAAUCAAAUGAUAUGAGUGAGACUUUUAAAUACUUUAUGGGGGGUCAAAAUAAUUUGUAAACUUUUGGAAGGGCAGAGUCUAAUUUUUAUGAAGGUAUAUUAGGACAAAAAAAUAAAAUAAAGAGAGAGAGAGAGAGAGAAAAAAUUCAACUAUUACGGGAACAUAGACCAAUUUCUAAAAUCCUGGGGGACAGCUGCUCCACUUACGUCCGCUGAUGUAAACAUCUGUCGUAAAUGCUCAUCCUUUAUUUGUGUCAUAGUACCGGAAGCAUUAGAAAAAGACAACAACGAUUUAACUCCACACGCUAUAAUGAAAGCCUCCAAGCUUCUUGACUUAGCAGAAGCAAAGAUGGUCUUACUUGACAGGAAUAUUCGGUCCACUUAUCCAAGAAAUCAAGCCGAGUUGUAACGUGCAAAACAAGUAUAUCCUGGAUCAAAUGGCUCCAUCACUUGAAACAAAUAGACAGAACGGGGGAAGGGAAAAAAAAAAUCAAGUUCUACGAUCUGAUGUUAAUUUAAUUUUACUGACGCAGUAAUUUAUUUCUCCCCAACUCCUUGAGAAAGAAUAGACAUACGGAUGGAGGAUUUAGGGCCAUAACGGUACAAGUGAAUGUGACUUAAAAACUUGUACAGCCUAGAUCAUGCAAUUUUUGAUGUAUGCUUUAUGCCCUCACUCCAAGGCCCAAACUAAAUCGCCCAUGGUGCAGUCUGUAUAUGAAAAACUUAAAAACCGGAUACACCUGUUUUUGCCUUCGACAGAACGCUGAAAGCUCCAAGCCAAGGCUAAGGGAUAUCGUGCAAACCACAAACCAAUAAGCAUUAAUGUCCUGCUGCUGUAAACCUACUGUGACAAGGCUAGUAUUAGCUACCCCAGAAGAGCAGCCUAAAAUUAAAUUUAUAAACUCGCACAAGUCCGCUGGCUGCUUAAAAGAAUUUUGGCUGCGGCUGCUAAACUAUGAAGUUUUAACCUGCACAGACUAAGUAGUGCUAAAGUUAUAGAAGCAACAUCAUCUGCUCUCAUUCCACUACAAGCUAAACGCCUUCAAAUGGUCUAUGAUCACCUAUAAAUGCCAUUCUGUCCGCGCUUGAGAAAACGUGUAGAGGUGUAUGACAAUAUCAGGCUUUUACAUAUCAUGUUUUAUCAGACUUUUACAAUAUCAGACUUCUACGUAUCAUGUCUGAUAAGUUUGCAACCAAUAAAAUUUUGGGAAAAUUUAGAAGAAUUAAACAAUGUGUAGUUGUAAUCUUCGAGCAUGACUUGCGGCUAAAGCAUAUGGGGAAAAAUAUUGUACUCUGAAGUCAUUACAAGCAAAUGAUCAUCUAGGAAAACUUAUGGGAGGUUCCAAGCUAGCUACCAGAAUGCCAAGAUCAAUGUCCUUGUCUUCAAACUUCUUAAGAAAAGGAUGGUUCUGGAAGCAAUGGAGCAAAUCAAGCAGUCAGCAUUUGCAUAUUGGAGCACGGUGACCAAAAGAAAGACUAAAAGAAGUGGGUAGUUAACUAACCAAAAGGUCCAGAGAUGAGGAUCUGUCCCUCGGAUCCUUCUGUAUGCUGAAAAAGCAAGCCACGAUAACAAAGCAGAGCAUCAUUAGGAGAGAAGGUAUGGGCAACAACAUGGAUACAUUGAGAAACCCACUGCUACGUCACUGAUCCAACAUAGAACUAUAAGAAAGUAUCCUCUAAUGCUAAAAACUCGCACUUUUUUUUAGAAUAAUUGCAGCAGGUUUCAACCAAAAGUCUUAAGAAUUUAAGGUCAACUUAAAGACAGAGUAAUGGAAUAGUCAAACGCAUUCAGUCGAAGGACCAUAAAGAAGUAGAUAAGAGUGUUUACUGCAUAUGUGCAACAACAUAAACGAAUCUUCUUAGACCUUACCAGGCAGAGAUAAAUGAACAAAACUCUGGGGAGAAUUGAUCUGGUGGAGCAGAAGGUGGAGAGCCUCCCACAAUUGCUUCUAAAAGCUCAUAAAAGCUUGGCCAACCCUGCUGGUCUUCAGAUUGUAUGUAAGGGAAACGUCCAAUAGCACACUCAAGGGUAACCAUGCCCAGACUCCAGAUAUCACUCUUGUAGUCAUAGGUGCUCCCACUAAUUCUUUCAGGCUAAAUAUGAGAUGAGAAAGGAGAAACAAGUCACCAAACCAGAAUUAGGCCUCUAGAUUUUCCACUCAAAACAUUUUGCUGUUGCACAUCAGAUGUUUAGUAUGUUCUACACAAUGUGUACCAAUAGCCACUGUAAAAAUUAAUGGAUCAAUUUUUCAUGAUCAUAUCUCCACUCACCGCCAUGUAAUUAUAGGUACCAACAAAUGUGUCUCUUUGACCCAUAGAGCUGGCCAGCAUUGCGCUCACACCAAAAUCUGUAAUUUUGACCUCCCCUUUGUGGUUCACUAGCAGAUUGGAUGGCUUUAUAUCUCUAUGGAUUACAUGUCUCUCAUGGUGCAAGUACACGAGACCUUGCAAAACCUGAACAUAUUAAAAUUUCACAUAUCCAUGGUGAGCAGAAGUUAAGCUUAUAUACUUUCGGAAGAAUCUCAUGUUUCAGUUUUUCCUACCUGCUUACACAGGACUGCAAGAUACGGUUCAAGAACUGUCUUCACUUGUCUGAGUACAUCAGCUAAAGAGCCACGGUCCAUAUACUCCAGUACAAGCGAGAUAGCCCCAUUGUGGUAGAAAGAAUGGUAGCAAACCACAACAUGGGGACACUGUGAGCCUUGAUUAAUUUUAAGCUCCUGCACAAUUUGUUUCCGAAUAUCUUCUUGUAUAUUCAUCUGGAUGACCUGUGCUUAGACAUGCACUCUGGAGUUAGAAUAUCUAAAGCAUCAUCAGUACAGAGCUAAUGUGUCAAGAGACGUGACAACAAAAAGCCAGUAGCUAAUGCCAGUCAUUUUAGGAAGAGCUCAAAGCUUCCAUGUUCAGUAUCAGGGUCCUUCAAAACUAUUCAAAUGUUAGAUAUCUUAAGUAUGAUUGACCAAAAUCACCUUUACACCUCCCUAAUAAAGCAACUCUAGUAAAAGUUUCUAAUCAUUGGUUUAUUCAAUUAGCAAAUAAUCCACUAAUUUCAUAAGAUCAGUAUCAAACACUGUGCUGUAACAUUCGAUAUGCAUAACAUGCAAGAAUAAUUAUUCAUUAAUUGCACAAGUGCGUAAAAACAUGACUAAAGUUGUGCACUUAGAGAAGUGAUCUACUGAAACAAUCAACGUGCUCAAGGAUAACAAAGUAGCAGGAAACUGAAGUUGUAUGCUGACCUUCAAGGCAAAUAACGUUCCAACCCAUUUAUGACGAACAAGUUGAACCACGCCACCACUUCCCUUUCCAAUCACUUUGAUGGUCUCAAGAUCUUCCAGUGAAAAUUGAAGAUCAAAUUCCUUACUUUCUGCAGGCUGCCCACACAAAUAUUCAAUUUGUCACAUCUUCGGCUUCCUUUUCCUUGUUCUUUUUCAUUCAAAAGAGAAGCAUACUAUCACGUGCAAACAAUAGGUUCCCUAUACAACCUAAAAUGUUUCAUGAGUUUUAAGUGAUGCAAAGUCAAGGAGAUGCUUGAGAGAAUGAUACAUCCUCCAUUAGUCAAGUUGCAAACCUUUUUGCUGUUCUAGUCUUCUUUUUUUCUCCGUUCUCUUUCUUGGAAGUUGUGUAGCAAAUAAUGGAAAUGGCACAAACUACUGAACUUUCAAAUGAAAGCAAAACAGAAGUCCUAAAACAGUUCGUAUCAUAUUCUGAGGGCAAUAGUCAUCUGAAAUCCACCAAAACAAGCUAUUUGAGAUGGAUUUGGGACAUGAAAACACGAAAAAACAAAAAUUAAUAUAAAAUAUAAAGCAAUGUAUGUGCUGCACCUAUAACUGAAAUAUUUGUGGAACGUGUUUGACUUGCCAAUGUAGUAUUAAUGAGUGUCAUAUUUGAUGUGAUUGUCCUAUUUCAUUUAUUUUUCGGUAGCUAUGGCCAAGCCUUUAUGUAAAAAGGCAAAAAUAGGUUCAAAUUUAAGAAUUCUACGUAUACAAACUUUUAAGUCUGUUUUGAGAUGUAAUCCACAUAUUCAAAAUUAUAAGAACUGAAGUGAAAUCAGAUACAUUAUACGAAAUCUAUAAUGCAUUGUUCUCUUUUAUAUCUUGUUUUCCAAUUCCGUUCCAUCUACCAACCGGACUGGAAACAGCGUCAUAAUGGAAUUCACAUCAAUUAAGCAUUUCUUCAGAUCUUCAAUUUUGGACUCAAUUGAAGCUUCUUCCCUCGCAAAAUAAAUGAGAGUGUUCAAUCCACGGAUAAAACAACCACGUGUGUAUCAGCCACGUCUUAAUUAGUACGCUUCUAAUUACGUCCAAUUUCAAUCUUCCAUUAAGUCCUCAAAACUAGAGCAUUUUAUCUAAAGCUCUAUGAUAUCCGAUCACACCAAAUCGAAAUCGAAAUGCCGAAAAAUUAUUACCUGAGGAGGAGAAUCAUUGUCAUCGGAGAUAAGGCGCAAACCUUUCUGGUUUAACAGUAAAUCGCCGUCGUGAAAGGUUCCGCUCGCGGUCCUACCAUGUUUAACAACACAUCAUUUGACAAAUUCCAUCACUUUCAUGAAUUUCCCCCCAAAAAAACUAGCGUAAUAAACGAGAAAAAUUUUAAUUAAUUUAGAUUUGUCAGCGUACAAAUAUUAAAGGGAGAGAUUAUGGAGCGUACAAGAAGCUGGAGACGGAUGUAUCUUGAACCGGAACAGAGAGCUUGAGUUCCUUCACUGGCUUCUUAAGCUUCAUGAUUCUUGCUUCUAUAAUUAAAGAUAGGGUUUGGACUGAAAAGUUUUUGGAGAGAAAGGAAAGUAGGGAAUGAAUGGGGGAGGAAUUGGGUGUGGAGCAGAGGGAAGGGGUGACAAAAUCCACCGACCGAAUUUGGGGAAGAGAGGAUUCAAACUGGGAAGAGCGCCAAAAGCCGUGUUGCUGUUACCAAUUUAUUGUGACGUACGAUAUAUUCUUGGGUUAAUUACAUUUACCUCCCUUGAGGUUUGACCAAAUAACGAAUCGAUCCCUGAGAUUUGGCCAAAUAACAGUCCACCACUUUGAAUAACCAGACAUUUAACAAUUACCCACCUACUGUUGAGAGACGUUAGAGAUUCUACUUGACAUCAGGAAAAAGAAAACUUGGGAUGACGAAAUUGCCUUUAUUGUGUCCAACUGUCAUUAAGAUUUGUUCAAGUUUUGAAAAUAUCCUUUUCAUUAAAAAAUAUAUAUAUAUAUAUGUAUAAUAUUAAGAUUAUAAUUCUUUAUCAUUCACAUCCGCGCACUUGCCUACCUUUAUAUGUACAAAAAGAAAGAACAAAAAGACUUCCUCAUUGCCUACCUUUAUCUGUACAAAAUGAGAGAAGAAAAAGACUUCCCUGUUUUUUCCCAAGUUUGCUGAAAAUUGCACUUCCUUCUGUGUUCCAAUCUUCUCAAGAUUCUCAGAAAUAGUCUUCAUACUUGGUUGAACUUCAGGUCUGCCUCCGUGCAUGCAAGCGCUAAAUGAAACACUGCAAGUACUUCUUUCUUCGCAUGUACUUAUUUAAGCAACAUUGGGUCUACCAUGUCUGAUAGAGGGUUCUCCUCUUCAAAUCCCUUCCUCACUCCACCUUACUAGGUCUGGGAUCUCCGUGGAAGUGGAUGUCGUAGGAGAUGAGAGCUCUGGAGACUUCCCUGUCAGCAACUCAAGCAAGACAACUCCAAAUGAGUAGACAUCCUACUUUUGUAGGGGUAUGCAUCGAAUUCGAAAUCGGUAAUUCGGAAGUUUGAAUUCGAAAUUUUUUGAAAUUUUGGUAUCUGACUCGAUUUCGAAUUCACAAAUUCCGAAUUCGAAUUCGAUUCGAAAUUUGGUAAAUUCCGAUUUCACCGAAUUCGAAAAAAUUUAUAUAUUAUUAUAUAAUAUAAAAUUUAUUAUAUUUAUGAUAUAAUAUAAAAUUUAUAAUAUUAUAUUAUAUUAUAUUAUAUUAUAUAAAUUUUAUAUAAUAUUAUAUAGUAUAAAUUUUAUAUUACAUGUAUAAAAAAUAUAUUUAUAUAUUAAAAACGAAUUUGAAUUCGAAAUCAGAAAUUCCGAUUUGUAAAACUCCAUUACCGAAUUCGAACCAAAUUCGAAAUAUAUGAAUUCGGAAAACCCAAAUUCGAUUCCGAUUUCCGAUUUACCAAUUUCGAAAAUUCCGAAUUCAAUUCGAAUUCGGUCGGUAAAUCGAAAUUUUUCGAUUUUGCACACCCCUACACUUUUGGGUAGGUCGGUUGCCAGGGAUCUGAGCUUUCGGUGAUUGAUAAUUGUUGGGUCGCUCGGGUUGAGCUGAUUUUAAAGAUGGAAGACCCCACCUAUGAAUACACCAGACGAUGAAGGAUUGUUGCUUGUGAUAUUGAUCAGGCGGUUCAGGCCGAAAUCAGAAAUGCAAGCUUGAAAAUCAUUGUCAAGGAGAAUAUUAAAGGGUUUUAUGUCUCCAUGGACAAAUUUUCUGGGGCUACAUUCAUGAAGAUAUGCUAAGCCCCUCGCUGUUCCUUUAGCAAUUUUCAGCCUGCUUCCCCAUGAUAAGCUAGAUGAUGCCUGACCUGUUCUCCCUGCAUCGAUGUUACACAUCUUCAAUCAAAUAAUCAACCAACUUAACUCAUAUGAUACGACAUGCUGAUGUUAAUACUAGAUCUUGACCCAAAUUAUUUUAUCAGAUUCAUCUCCUACCUUACAAUAGGCCAAUAGAAAUGGCUAUCUGUAUUGUUUCUCGCUUAAAGGCUAAAAUGGUAAGUACAUAUUUCUAUUUUUAUAUCUUUAAAAUUUGAUGGAAAUUAAUAAGGGUUGUUCAAACUUUUGGCUAAUUCCGGGCUUGUUUGGAAGUCCAAGUUUUUACCAAGUUUUUAUUAUACUAGUUUUUUAACAACUUGUGCUACAGGAACCCAAAAAACUUAUCAAAGUUUUUUAACCUACACACUUAAAAUAUCCGAAACAAAAAAAAAAAAAAACUCCCUUCCCUUUUUCUUCUUCCUCCUUCCCCACCACUACCUCUGUCAACUGCUUCGUCACCGGCCACCACUUCCGCCGCCGGUUCCGGCGCCGAUCACCUUUUCCAGUGCCGAUUUUUUUUUCCUUUUUCUCUCUCCCUUUUUUUUUUCCUUUUUUCCUCUUCCCCCGCAAGUUUUUUUUUUCUCUCUGCGUCUCCCCCCCUCCUCCCCCACCACCCUCAGAUCACAUCGAGUGAGGGUGAGGGUGGCGGGGAAAGGGGGGAUUUGCCAAAAAAAAAAAUUUGACGGGUGGCGGGAUUCAGGGUGGUAAACAAGAAGGGGAAUAGGGGAGGGGGAAGGGGCCAAGGGGUGACGGGGGGAGGGGGAAGGUGGCGAGGGGGUGGCGGGGCAGUGAGGAUGGUGGGGAUAGAGGGGGAAAGUGGGCUGCUUGGAAGUCGCGGGGGGGGGUGGCAGAGGAAGGGCAAAGGGAGGGCAGAGGAAAUGGGGUGAGGGGGUGGCGGGGCGGGCGGAGGGGGAGAAGCAAAGCAGGGGGAAGACCGGGGGAGGGGGUGGCGGGGGAAGAGGGGAUGGCGGAAAGCAGGGGGAAGCGGGGUGAGGGGAUGGCAGGGGAAGGGGGAAAGCGGGCAGCGUGGGUGGCGGAGGAAGGGGGUGGCGGGGCAGAGGGGGAGAAACAAAGCAGGGGUUGGGGGGAGGUGGCACUGCUGGAGGCAGAGGUAACGGGUAAGGGAGAAGAAGAAGAAGAAGAAGAAGAAGAAAGAAAGAAAAGAGAAAGGAAAGAAAAAAAAAAGAAAGAGAAAAAGAAAGAAAAAAAAAAGAAAAGAAAAAAAGUUUUUAACCCUACAAAAACUUCUACAAAAUUUUUCUUCUUACAAAAAACUCCUACAAAAUUUUUUCAACAACUUCUACAGUGCACUACAAUAAAGUUUUAGACAAACUCCAAAAAAACUAGGUUCCAAACAGGCCCUCAAUUCCAUAUAAUUGACAAACUUAGCGUGGGAGAGUAAUUUGUUAUUUGGCCAAAUCUCAGGGAUCAAUUCGUUAUUUGGUCAAAGCUCAAGAGAGGUAAAUGCAAUUAACCCUAUAUUCUAUUCGAGGUAGAAACUAAAAUAGACGGAAAUUAUACUAAAAUUAUUAAAUAUGUACUUAUUUUAAAAUUUUAAAAUAUAUAUUUAAAUUUGUUUUAACGAAGACAAAUAGAUAUAUAUAUAUAUAUUUUUUUUUUUUUUGCAAAAAGUGAGAUGCUUAAAAAUUAGUCAUCCUUCCAAUAGAUAGUCCAAAUCAAAUAAUAAAAGAUUAAUUGAAUUGGGCAAUGAAAUACUAACGCUUGGUUGUGGCCUUGUUUGGCAAGCAAAUUUUUGCCAAGUUUAUCUGUUACAAAUUUUUUUAACAACUUAAUUACAGUAAUUUUAAAAAAUUUCUCAAAAUUUUUAAACUAUACACUUCAAAAUAUUUAAAAAUUUACACACUUUAAAUAUUUUUCUAAAACUUCUACAAUAAACUAUAGUAAAGUUUUAAAUAAAUAUAAAAAAAACUCACUUGUCAAACGGACCACAAUUUGAAAGUUCUAAUGUCCAAGCAUUACAAGUUGUGUUUGGAACCAUGAAGUACCAUAAACUUCUUUGUUCUACAAUGCACAAUUUUCGUUAUGAGUUUUGACCAACUAGUACUUCAAUACUUUUUUUCCUUUUUUUAAGUAGUUUGAAUAUUUGGGUGCAAAGCAUACACAUGUUUCUUUAUCCUAUUUCCUUUUAUAGCAAAUUGCCUUGCAAUCCACCAAAUUUUUUGAAUAAUAGAGCCUUGGUCACUCAAAUUUUAAGAGUAUAUAUUUACCCACUAAACUAUCAAAUGUAUAAAUUUGAACUAUUUUAUUUAUUUCCAUCAUUAAGUUUGCCAGAACUAAAGACUUGCACAAUAGUUUAGUGGUUAAAUAUAUACUCACACUAUAGUUUACUCGGUUAAUACAUGCUCGCACUAUUUUUUGAUGGAUAAAUAUAUUAUGAGCUUUCUAAAUUGCUCCUUGAUUAUGUCUCGUAACUCGUGCGAUACUUUAUAUAUGGUAGAUUCGAUAGUGGAAAUAGACAAAAUGGCUCGAAAUUUAUAUUUUUAAUAGCUUAGUAGAUAACUAUAUACUUUUAAAAGUUGAAUGACCAAAACUCUGUCUUUUUUUUUUCAAAAAUAUAGUGGGUAGCCAGAUAAUUUGUACUCUUUCAAAAAUAUAGUCGGCUUCAUAACUCAUCAAUCUCAUCGUUGCUGAGGUAUGACACAUCUCAAAUAAAACUAUUCACCCUAAUACUUAAUAAACAUACAAAUCAAAACAAUUGAUCAUCGUUGUCGCAAACCCCAUUUCCAACCACCACAAAUCCAAACGCUGGCGACCUUCCCCUAUUUUUCAUCUUUUGCUAUCUUAUUCCUUUUAUCUACACUUUCACACAAAAACACCUAUGAAGAUACAGAAAAAUCUAGAUAUACAGUGAAUCUUGCCUUUUAGAAGUUUUUUUGAAGAAGAGGAACCUAGAACAUGUGAAUGAGAGGUUAAAGAAGAUUUUUUAGCAGAAGACUUUAUAAGCAUCAAUACUGAAGCACUAAUUUUCCAUACGACGGUCUAAUUAAUGACUGAAAUCACUGCCAAAACAAGUUUUAUGAGAUUUCAUCUUCUUGCCAAUAUUCAAUUGUAUGAUAUGCGAUUGGUUCAAGAGAUAUGAUGAGUUCUUGGUACUCUCUAAUUCAAUUUGAAUUAUAGGAAUCGAAAGAAUUUGGCUUGCAGAUUGAUUAUGAUAAAUGUGAUACCCCAAAUUUUAGGAUACUAUUUUUGUUUAAUCUCAAAGAAAGGAUUACGGUUUCUUUAUUUUAUUUUGUCUUAAAACAUUAUUUUAUUUUAAAAAAAGAUUAGAAACCUUACUUGUACUUUAAAAUCCUAGUUUACUUGUGACUAGCAGGUUAUGUUUAAAUCCCUCAUAUUUGACUCAAAACCCUAAUUUUAUUCUAUGAAAUUGUAAAAUUCAUCACACUUUUCUUAAAAUUCUUUUUAUUUGGAAAUUAUUCAUUUAAUAUAAUCCUACUACUCAAUCAUUCCUCAAUAAGUGCAAAUGAACCUAGAAAGUAGGGUUUCACUCUUCGUUUUCAAGAUUGGAGCAAAUUAGAGUUUUCGCGAUUUUUCGCCGGAUGAUUUUUCGGUACGGAGCAAGGAUCAAAUUUGGUGAUUAAAAGUGACUUUUGGGUGAAAAAUAAUAUGUGAUUAGAUACAAUAAUAAAAAGUUAGUGAAUAGGAAGAAAAAAACCCUAGUACGGGUGAUUUAAGGAAAAUCGGCUCGAACUGACAGGUAUCGUUUGUUACCGGGUAGACACACCAUUUGACCCAUACUUUAUUACCUUAAUUUUGUCAUUUUAUUUUAGAUAAUUGACCCUCAAAAUAUCUCAUACAUCAGCCACAAUAUUUGACCAAGAGAAAUGAGAGAAAAUGCUAAAAAGAAACAAGUGUCAAGGCAUCUAUGGAAGUUGGACUUUGACCAACUUGUCUUAACCUUCAUAAAACAGAAAUUUGACCAAAAUUUCCUCAUUUCUUCCCAUUUUCUUAGUCUUGGUCGAAAUUCUUGAGAGGAAAAACAAGAGAGGAAAAAACUUCACCUUGCACCUCAAUUUCAAGCCUCAAUCUUGAGUUUCAACCGAUAAUCUUGCAAAUUCCUCCACAAAAGUUAAUCUCCAAGGAAGUUUAAGGGUUUUGGUGGAGUGAUUUGGGAAGAGGAAGGUCUUGGCAGCUUCUUGAUAUAGGGAUUAAGGUGAAUUUGGUAAGAAACUUCCCUCUACUUCUUAUAUGUGUGAACUAAAAGCUUAAAGUUAUAGUUUUGAUGGAUUUAUAGGAAAAAUUUCAUGGGUUCAAUGGUAUGUUGGGAUGUUUAACUAGGGUUUAUAUUUUCAGCAUUGAUUAUGGUUAUCUACAUCUUAAUUGAUGUUAUUGAGAUAGUAAUUGGUGGGUUUGAUGAUAGAGCACUUGUUAGAUAUGAAUUUAUAGAGUAAAGGUGCAAAUUUCAGAAUUUGGAAACCAAGCUACCCUGUUCUGUCUGAUUUUAUUGCAUCAUGUUAGAGGCCGAAUUAGGUUUAGCAUAAAACAUGAAAGUUGUAGAGAAUGAUGUUUUAUAGUUGUUUACAAAAUUUCAGCUCAUUCGAAGCAACAUAGCCGGUGAAAAGACCAAAAUACCCUCACUGCCCUAGGAUAUUUUCAGUGAUCCGUUUUGGACAGUUCAUCAAAUUGAUUGUGUUUAUUCACUAUGAUCCGUGCUGAUUUAGUCAUUUGCCAAAAAUUAAAAGUUUUAGUACUCUGUCUUAGCUUUUUAACGCCACCAAGAACACCUUAAACGGAUCAGUGUAACCCAAGUUAUAGACAAAACACUCAUGCCUGUUUUGAACAUUGGUUUGUGCUGCGUUUUGAAGUCAGCCUCUGACCGUGCAUUUUUCUGUUUUGAUCCCGUAUGAUCUGGGUGUCAACUCCUUCAUAAGAAAUGUAGAUCUUGGUUUUGGUUUCGAAACGGUAUAAAGUGCGUCGAAAUCCGAGUUCCGUAGCUCCUGUUAUGACCAAAACAAGAUCAAUCGUCAGAACUGCCUUGAAUCUGGACAGUUCUAACGGGUGCUUUGACACUCAACUUUCGUUCUGUUCUGAAUGGAUUCAGGUCUUGGCCAAAACAUCAAAGUUUUAGCCUUAUAUCUCAGCUUUCUAAUGCCUCUGGAAUUUCUUGAUUUCUAUUUGUGAGUUGGGAGUUACAAUCCAGCAAACUUACCCUGUCCGUUACCUUAAAGUGCACAUUUCUGGCACUAUUUUCCAUACUUUCGACCCAUCUCUAUUCCGAUCCGGAUUUAUGUGUCUUCAUGAAAGUUAUAGGCUUUUCUCUUAGCUUCGUAACGGUAUCUCAUGUACCUUGAUCCGACACGCGUAGCCUCGAUUGUGCUCAAAACAGUUUUGACGGCAAAACGGCUAGGUCGCCUCCCAUUUCCGUAUGCCGUUUCCGCACUUGCAUGUGCCCAUUUUGUCGUUUUGCGUGUUUUAGGCAUAAUAGUAGCCGUUUGUGAUAUUAUGUGACGUAAUCUUCUAUUUCAGACGGUGGUGAGUUAGGUGGAGCCGGUGGGGCCUACUAGCUACUCUUCGCGACGCGAAUUUCGUCCUUUUGUUAUCCUUGUUCGUUGAGUAAGUAUUCACACCGCUCUUAUGUGUUAGUUGCUUAUGUGUUUCGAUAUGUAUGAAGAGAGUAUCUAGGCGAGGGUGUACUUUAUCGCACUCGACCUAAACCCUAAUUUACGCACAUAUUUGUACAUGGCAUAUGUAUAUGAAUCAUUUUGGAACUAAACCCCUUGAACUUGUGGCUCGGGGUGAUUUUUGAGUAAAUUUUGUGAAAUUUGUGAGUUUGGGGCCCGAUCUCAUGACCUAGAUGGACUAUUCAAGCCGGUUAGGGUUUGGUCGAAGUCAGUCCAAUCUGGUUUGAGGUCACCAAGUUUGUGAAUCCGGUUCACCGAUUAUGUGGACCAAGUUUGUGACCCGAGCUUGUGAACCAAGCUCAAUUUCGUUCGCUCGAGCAAGUUUAUGAGGUGUCUGGCCAGAGAGGGUGAUAAGGUGUAUGGUGGGAGUACAAGUGAAGUUCUACGAACCAUUAUUUGUGGUCGACGGAGUGUCGGCAGGAGAUCACGCAUGGCAAACGAUCUGGUUUUGGAGCCACCUGUAUCCUUAUCAUGUGAUGUUACUUUUCUGCUUUUGCUUUACUCUUACUGUGUAACUGUUGUUACGUGAAAUUUACGCUUUUGCCCCUGUUUACUUACUAAGCAUAUAGCUUACCCCUUUUCUUUUGUUUUCCUUAGCAGGGGCCGACGCGGGGACUUUUGGCACAUACACUGGGUAUAGUUAGGUGUGCUUGUUUAGCUAGACGUUUAAGUCGUUUCUUUUAUUUUGAUGGCCUGUAUAAGAACCUCUUUUUGGGUCUACUUUAUAUAUUGGGUGACUAACUUAUGGUGAUGUAGUAAACAGAAUACAUAUUUUGGAGAAUGUAAUUAUAACUCUUUUGGGAUUGUAUAUAGUAUGUAUAGUACUCUUUUGGAUUUUCUAGCUUUUAUUGUUUUAAAUUUUGAGUCCUGGCGCGAGCUAGACAGGGACCCGCCGAUAGCUUUGGAUUCGCCCUUGGGAGAAGUGGGAUCGUCACAAUAAAUCAGAUGUGAUAAAGAUGGAUUGAGUAUAGAUGCAGGUGGAUAGUGGAGUGGCUGCAGAGCGAAAUGAAAUACUAGUGGUAAUAUUCUUGGGAAAAAUUUUUAGUUUUGUAAAAUAUUUUCAGGAAAGCGUAUCAAACACCAAAAAAAAAAAAAGGUAAACUAAUUAUUUUCCAAAAAAAAAUUUUCAUUGGAACAACAUAAUGACACGAUAUAGGAUUCUCAUAUAGGAUUCUCCGCAUUUAGAUUCUUCUACCUUUUUCAAAAGAACAACAUAAUGACAUGAUACCAUACCAAUAAAGAAUAGUGUUCAGUUAGGUUUUCAUUUGAUUUUUAACUCAUAUUUCCUAGCCAUUUCAUUAGUAUCAUUAAUAAUUCUGUUUAAGAAUUCAUGGUGUAAUAUGAAUAAAUAUUUUAUAGAAAUGAUAAUAUGAUAUAAUGGAUAUAAAUUAAAAUUAACUUGUAAUGAAAUGAAUAUUUUGAGAGUAGAAAAAUAUUUGCAACAUAUCAACAAACAUAUCAGAAAAUAUUUUCAUUGACAAACCAAAUACCGAAAAAUUAUGAAAAAAGGAAUUUAGAAAAUAUUUUCACUUAAGAACCAAACAUCGAAAAAUUAUGGAGAAGGAAGUGAUUUUUCAGGAAAAUGACUUCGAUGGAAGGAAAAUAUUUUUGGUCUAACCAAAUGGACCCUAAGAGUAACUUAUAAUCAAUGCGACCCAUACGUGGGUCCUGUUUUCAAAUGAUUUUGAUUGUGUAAAAAUUGAUUAUAAAAAAAUCAGAAUAAAAAAUAAAAUAUAUAUAUUUAAUUUUCUUUAAGGUAAAAAACUAAAUUUUUUGAUAUAAAAAUAUAGUUGAGAUUUGAGAACAGCUGAAUUUUUUUUUUUUCAAAAUCAGGAUUUAGAGUCAAGUAUUGAGCCUGAGUUAAGAACUAGGUGGUAACAUAGAAAAGAUAAAGAGAACUAAAUUUGAGUUUUGGACAAUUUCAUUGGCGUUUGAAAUUAUUCAUUUGGAUAUAUCUAAGUUGUUAAAUAUUUGACGGGCAUUGCUGAUUUACAAAGAGUUUACAAAUGUGUUUAGAUAGGAGAUUUUUUGAAAUAUUAUCUGCAAUAAUUACUAUAAUAUCUUUUUAAGAUGUGAUGUAUGUGAGAUAGAAAUAUAAUUAAAAAUAUACAAAGUUGAUUGACAAUAUUGUAUUUAUGAUAUAAACAAAGUAUUAUUUGAAAUAAUUUUACUAUCCAAACACAUUUUUUGCUUGUUACAGGAAUUAAACUUGUGAUUUGAGCAGUCGGGCUCGCCGAGAAAAAGACAAAACUUCAGUGGGAGAUAAAUCAAUGAACGUUUGGCACAGCCUACUGGUUUCGAUAGCCCUUGUGAAAAUUUCAAAAAGGGAACGAGUUACAACCAAGCCCAUACGAUCCAACUCCGUCUGUUGUCCUUGGGCCCACUGUUGGAGUUAAGCCACUGUUGGAGUAAAUUCCUGCUCUGGCCUAAAUACUAAAAUCAUGGAUUUGUUAAACCUUCAGGAAGCGCUACUACAUGUCACAUAUGCAUGAAAUGACUCUGAUUGAGAUGUGGAAGCUUAAGGCGGCCUUGUUUCGAUUGAAGUUUUCGAAAGAAAAUAUUUUAUGUUUUUUGGGGAUAUUUCAUAAUUAUUUUUUAACCUCACAUACAUAAAAUUGAUAUAAUAUAUUAUAUUAUUCCAUAUAAACUCCAAAAAAUAACAAUUCAAAUGCAUAGAAACAUGUUUUCAAUUUUCAGAAAACAGGAUAAAAUGCAUCUUCUAAUUUUUUUUUAAUAUCACAUACAAGAUACACUCGUAUAUGUUUAUAGUAUAAUUUUGCUUAAAAACAUGUGAUGAUUUUAGAAAACCUCCUCUAAGAUCUUUAACAAUUACAUCUACCUUUUUCUAAAAAUUGAUAAAUUAUUUUUACUUCCCUUGAUGCUAUGAAAAAACUAGGAAAGCCUUCAAAAUAUGGCUUAACUUUUCCUGCAAAAAAAUGGACUUAAAAUGUUCACAUAAUAGAUAAUGGUGAUAGUUACCUUUUCAACAUUUAAUUUGUUUUACAUAUUAGAGAGGGUUAAUAUUGAAUAUUCAGUGAUUUUUUUCUUUUUUUUGCACUUACAUCAUUAAUGUUUUAUCAAGACAUACUUUUAGGGAAUGUUAUAUAAUUUUUCAAACAUUAGAAGAGGUCGUUGCAAUUGUCAAAAACCUCAAGGUGAUGUUUUUGAAAUUAUCCCUGAAAAUGUUAAGGAUCGUGAAUGGUGCUCAGCAGCUGCCGUAGUACCGCGGUAACUUCGCUUGGGUCAGUAACAAUUUAUGAAGAAGAGAAAAGCCGACCCAUAACUUCGCUUGGUGUCCUUCGGUAGCUUGCAGGGGGAUAUGGUUCCUGACCGUCGAUCCCACCAGCAGCUUGGAGUCAUAUGGUUCGCAGCGGUCGAUCCCACCAGUUCCAUCGGUGAUGAGGCUGAUGGAACAGGUGCUAAAAGUGGCGGGGACUAUUCUAAAUUCUAAAUCCAAGCCUGAAGGUGGAAACUGGGAACAGUUGUUGUACACUACUACACUCGCAGCGAAGUAGAGAAGAACAGGACAUCCCAUUUUGCCAAGAAAUAGAAACCUUGCUAACAGGGAGCACCUACUAGUAGCAUUAUUCAGCAUGGUUAUUAAACUCGGCUUAGUCCGACGGUUCAAUCGAUCAACCCGAUGAAUCGAUCAUAAAAUCGAGUUAAAUUCUUAAUAAGAUCGUUUCUGUAUUGAACCCGUUAACUUUUCAAUGGAUCGACAGUUAAAUUAAUCAAUUUUAUAAGGAACUCGAUCUACGAAAAAUUUUUAUAACAUUGCUAGAAUGAAAAUUUGAACGCGAUGACCUCAUGCAAAGAAGUAGACUACCAUUACCACUAGACCAGCCCAUCAUUUGUUAUUUAUUUUGUUCUUAUACUAUAUAUUAGAGUCUUAUUCUUAUUUUAUUUCUCUAAAACAAAAUUUAUUUGAAAUUUUGUAAUAAUAUUUUUAUUAUUCCAUGAACUCUAUAAAUUAUGAAAUUGAUUUAAAAAUAACAUAUUACACAAAUCAUUUUAAAGACAAAUAUUAUUCUUAAUAAACUUUUGUACUUAAAUUCAUAAAUAAAUUAGAUAAUUACACUUAGAUAAAAUUUUAUACUUGAAAUUUGGUGGAUUACUAAUUAAAUUUAGCUUAUUAAUUCUUAUAAAAAUUAAGGAAUCUAUAAUAAAUUAAACUAACUAAAUAUUUAUUAUGGUAUAAAAAUUAUAAAACAAAAUAUUUACAUAUAUGUAGUGACCUACCGAUUGGAUCACUCAUCCAUCGAUUGAAUCAAUGGGUUUGUUUGGAUUGUGUUUUAUUUGGAAUAUUUUUACUGUAGCAUUUUUUGUGAUGUGAUGUGUGUGAGAUAAAAAGAUAAUUGGGAAGAUAAAAAGGUGUAUUGAAAAUUAUAAUAAUGAUAUAAGCAGAUAAAAUUGAAGAAAUAAAAUACAAUCCAAACAAAUCCAAUAAUCCGCUGACCCAUCCCUUUCAUCGGAUUCCUCGCCAAAGCCAGGCCGGUUUAAUAGCUAUGCAAAGCAAAAUUAAAAAAAAUGAAGCUUUGGGAAAAUAGCUGCGGAAUCGAGGCAUUUUCCUAAAUUAUAUUCCAUAAGAUAUUCUGAGGUCCGCUUUACACUUACAGACAUUACUCCUAGUCCUACACUCUUACUGAGACAUUUGCUGACGCACACUGUCCAACACACACACACGCAGCCACCCAGUCAGCCAGUCCUCUCGCUUUCUCUCUCUUCACUCUCCUCUCUCUCUCUCUCUCUCUCUCUCUCUCUCUCUCUUUUUCUGUCCGUCUUCUUGCCGUUUUGUUGGUUUGUCACAGAGACACUCCACUCGCUGCUGCUCCAGAGAGAGAGCGCUCCCAAUGUCCUCUUUCUCGGGCCCGGCAAGAGAAACAAACAGAUAAUCGUUGUAGUCUCUUCUCUUGUCCAGGUGAACGCUGGUUGUCUUCCAGACAGACACCAUAACACAAAUAAGGCUUCCUUUCUCUUCUCCUCUCUUCUUUCUAAUAGACUGAAAAAGGUGAAGGAAAACCAAGAAAGAUAGUUGAUGGGGAGGAGCUUCAUACUCGUACUUGUUACUUCCCUUCUACUAAUGCUCAUUGGUAAUGUGCCUAUUUUUGUGUUCCGUCCUUUUUGAUGUUUUCAUUUCCCAUUUUUGGCUCAUUGUGCAGUCCUCCUCUUCUUUUGAUCAACUGCUACUAGUAGUAUUUGUUUCAGCACCGACAUCUUGAAUAGUUCUUUGGUCAAGGUGACUUGUUUUUUCGGGCUAUGCACCCAACCCACUUAAUCAUUUACUAAAACUUUUCCUGUGGGGUAUUUCUUUUUCUAUAGUUUUGGGGUUUUUUUAAACCAAUUUUGCACCAUCCCUAUUGUCUGUUUUAUGUGUAUUGUUUCUCAAUCACUUUGCACUGUCAGUUCUGCAUCUUUGUUAUAACGUGCGCAACAAUGCAGGGGAGAGGUGCUUGUUAUGCGUUUGAGCCUUGUCAUUUUUGCCUAUUUACUGUUAAUGGUUUUUUUUUUGAGCAAUGCAAAACUUUGCUUCAUUAGCUGCAUAAUUGGUGUAGAUAUAGCUUGAAGGAAUAUGAAGUGUGUUUGUUUGCCAAUUUUUGCUAAGCUAUGGUAAGUUCCAUUAGCAUUUAGACUAGAUAAUUGUUUAAGAUGAUUAUAUGUUGGAUCCGGCUCCAUCUAUACACAAGUACACAAGGAAGGCUUGAUGAAGCUACAAGUUCCUCAAUAUCUUUGUUAACACAAUGUCAGAAUGUGAGUCUUGGCGGUUUCUUGGACUUCAAAUGAACAAGGAAGUCAAAUGAAUAUUUUCCCCAUCCCUCCUUGCUUGCUAGUGGUUCGUGUCUUUCUAAUUCCAAUUGUAGAUUUAAGGAACAUUUUUCUGAUCUUUGGGCUAGAAUUAUGUUGUUGACAUGGUCCUGUCUGUGAUGUGAAUUUAUUAUCUAAAGCAAUAUGUAAUAACCUUGUGACAGAGUUGCAUGCAGUUAUUCUUUAGUACUGUUUUGCAUCUUGCAUAUGCGUGCGUCUUUUUGUAUACUCUUCCGUUGUUGCCAUAGAUAAACUAUUUUAGGUGGAAUUUGUCGUCUUCCAUCGUUUUAUUUUCUAUGACAAGAGCAAUAUAAAACACUUCUAUAGUUUCUUUUGGUGUUAUUUUAUUGCCUUAGCAGUCCUUUUGGGUGUGGCACCACCUGAAUUCCUGAAUUCUGUACUUUGAGUAGUUGAUGUGCCUCGAUGAUGGGCGAAACUAAUGUUCACCUUCGAACAAAUGCAGUGUAAGAGACUAUUCAGAUGCCAACAAUGAUUCUUGGAUAUUCGUGUAUGCAAUGUCUUGUAUCGGUCCAUGCAUUUGUCAGUAGAUCACAGUCACUACCUCAAUAACACUUAGGCUUAAAGCAGUUUACUGGAGCUUGGCUUCAAAGCACAUGCUGUGAUGCCGAUGCAAAUUUCUGAUUGUUAAGAUGCAUGGAAAGCACACGAAUGACUGUGGACUCCUUUUUUUACUUUUUCUUUCUUUGUCUGCUCCAAUAUUCUCCUCACUAUCUACUUCAAGAAGUUAGUCAGAUUAAAUGUUAUUUUUCUUUUUCUACUGAGACUUCACAAACAAAAUUUGACAGGAGUGUGCCAAGGGAGCAAAGUUGGAGUUUGCUAUGGAAGAAAUGCUGAUGAUCUUCCCACACCAGAUAAAGCUGUACAAUUGAUUCAAAAUCAUAACAUUAAGUAUGUGAGGAUUUAUGACUCUAACAUCCAAGUUCUGAAGGCCUUUGCAAAUAGUGGAAUUGAGCUGGUGAUUGGUAUUCCAAAUUCAGACUUGUUGCCAUUCUCACAAUUUCAAUCUAAUGCUGAUACUUGGUUAAGAAACAACAUUCUUCCAUAUUAUCCAGCCACAAAGAUCACAUACAUAACAGUUGGUGCUGAAGCCACUGAGGUUCCCAAUAAUGUCUCUGCGAUGGUAGUACCUGCUAUGCAGAAUGUUUUCACUGCUCUGAGAAAGGCUGGUCUUCACAAGAAAAUCAAAGUUUCCACUACUCAUUCUUUGGGUGUUUUGUCCCGGUCAUAUCCACCUUCAGCAGGGGCUUUCAAUAGUAGCUAUGCAUUCUUUCUGAGACCCUUGCUGGAAUUUCUUGCUGAGAAUCAGUCACCUUUCAUGGUUGAUACAUACCCUUACUAUGCCUACAGGGAUUCCUCUAGCAAUGUUUCCCUGGACUAUGCUCUAUUUGAGUCAUCGUCUGAAGUAAUCGACCCAAAUACUGGUUUACUUUACACAAAUAUGUUUGAUGCCCAGAUUGAUGCUAUUUACUUUGCUUUGAUGGCUCUCAAUUUCAGAACCAUUAAAAUAAUGGUGACCGAGACAGGCUGGCCUUCCAAAGGAUCUCCUAAAGAAACAGUUGCAACUGCAGACAAUGCCCAAACAUACAACACAAAUCUGAUUCGCCAUGUCAUCAAUGACACUGGCACUCCAGCAAAGCCAGGACAGGAGCUAGAUGUAUACAUCUUUUCCUUGUUCAAUGAGAACAGGAAACCAGGGUUAGAAUCUGAGAGAAACUGGGGCUUAUUUUUCCCGGACCAGACAAGUGUAUACAACCUUGACUUCACUGGCAGGGGUACAGUGGAUAUCACAACAGGUGCCAACAUCACCAGUUCAAAUGAAACAUGGUGUGUUGCAGCAUCUAAUGCUUCUGAUGCUGACCUUCAGAAUGCCCUCGAUUGGGCUUGUGGAUCUGGGAAUGUGGAUUGUUCUGCUAUUCAGCCAAGUCAGCCUUGUUUUGAGCCAGAUAACCUCAUAUCUCAUGCAUCAUAUGCUUUUAACGGUGUGAGUGCAGGCAAGUGGUCACCCACCCACCAUAAUGCCAUAUUCAUAUUUUGGAUUCGACUUGGGUAGCAAAAGUCCGGGCAAAUAGGCAAGUAACAGUCGAGAGGACGAUAUUUUUUUCAGAGCUGUUGGCAUCAUCUGAUUCUUGAACAGCGACAGGAGCCUCCGAAAGCACUGCUCUUGUGGUACCGUCAAAAUACUACUGCUCCGAAAGCACUGCAUCUACCCAAAGAUAAACGAGAGACAAAAGUUACAACAGUCAUGGGUCAUUAUCUCAGACGACUGAGAGAAGAGAAUUAAAACACAAGUUAUCUAAUGGAUACGAACAAAUGAUGACACAAAGCGAAUUUCAAUACCUCAUCCUCCUCGUUAAUAAUUGGCACAGGACAGGAGCCAGCAAAUUAUUAUUAUUAUUGUCAUCUACCCGUAGGCUUUGAAGCCUUCAGUGCAUCGUACGUACUCAAGCUCAGUGUAUACUGUGCUAGUACCAUUUCUGCGCUAGAGGGGAAAGCGAUCUCGAUGUACUACUGUCCAUCAUCCGUGCUCCUUGCACUGAACGCCGAGGGAUGCUAAUGCUAGAAAACUUGACUGCUGCUGUUUGCUUUUUCUUCUUCAAGAAAAUAAAUGAUAAUGGCGUGAUUUUUGCAAGCACUAAAAAUGACAAAGAAUAUCUUUUUGCAAACUGUUAUGCUACUACUACAUCUAUGGCGUAUAGAUAGAACGGUUGGAAAGAAAAAAGAGAGUAGUGUUAGGUGCAAAGUUCUUGACUUUUCAGCACUUCACCAAUUAAUCAUACAAUUAUAUUAUAUUACGGAGUGCACAGGAGAAUUCGAAUUUCGAAAUCUGGUAGUGGGUAAUCUGCUUCCUUCCCCCCCCCCGGGGUUUUCCCCAUAAAAUUCCCUUGCACUAUUUAAGUCUCUGUUCAUAUAUAUGACAACUCGAGAACGAAGCGGUGAAAUUGCAGAAUUUUGCCAAAGUGAAGUGAGUGGAACAAGUUGACGACUGAAGAAGAUUACCACCGAGGAAAAGAGAGACGAAGAGGAGAGAAUAUGGUUGGCUGAAGCAGGGAUUUUGCAAAGAAGGAAAGUUUGGAUUCCUAAGAGAUUUGCAUAUGUGCGUAAGCGGUCACGAGAUUGUCAGAGAUGCCUGCUCUGCUGUUCUGUGCUGUGCUGAGGAAGGAGAUGGACUCUGGGUGUGGUCUGCUUCUGGUUGUGGAGGGACUUUGGACGCGCUCUAAUGAAUAGUAACACCUUCCAUUCCAAUCCAAGCCUCAGGUUUCAGGUAUCAAUUCUAUUCUAUUCUAUCUUACGUACGUUGUUCGGUUGUUGCAUCGCAUCUCUCUCCCUCUCUCUCUUUCUUUCUUUCUUCAAUUCCUUCUUUAAGGACACGUCGCUCCACAAAGUAAUCUUUUGCUUUUCUCUUUUUCCAUUUUUACAUCUUUUCAGAAAAGAGCCCCAGCCAGUUGGACGAAUCUAAAUUCGAUCGAGACCCCUUCCUCCCUCCGCCCUUUUAUUUAUUUAUUUAUUUAUUUAAUAUAUACAUAUAUAUAUACAUAUAUAUCUUUGUUAGUUACUACUUUUGUAUACACUACUGGCUAUAUACACAUUACUUGUAUGCUUUUUAUACUAAAACUUUAUCGUCAUUCGAAUAUCUUAUUUUUUAAGUGACUAGAUCAAUAAUGAUUUUAAAGUUAAGGAUUGGUCUUGUCUUUUGGGUUUGCGUGUCUACAUACAUACAUACAUACAUACAUACGCAAUCCUCAGCCGCACCUUCUUGUCUGCUAUGCUUCUUCUACGUAGUUUUCUGGGGGAUCCUGUGUGGAUAUUUUCCCAUUUCUAGUAAUUGGUCAAUGUAUCUAUAUUCUACUAAUAACUAAUUAAUGAUGCUUGUCCAUUACAACAAUAAUAUUAUUUAAUUCUUAAGCACAGGCUACAACAAACUCUACCAUCUUUACUUUAUUUCCCAAGCUUGAUUAGUAUGGUGAAAAGCAAGGGAAGAGCUCAGCUUUCGUUAAUUUGGACUACAUUAGCCUGUAAUGAAACUAUGAACAAAUUAAUCUUAGGUUCCACUUUAAUUUUUUGCUUGAAAAUAUUUGUUACUAAUACCCAUGAAAAGAUUAUUGUCUUGUCUACGACACUGACUUAUAUAAGUUUUAGUUUAUAGAUCAAUGUAUAUGCAGAGGGGAUCGGCUUGUGUAACAAGAUACGAGCAUUGAACAAACAAAUUUUAUGAUACAUGAAAGAGUUCAAGGCUCCAAGCUCACACAUUUUUUCAACCUCUCGGAAUUUCGUCUAGUACAAGAUUUUCUCAGCCAGGGCAAAAAAAAAAAAAAACAAACAAACAGUACUGUAAAAGAAUGGCAGCAGUUAACCAAGAAUUAGAGAUUUCCCUCUUGUCUUUGUAACCAAGAAUUUUGAUUAUAAAUCAACUGACUUCCUUCCAAAUUUCCCUUUCAUUUUCCACGUUCGUAUGCACGAUUUAGAGAUGUUACUGUUGGACAACUUUCACAAAAAAGGAAGCACACCAGCUUUUUAGCUGUAAAUUCUCAAAUUAUAGUCCCUUAGCUUUUGACACCCCGUUUUCAAGUUCCCUUAAUCUCUCCUUCCUUCACAUCAUCACAUGUGCCUUCUUAACCCCAUCUCUAAAGUAGCAGUAGUAACUUCUCAGAAGCCUAGGCCCCCCUUUUCUCCCCCACCAUCUUCUUUAGAGCGUUUUUCCUUACCUUUUUCUCUUUGAAAAUUAUCAUCCCAGAUAAUGAGCUGCGAAGAUGGUGCUAUUUUCAGUUACAACUUCAGGCCUAAGGUUUCUCCAGACUUAAUUCUUUUGAAGGCUUGACAAGCUAAGCCACAUUUUCAAGAAAAUGGGCAGAGCAACAAGGUGGUUGAAGAGUUUGUUUGGGAUAAAGAGGGAUAAGGGCCAGAAGGAGAUUAAUCCAAAUUCCGGUAGCCAGAGAGAAAACAAAUGGACGGGAAUGGGCCAUUCGGGAAGAGACACUGCUGAUGGGCUGUGUUCAAAUCCAAACACCAUUCCACCCAAUAUUACCCCGGCUGAAGCUGCAUGGUUGAGAUCUUUUUACGCUGACUCUGGUGACAAGGAGCAAAGCAAGCAUGCCAUAGCAGUUGCUGCAGCCACCGCCGCUGCCGCUGACGCCGCCGUCGCCGCUGCACAGGCUGCGGUGGCCGUGGUUAGGCUCACCAGUCAGGGCAGAGGAGGGUCCAUGUUUGGUGGUGGUGGUGGUAGUCGUGAAAAGUGGGCCGUUACAAAAAUUCAAAGUGUUUUCCGCGGAUUCUUGGUAAUUAAUUACUACUACUACUACUUUUGCUUCGAAGGUGUAUAACGUAUAUUUGACUGACAGACACGGUUUCUCAGUAUCGUAGUCACAUCCGUUUCCUUGUCUUCUUUCUUUUUUUUUUUUGGCUGUCCCUUUUACCAUUAUAUGCAUUAAUUUUGGUUCGUUCUUACUAGAAAAAUGGAAAUUGCUAAACGGGUAUGGUGUGAAUUAAUCAGGCAAGGAAGGCACUGAGGGCUUUGAAAGGACUUGUGAAACUACAAGCACUAGUGAGAGGUUAUUUGGUGCGUAAACAGGCGUUCGCUACAUUUCACAGCAUGCAAGCUCUUAUAAGAGCACAGGCCAAUGUUCGUGCCCAAAAAACUCGAGGCCUCCUCGAUUCUACUGCUGCAAGUUCAAACCGGCAGUUUCAUGCUGCAAAUUCGGCGGUAAGAACUUGUCUCUGUGCAUCUAUUUUUGCAAGGAAUUACAUCUUAAUUUAAUUUGUGUCCAUCUUGGUUAAUUAGCAGGAAAAGUUUGAUGAGGGUAGAAGUAGGCAGAAUUCAUUUCAUAACAGAAGGCUCUCUGCAUCGUUUGAUAGCAUUAACUCAAAUGCAAUCGAUGAAAUCCCAAAGAUUGUGGAGAUAGAUACUGGAAGGCCUAAAUCAAGAUCCAGAAGAAGCAGCGCCUGGGUAUCAGAUUCCAUUUCCGGGGAUGCCCAGACUCUAUCCUCUUCGUGUCAAUGCCGACAUCCUCCGCCCCACCUAUCGAUCCCUGAUUGCAGAAACUCUCAAGACUCCGACUGGGGACUGACUGGGGACGAAUGCCGCUUCUCCACCCCUCAAAGCACUCCCAGAUUCUCCAAUUCUUGUGGGACAAAUCCACCUGUCACGCCAGCCAAGAGUGUUUGCGUGGAAAGCUUAUUCAGGAAUUGCCCAAAUUAUAUGGCUAAUACGCAGUCAUUUAAGGCCAAACUGAGGUCUUACAGCGCACCGAAGCAAAGGCCUGAACCGGGGUCCAAGAGGAGGCUAUCGCUCAAUGAAAUGAUGGAGUCCAGAAGUAGUCUAAGUGGGGUCCGAAUGCAGAGGUCAUGCUCUCAAGUCCAAGAAGUUUUGAGUUUCAGGAAUGCUGUUGUCGGUAGGCUUGCAAGGUCUUCAGAAUUCUCAAAAGAGCAAUUAUACAACAGGGAUUCUUACUCGGAAGAAUAUUUUGAGUAGCGAUCGAAAGAAUGUGCUGCAACUAUCAAUUCGCAAGCGCAAACAGAGCAUGUAAUUGUCUAGAAUCUAGAUCAUCCUAGAGACAUAGGGCAAGAUGUAAUCUUUACUCCCGUUUUCAUUGAAGAAGUGAUCAAGGUCGGUUAUACCAGUACUGACGAGGUUAAUAAUAAUUGUGUGUCUAAUUUUUCGUGUUGCUUAGGUGUGCCGUUAUUACAACAUUAACUCGACCUCUGCACAAAAAUGUACCGUACAUCCAGUACCACAAAUGCUGAGAGCCAACAAUUCCUUUCCUGGAAUCAUUUGAAAUGACAGGGCUUAGCUAGUUUGGACGGCAAUGCUAUGAUUCAUUAUUGCCUCCGUCCCCCUCUCUGUGUGGUUGCAUUCUAAGUAUUCAAAUUUUUUUUUUCUUUCACCUUUAGGGGCAGUACCGUCAUAAUUUGUUACGAGUGCUACAAUGUCAAUAGGAUGAUGACUUCUGUUGUCAUGUGCGGGUGUGAGGUUGAUGUGCUGCUGUAUCUAAUUUGAAAUGGAAGAGCUAUCUGGUUUUCUAAUCUGAAGAAAUAAUGGGAAUCUCAUAUGUGACCCACUUCUCCAUUAUGUAAACAAAAGAUCACCAUAACUUGGGCUAGUAGCAUCUGUAGUCUGGGACCUCUCUGAUUCAUUCCAUUGGCACAUUACUUGGGCACUCUCAACAAGCUUUGCAGCCUUUUCUUGUUUCUUGUUUUGGCAGAUAGAAAACAACUUGGCAGCCGAAGCUUUUAGGGUCGCUGGCUCAUUUCUGCUGCAGCAACAACAACAAACAGCUACUACGACUGGGUUUCUUGUUUCAUCAGCAGGAUGGUGGGUGGUUAAGCAGCAACAUUAUUGCUUCCUAUGGCUCCUCCCUAACACCAACAGCAAUAGGCCUUUUAUUGGGCGCAAGAUAGUACAAUUUUCCAUUCCGCCUACGUGCCGAAUUGUCAAUUGUUGUUUUCUUUUGAGUUUUAGUUUUGACAAUGGGCGUCGCAGAAGGCUUGAUUCCAGCCUUCCAUUUUUUGCGUCUUUAUCUUCUUCUUGUCUUGUUGGAUUAUAAUAUCUAGACUAUAGAUGCCAGGUAGACUGGUAGGCUUGGUCAAGGACUCGAGAUUCAGGAAGAAGGGGAAAAAGAGUAGGAAAAACUUUGUGCAACUUUAAGGUGUCGUAAUUGUAUAGCUAAAUUACACCCCCUUCAUCUAACGUGAAGGUUUGGAUUCAUGAUAAAGGAGUAUGAAUUUAGCCCUCACUUAAAAAGUAUAAUGUGUGUUUCUACAUUUAAAUUAAUUUAUAUGGUGAUUCGAUCAUAUUCUCAAGUCACGUUCAUCAUCGUUGGACGGGGAAAUAAGUGUUUCUUAGAUUAUUAUUGAAAGAAAUAAUUUCCUAAAAAGACCACAGAAUUUUGUUUAUCUUAUAUUCCCAUUAUAUAUCAGUAGCACGUGCUCUGCUGGUGAGUUAAAUUAUGGGGUGUUACUAUAACGUAAUGUUGUUACAGAAGUUGGUGGAAAGAUAGCUAGCAAGAAAUAUGCUAUAAGGAGAAAUCUUGUUUUUAUAUAAUCUUGUUUCACACUCAUGUGAUGUGAAACUUUGGGCCAAUUUGAGUGCAUAUUGGACACAUUUAUUUGUCGCCUCCGCCCAUGGACCCAAUUUAAGACUGAUGAGUGAAUGAGGGCAGGAUGUUUUCCACGCCAAACCUUUGACAUCUUGAACUCACGAUUUUUCUCUUGGAUAAAUAGAGCCCAACCCAAAGAUCUGAGCAACAAUGAAUGCAAUAUAUAGAUUUCGGAUUGGGACCUAAAAUGAGUUGUGUCCCUUCCAGCCGAAGAUUGUGCUGUUGUUGAAAUUGUGACUUUCUAGACUGUAAUUGUUCAGUGCGUGCGUUAGCAAAGAGCAACAGAUGUAAAUACCAAAAUAGUAAACUAGACACUAAAAGUAAUAGAGUAAAUCUUAUAUACACACUAUCACUGACUGACAGUAUACACACUAUCACCGUUGGAUUCAUGACACAUGUGUAAAAAUUGAAUUUCAAAUUCAAAUUUUGCAUAGUUAUCAUUCAUUCAACGCUGACAGUGUAUACAAUGUCAGUGUAGGAAAUAUUAAUUCAAAGUAAUAAUAUGAAAAAUAUAGCAAAUUAAGUUUUAUAGACGAGAUUGAUUGGGGUACACCACGAAAAAUUUAACGAGCAAUGUUUAAAAUUUUUGUGCCACAAUCAAUCUCAUCUAUCCAAAUUCAAUUUUCUACAAAUGCAGGCUAUAAACUUCAUCAUUCAAUUGCUCCGCUAUUUGCAUAAUAAUUGCAGUCCAGAACGUGAACUGCAACAUAACAAAGAUAACGUUUAAUUUCGCGAAAUGUUAUUUGACCUUCCAUUUUUGUUAAUCACAUUUCUACUAUCAUUUUAAUUAUAUAAUUUUUUAUUUAGUAGACUAUAUGAUAAAAUAAACGAUGAAAGUGCAAAUAACAAAAAAAUAGAGUGCAGACAACAUUUCCCUUUAAUUUCAGAUAAAUUUUCCUUUUUCCUGUGUGGGCCGGGUGGAUGCGCAAUUUUCAAGCAGGAUGGACAACAAGUGGGUUUGGUGCUUUGGAUUGUGGGCUUAGAAUAGAGGGAACGCUCGAGAGAGAUUGGACCGUCUUACUACUGCUUAAGCCUAGCUGUCCUCUUAAUCUUGGGUACACACAAUUAUAGGAUUUGCCAGAUAAUUAUCCCCUAAAAUAAUGGGAUUCAUUCAACCAUCUGAAUUAGAAUCAAAUUGUAAAUCUCAAUCUGAACUAUUGUUAAUCGUGUCUUGAUCACAAGAUUUCGAAAUGAUGCUUACCUUCCUUAAAACACCCUGAUUCUUUUUAUAUUGUGCCAAAAUUCUUUCUUAGACGCCGGGGCCCAAAAAUUUGCGAAAACUGAAGAAGCAUCUGCGGUGCAAGAAUGUCGAAUUCAUUUACUCAGUACUUAUUACUGAUUUACAAUGUCGGCCCAAAAAGGGAACAAAAAAAGAAAAGCAGAAAAAAAAGAAGCUCGUGUAUGUUUGUUAUCUUGAUCAUAUUUUGAUCCAUUCAGAACCAUCGAUGAAGGCAAGCGAAAUAAAAGGCUUUGCUUCCUCAUCUGUAAGUUCUCUGGACCAUGAAACUCUUCCUGCAAAACUUGCCCCUGCUCCGCUGCACUUGUAUUGUCCAUAAAACACCGUCCUGUGCAGAUAUAAGAAAGAGAAAAACAGCGUGAAAUUUUAAUGGCCUCAAAAUAGCUAUAUGACCCCCGCAGGUAGUCCGACGGGUUUUGUAGUCUGGUAGUUAUUAGCACGUUCUGUGAUUGACCCUUGUAUGCUAUCUCAUUGUGUAUUAUUGGAGUAAGAUUUUAUACAGGCUUAAGAGAUUAGUCUGGUUGAAAGGUUGGAAUACCUCCAAAUGAAAAAAAAAAUGGGCUCAUGGGCCGACUAUCAUAUGAUUUUGUUAAUUGGGCAAGCUACUAUAAUUAAAAUGGGUGAGCUAUUACAAUCUUUUUUUGUGGUAAAUAAAUGUACCGAGUUAAAUGUACACUAUCCCCAAAUUAACCAUUUGUACAGAUUUCUUAAUGACUGAUAUCCAGUAUAGUGCAAUACUUGUGGUUGUACACGUGCAUUAGAGACUUGUACAUUGUAAUCAGGUGCAAUAAACAGUAGCCACAAACUAAAAUUGUGUUCACAUCCAGGGCAUUCAAUAAUUUGGACUCUUCUACUUCUAGGACGUAUCCAAGUCUUCAAGUACAUGGCGCUUUCUGAAAGUUGAAUAUUCCUCCAUAUAGGAGCCUUGUGAAAGUUAGGUAAAGUUUGUUUAGGACACUUUAAUGGUUGAUUAUAAGUGGAUUAUAGUAGACAAGAAGAAUAGACACAAACUAAAUAAGGAGUGAGAGUAAGUCAAGGUUAUUGUCCUUGCUAGCUAGCUCUAUAUAUAUAGUGGCAAACAAACAACUGUCGCUGUGGAGAUGCUUGUAAAGUGGUUGUGAGUUGUGACUGAAUACUUUAAACAAAGUUGAUAAUCAUGGUGGAAGAACAGUGUGAUGCAUGCUGGUGCUAUAAUAAGGAAAAGAUAAGUUUGGAUAUACAUAUAUAGUUCGAAAUUGGGGUGGCACCGUCCCAAUACCACCAUCAAAUGCAAUGCUUUUGAUGUGAUACAAACUGACCUAUAAUUGGGCACCAAAUAGAUAGGCUAUAAUUGAGCACCAUAUAGAUACGGAUGGCCAUAUGUUAUGUAUAGUGGAGGAAGAUGAUAAAGAUUUUGUAAUUUUGCAGGGAGGUGAUGAUGAGGAAGAGCACUACUUACAUUUCUCGACUAGGGUCACCCCAGUUAUGCCAGCCUUUUGGAAUGAUAAUGUUGUCCAUAUAUGUGUAAGCGAAGAUUACCCUGGAAAAGGGUCCCCAUGCCCGUCCUAGGUACAGGGCUCCUGAACCCGUGACCUUACAGUUUACAAAGGAGAACCCUGUGUCCUCCAACAGGCUGCUUCUCCCUUGUGCUGUGACUGCCCCCGUUAACUGUGCUAUUGCAUGCACGUGACAACCCUGCGUUUACAUUUUAACCAUUAUGUAUUCUGCCAUCAUCAUUUCAUGAUUUGAGCAUAACUAGGUGCAUGCAGAUGCAGUACAUAAUUGGUUAUGUAAUGUACAUUCUUAAUAGUGUUUCUGUUUCACUAACAUACAAUAGUACCCAGAGGAUUCUUGAUUAGGAUCAAUGUACUUUCUCUAAAUGCAUAUAUAAUGGUAGAAAUUAGUGUUUCUAUUCUAAGUUUAAGUUCUAGAGUAAUAUAUAUAGUUCUCUGGAUCGAAGCAUAAAUUGAUAUAUACAGAAUGCUCCCUCCUAAUUAAUUUGGUUGCCAAUAUAAAAGCCAUAUGUUUCUUGCAACAAUUCUCUUGAACUAUCAGCUAUAACAGGCGAGCUCUAUGUUUAGUGCAGUAGGAUCAUUAGCUGGCAAAUUGAAAAAGGAAAACCAAACUGUAAAUAGAACGGAAACCGAACAAACUCUCCUGAUGUAAGUGAAGCAUGUCCACUUUCAUGUAACACAGUGUUGCUUUUAGAAAAGACACGACUUGUAUCUACCUCCACAUUUCACGUCAUCCCACAAUGAAUUCAAGAACAUACAAUUUUCAUAAAAGGACAUGCGAUCCAAAUUUCAUCAAGUUUUAGUACUUUUUUCUUUUUUAAGUUUUAGUACUUUGUUUGUCCAAUGUAUGUUUUUAGUCCACACAAAAGUGUUCAAUUGAACGAAUUCAAUUUCAACAGGUGAGACCAAAACCAUAUGAACAUGCUAACGUGGCUUUAUUAAGAACGAGGAACAUGAAACAAGAUGCAAGCACUGUAAAGUUUUAACUAACCACUGAUAUGCAAAGACAAUAAUAUUAUUGUUUGUCGAUUUCUCAAGGGAUCAGUGGAGAUAGUUACCUCAAACAAAGAGAGCCCGUUACCAAAGAUGAAAUCCACAGAGCCUUCGAUGUAACAAUCUUUGUAAUAAUGCCUGCCUACGUGGUCAUACAGCGUAUCCUGUGCACCCAAGAAUCUGCAACCCACAAAAACUGCUGUAUCUGCCGAUAUCCUAAAUGCAACAGCUUGCUUUCCAAUGGCUCCUGGGGGUGGUACUGGAGUUGUAUUCUGCAUGCAUUUUUUUUUUUUUUGGCAAAUAUUACGUGAUCAUGAGAUUAAAAUGUUAAUUAUGACUAGCCAAUAACAAAAGAAGGGGAAAAUGAUAUUACCUUGAAUGUGAUGUUCUUGGCUAUGAAAUAUGGAGAAUUCACAGCAAAUGUUGCAGAAGCAAAUGUGCCAAGAGGCUGGCCUUUUGCUCCGGGUGUUUGUGCUGUAUCUCCCCAUUGAACUAUAGUUUUAUCUGCUCCCGCUCCCUGUAUGGUUAUGUAUGACUUCAGCUGAGGUAUUGUAACCUUUUCCCUGGAAAACUCGCAUUUUUGGGGGGGUCAAAAAGAAAUGAUCAUUUGAUGGAGAGAGAGCAACAUGAAAAUAAUACCAACUGUGAAAAAUGAGGAAGGAUGAAAGAAAAGACGCAUUUCAAAAACCACAUGCAAAGUAGGUACCUGUAGUCAGGAAACCAGUUUGUAGCAUAUUGAUCAGAAGCUAAAGGACAACGUGCAACAAACCGACAUAUUUCUUUUUCAAUGGUGGCGAAAUAUAACAAAAACUUGAGCAUGACUACCUCUUAAAUGUACCAUAUUAUAUAGUAAUGCACUAUUUUCUCUCUUUCUCUCUUCUUGGUGGUAAAAUUAUGCAUUUACCAAGCCUUGACAGAAAAUACCACAAAGAACAGAGAAAUGUAUUGAGUAUAUCCUAAAACACUUACGUGUAAACACCCGCAUGAACCUUGAUCAACACUCUAACUAGAUUAACAGUAGGGAGAGAAUCAAUAGCCUGCUGAAUUGUAGUAAAGUCACCGUAGUUUGGAUUUUUGUCGACCGUAAGAGUGUAAGAAGGGAAGAGCUUAUUCUUGGCGGUCUUGAACACAGAGUGAUUGAGGCUGCCAACAAAGUUUACCCACUUCAUGAAUUGUUGUUCAGAGUAUUGGACUUGGGUCAUAUUCACUGCAAAUAGCUUCCCUGAAGCUGUUCUUUUUGGCCUAAUGCCUUUGGUGUGGCAUACUACUGUAUUGCUUCCAUAGCUCAGAAGAAUGAAAAUGAUAGAAUGUACAAGAAGUUUAGAAGUGGGCAUAUCGAUUGAUCUCUACAGAAUGAGAAUGAGAUCGAGAAGAGGAGAAAAGAAAAAGAAGGAAAAAAGCCGUACUAAGGAAUGUUGUUUUGGGGUUAGGAAGUGCAUUAAGCUGGCUCGUAAAUUGGUUGUGUAUAUAUAUAUAUAUAUAUCAGUACUACUUGGGAAUUAGUGCUUAGUAGUAACUGCUGCUGCCUUUUCAUUUUAGGUGGAAAAAGCGAUGCUAUAUUUAGAUGAUCUUGACAUGGAGUGAGAGGUCACGGGUGCCUCUAAUUGAAUCAUUGUGGAAUGUUGGGGAAGAACUAAGAAGGGGGAAUGGUUGGGUUGGGGAGGGGGAUCACAGGAAAACGAUCUCAGACCACAAAGCGAGUCCUAGGGAGGCAUGCACUUUUCGGCCUAACAAAAACGUUUCUUUCCGAGUUUUUAAAGCUCAUUCAGAGUUGGUGGUGCCCGUGACUAUCUCUAUGUUUCCGUAUGAAGCUGAACAUAUUCUGCUUUCAGAAAUGACGUGUUUUUUGUGCAGCAGGGGAAAUGUUUUUGGUACUCUAUUUUUUUUUUUUUGUUAUUUGCGCUCUUACCAUUUGUUUUAUCAUAUAAUCUAAUAAAUAAAAAAUUAUAUUAUUAAAAUGAUAAUGAGAGUGUGAUAAGCAAAAAAAAGAAGUGUAAAUAACAUUUUUUGCACAGUAAUUUCUAAUUAGUUCUAUUCAACAUAUAGUACAGGGAAGGGUGCUUGCUACUGUAGUUGCCAAACACUCGAGGAAAUGUGGGUUUCUAUCUUUGGUUUAUAUGCGUCACAUGAAUCACAUAUAUUUGCUAACAAGUUCCAAAAGCCAAUAUCGUUGUAGAAGUUUGUCAGAGAAGAGGACUAGAAAGAAAGCUAUUAGAACAAAAAUUUUCUUUUACAGGAGGGAUUUUAGAUUCAUGUAACAUAUACAAAAAUCAAAUUUUAUAUUUGAAUAGAAAUCAUGCGUCAUGUAUCAACAAAUGCUACUUUUGGAAAUUUUUUUUAGAUGGUGCAGAAAAAAUUAAUCUUAGAAAUCUUUUUUCUUCUUCUAACCUUAUUUGACACCCAAUUGUUGUUCUUUUGGGCCAGGUUGAUUUCACAUUGUGCAAAUUUAUAUCUCACCUUGUUGGCCCAUGGACCCAAUUCUAAAACCGUUGUGGCAAUAGCAGGGUGUAGAAAUACCUAAUUCACUCUCUCCCACCCUCUCUCUCUCUUCUGGGUUUUUGAGUUUAGAGCCCAGAGGAAGGAAACCUUACAUGUACACCUAAUAGUGUGCCAAGUACAUAUUGUAUUACAAAUGAUUAUACACUCGUGCGUAUAAAUACAUAUAGGAUGCGUAUAAAGAUGCAUAAGUUAAGUAUUAUUUUCAGGAGUCACGGUCCUCGUCACCACGUUCUAUUAACAUUUGAUAAGAAUACACUUAUCAAUGCAACGUUGGGUUUUACACUCCAAAUAUUUCUUUUUUCGCUCACCCCUAAAAUCAUAUUUCUUUGCACGGAAAAGACAUUUAUGGAGUAUUUUAUACACAUAACCCAAGAUGCUAUUCUUUCUUGACUCGUACCAUGCCAAACAUGCCAAUUAAUAAACAAGUAGAGGCUGCAAAUCUAGGUAAUAAUUGUACGAUUAUGGGCAAAAGUUAAAAACUUGGAUAAAUUCGAUCUUGUAAAUUUAGUGAUUCAAAUUUUAUCAACUAUUGAAUAUUUGAGCCGGAGAGAUCGUAUAGCAAAUUUUAAACUACUAAAUUUACAUAGACCGAAUCUAUUCAAGUGUUUGUUCGGGCAAAAUGCGACAAAUUAUAUGAAUUUAGCUUCAUUGUCUAUUUCUACAUCAGUUGGCAAACAAUCAAAGCUCUAAAAGCGACAUAAAUAUAUCAGGUUUUGGUUCGAUGGGAACGGAAUCAACAUCAAUUAUUGAAAAGUUUACAAAAAACCGCAUCUUACUCUUUGUCCUUCCUCUUCCUUGGAAAUAACAUCCAUCACCCCACCCUCCCAUCUGCCUUGCCCCACUUGGAAAUAACCUUAAAAGGACCGAAAAUAGUAGUAGUCUCAGAAUAUUUCUUGCAGACUAAACCCUGAUUUCCAUCUUAGGGAGAGCUCCCAAGAAGCAUCUACUAUUUCGUAAAAUUUGUUCCGACCUCUAAAACUGUCAUGAAUACGAACGUGAUCUCAAGCUUCAUAGCCAUAGCAACUUCCAUCUCCUUCCUCCUCCUCUCACCCCCGUCAAAGUCCUUUUAUCAUUCCUUGUUCUUAUCUGAUUCCCUUUCAUGCAAUGAAUCAAUAGCAAACCACCUCUACAUCCUAACCAAGCGGCCUCAUGUUGCUGGGUCCGAAGCCAAUGCCGAAGCAGCGGCUUAUGUUCUAUCCACCCUCACUUCCUAUAAGGUUCGAUCACAUAUAACAACCUAUGAAGUUGCCUUGACUUACCCCAUCUCACGUUCCUUGACCCUAAAACCUACUCCUCAAGACAGCCCCGUCAAGUUCGAUCUCCACCAAGACAUUUACGACGGUGAUCCUCAUGCCGACGUGGCAGACGAAGUCCUACCGACGUUCCACGCAUAUGCCAAGUCUGCCACUGUAGCUGGACCUGUAGUAUAUGCCAAUUACGGGCGCGUACAGGACUAUGCUGUAUUGAAGCAAAUGAAAGUAAAUGUGUCAGGGAAUGUUGUAUUGGCAAAGUAUGGAAAGAUAUACAGAGGGGACAUUGUGGAAAAUGCUUAUGCAGAAGGUGCUAUAGGUGUAUUAAUUUACACAGAUAGGAAGGAUUACGGUGGAGGAGGUGAUGCAAAAUGGUUUCCUGAUGACAAGUGGAUGCCUUCAAGUGGAGUCCAGGUGGGAUCCGUGUACAAUGGGGCCGGUGAUCCCACUACACCUGGCUGGCCUAGUUCAGGGUUGUGCGAGAGACUAUCAGAUGAUGAUGCGGAGAAAGGAGGAGAAGUUCCAUUGAUACCAUCAUUACCUAUUUCAUGGGCUGAUGGUGACAGAAUCCUGAGGUCCAUAGAUGGACAAGUGGCAAAUGACGAUUGGCAGGGAGGGAAAGAUGCUCCUGUCUACAAGGUUGGGCCAGGACCAGCAAUUCUGAAUCUUAGUUAUACUGUAAGUCUCGAAAAACCAGCAAAAUGUCGAAUCUGUAGAGCUGAAACAGGCAUGCAGUAACUAAGAAAGCCCAUACCGUGAGUUUUGCAGGGAAAGCAAGUUAUAACCACAAUCCAAAAUGUUAUUGGAAUCAUUGAAGGUGUAGAAGAACCUGAUAGGUAAGUUUGAAUAAUUCAAACAUGCAAUGUACAGCAAAUUAAUACGCAUCUCUGAAACAAUUCUGCAUGAUGAAAUUGUCACGUAAGAAAACGACAAGCAAAUUGUUAUAGCAAGCCCUACAAUAGAAAUGAUAGCCAAAAUGAAAUCAUAAUAUUAUUUUCCAAAAAACUGAGCCUGGAUAAACAAAAUCAAGCUUACCGAGUAACUUUCUAAUGCUAGAUUUUCCUCACACAGUUGAAAAUUUUCUAGAUAUGUCAUACUUGGGAAUCACCGGGAUGCAUGGACAUUUGGAGCUGUUGAUCCAAAUAGUGGUACAGCAGCCCUGCUUGAGGUAUGUAAAAUUUUGGUGCUUAAAUCGUCUUAACAUCCCUAGAUUCAAAUUCCAAGGAAAAUAGCAGUUCAACUGAUAUUUUUGAGAGAGACAGGUUGCACACAGGAUGUGGAAGCUCCAGGAAAAAGGUUGGAAACCUCGGCGAACAAUUAUAUUUUGUAAUUGGGAUGCUGAAGAAUAUGGCCUGGUUUGUCUUUCGCUCCUCUCACUGUAGCACAUUCACUCGUCCACAUGCAGCCCUGGCUCCUUUCAAAUAACCAAAGCCAGAAAGAGGCUGUGUGAGCUAAUACAGGCAGAACAUAUUUGUUGUUUUAACUGAAUUAUAAGCAGUUCACCAUCUUCAGAUAGGAUCAACAGAAUGGGUUGAAGAGAACAGGGAAAUGCUAGCAUCAAGAGCUGUAGCCUAUAUGAAUGUUGAUAUUGCAGUUCAAGGAUUAGGAUUUUAUGCCUCUGCAACUCCACAGCUCGAUGAGCUACUAAUAAAAGCAACUAAGCAGGUACGAAACGAAUCUCAAGGGUUGGGGCCACAGGGUUUUACAACAUUGCCAUAUGCAUUAACAAUGAUUGCAUAUGGUUAAUCCACGUAGAAAGCAACAAGUUCAAAAAUAUAUAUAUAUAGAGGUGCAAAUGUGGUUUAACAGCACAAGAAUACCAGUCUGUCAAACUUCAAAUGUCAAUUUAUGUUUUAUCUUUCUAUUCUCACUCAAAUUAGAUAAACUUCUGACUUAGGUCCAAGACCCGGAUAACUCCUCGCAAUCCAUCUACCAAUCCUGGAUUCGCUCCAGUGAAAAUCCUAAGGUAAGCAUCUUAAGACAAUUUAAAUAAGAAAGAGAGUUGCAUUAGAGUUCUUAAAUGUGAACCUUGGGGUUGUGGGAGCAGGGUAAACAUUACAAGCACUGAAUAAAUGGCCACGUCCUAGACCAUUGUGCUACCACUUUGAUUUAUAAUUUAUCUUUACGAGAUAACUCAAUUGAUGCUUUUCAACUAAGGCAUUUAGCUACUUAGGUUUAAAAUCAAACUGCCCCUGAAUACCAAGAAAUACUAAAUCUAAAAGGUCAGCUUCUGGAUUUCUGUGGCCUUGAUAAGUGGCUUUUGGAUUUCAAUAUUGACAAACUGACCAAAAGGUCUUUAAGAUUGGAAGGUUAGGAGGAGGAGGAUCAGAUUAUUCUGCCUUCGUUCAGCAUGUUGGUGUUCCAGCUACUGAUAUCUCUUAUGGAGAAGGUAAAAUGAAUAUAUUCUGGUAAUCUUUUUCACAAAGCAAGAGAUGCUUGCAUCAAUGGUUAUUAGGCAGAUAUCCAAUUAAUUUCACCUUAAUGUAAUUUGCUCUGUCUUUUCAUUAAUUCCUUCACAUAGUAAGCUCCUAUGUCAUCUCCAAAACAACCCCCGGCCCUCUUCCCAACCCCCCUGUCCUCUCCCCAGAAGGCAAAAUAAAUGAAAAAAAAAAGAGCAGAAUCUAAUAAGACCACUGAGCAUUCAAAGCAAAACCUCGUACCAUAAAGCAUCCUAAAUAAAUAUAUCAGAGAAAUAAAUAGAAAAACAAUGUAAAAGCUCAAAACUUAAAGCAAUUUUUUUCUUUUUAAGCUAUUCAUGAUUCUUCAUGGUAAGAAUCAAUGAAGGGAUUUACGGACCAUGCAAGGAAAAUUAAUUUUUGUAUAGUAGGACUAAGAAAGCAGUAGCUUCGACAUACAAGCAUUAAGAACCAAAAAAAAAAACUUCUAAAAGCAAAAUAAUCUUACCAUCGUCUUUCCUCAUAACAAUUGGUCAGUGAGUGUGAUGAAAUUACAUCAGCCAGUUCUCUAGCAUCACUUACCAUUUGUAUGUAUGUUCAUUCUCCAUAACGUUGUGUUAUACCACUUGACUUUCAUUACAAGAGAAAUAAUGACAUUAUACUCGUUAGGCUCUAAAGCAGUGUAGUAUGACAAAUCACAAAUUUAGAAAAGCACAAAAUCUCCAUUUCUCUAAAAGAACACCCUACUAAGUAUCAUAGCUCUGGAGAUAUCGAGCAUGUUAGCAUAUCUAGGCAAAAAACUUUAUUUAGAUCUGGUGCAUAUUAUGUAUAACACACUCGUAUCAAUCUAACCAGUAUAGAAACAGUGCUAGAUCAGGAUCAACUCAGUACAUUGAGUUUCUUACCUUGAACAAUAACCUAUAAAGAACAUCUUUUUUAAAAAAUGUCAUAAAAACAAGGGGAAGACAGCAAUAGAAAAAGAAAAUUACAGGAUGAGUUGAGAAUAAGAGUCGGAGUAAAUGGUACAGGGACAUCAACCACAAUGUAUCAAACAUUUAAGAGAAAACAAUGGUGUAAGAUCAAGUAGAAGAAGAAGAGACAGAUUUUUUAACAGCCUCAAAACAAGGUUUGCUUACCCAUUAAUUACAUACCUCCUGACUAAUACACAGGCCAUCCAUCCACUCUCUGCUGCUAAUUGACUAGGCUUAAAAUUUUCAUCUACAACCUGCACUAACUCUGAACAACAUCAAAUAGACACCACAGCCUAGAAAUUAAUCCAAAAGAAUAGAGGGACCUGAUGAAGAUACAGAUGCAAGAUUGAUAGGUCAAAUGAGUACAUUUUGCCAGAUGUCUAGGACAAACUCUAAUAGACACUAAGAUCACCAUGAAUCAAGUUAGUUGUGAAGAUCAAUGUAUUUCCCCACCCAAUUACACUUCUAACGUUGCACAAAAGUCAAAACCUUGCCUCUCCCAUGACACUCUUAGAGCAUAAGAAUCUUGAAAAAAUAUAAUUUGCAGAAGAAAACAAAAUAAAAUCAGAAUCAGACCAAUACACUGAGAAUUCUAGCGAAUCAUCCAAGGCACAAUGUUCUAUUCAGUUGUCUUGACAGGCAUGCAUUCAGACAGAUUCUAGCCAACCCUUUAACAUCACUAGCAUACAAAGAACUGGUAAUGACAGAUGCAUAAUUAUCAUGGACUUAACUAGUUGCAAUCGAGAAGCUUGUCUCCUUAAAAAUGUGCAUGAAACAAGAAUUAACAUUUUUAUUGAGUACCAUCAUCUUUACUUACCACAUUACAAACACGUGUUGAGGCUGUGCAAUCAGAGUAGUUCAUAGUACAAGAAUUAAUUCGUAUAGACAUGACCCAGUUGACCUUAAAAGUACAUCAUGUAUAAAUUUUUUUUUCCUUAAGAAACAUAGACUUAUUAUUUCCAGCACUAGAGAUUCUCUUCCAGCACAAAAUAUAUCAUACUAAGCAAAAACGCUAGGCAUACUCCUUUUUAAGAAUCGGUCCAAUUCUUGAACUUUAUGACUUCUAACGUUUUUCAACCAUCACUUGACAAAAUUUGGUGGCUUGUAGAUUAUCCAGUCUAUCACUCAAUGUAUGAUGACUUCAUCUGGAUGAAGAAAUUUGGUGACCCAAAGUUUCACAGGCAUGUAGCAGGUUAGUUAUAAUUUUCUGCUAGAUAGUAGAAUUUACUGCAAUUGCAUAGACAUCUCAAUGGCUUCUGAGAUUAAAAGUUUCAUCACAUAAUUGGGAUGAGCUAUUAAUUAAUCAUCAGAAAUGCCAAUCUUACAGAAUCGAAAGUCACAAAGCAACUCUUAUGUUCAGUUUAAAACAUAAAUUAAGUUGAUCCCGCUUUUGUAAAUUCCCCACCAUCCCCUUAUUAGUAAAUCAGUUAACAUUUGGCAAUGAAAUCAAAAGUUGCAGGAAUCACAUGCAUAAUAAGACGGAUAGUGUGCAGAGAAGUGCAAAAAAUAUAUUAUUUAUUGGCCCUCUCCAAAUGAAAUUUCUUAGUUCAAGCGUCCAUUUGGCUAAAAGAGUUCCUAUAGAAGCAGGGUCUAAAAUCAACAUGGAAGAAAAACAACAAGACCAGGUUUCACUUAUCAGGCAUUCAAAAAAUAAUGCAUAUUAAAUGGAAACACAACAAAAUACUGAAAAACAUUAAACAUAGCAAAACACAGAUUCAUUUAACAGACAGUAUUCAGCAUAACUGACAGAAAUACUAUGUUGGAGAGAUGUGUUAAAGGAGGAGGAAGAAAAAGAAAAUUGCAAAUAGGAAGAAUUAAGAUAAGGCGACGAAAAACUGACGGGCAUAAAGGUUUCGAGCAGCAAGAAACAACAAUAAUUUAUCCAAUAGAGCCAAGAAACAUCAUAAGAACCUAUGAUUGUUUAGUUAGAUGAACAAUGUCAGAAAUGACAACGAAAAUAUGACUUAAUUCAAAAAUUAAAAAAAAAAAAUCAAAUACAGAAGCUUACUGCUUGUGUCAGACACUACACACUUUCAAGGCACUGAAGGGAACUCAAAAGUUUCAAAAGAAACGAAAGAUUACCUUAGACAAGUCAUUGCAUGCUCAAACACUUGCAGGACACAUCUCACCAAAUAUUAAAAUUGAGAUAAAUUUUCAUGUAUAAAGAAGAAACUUUUCAUAAAAAAUUUGGUAGCAUGAGUAGUACACAGUAAAAUUAGAAUACGAACCUGUAUCGAAUAUAUCAAGUAUCUGUUUCAGGCAUUUGACAAUCGACAUGGAUAGAUACUGAAUCAGACCCCUCUAAUAUGUUUUAAACCUAAAACAGACAUCUUCUAACUCCAUGUUAUAGUAGAUCAUGCAUAUAGUGCUCCAUGACACAUGACUGCUCCACAACAAGUACCAUUAUUGUAUGAUUAAAUUGUCACAUUUCCUAAUCUUCACGGAAGGAUAUAGGAGAAAUAAGAUGCUUUAAAUCAUGGUCUAUAUCGCAUCAAUGUCCAUGAAAGAUAUUAAAAUUUCAGUCAAACAAAUAUAGUCUCACAAAGAUUAGCUGCAUUCCGUAUACAUAGUUAUUGCUCCAUCAUCACUAAAUAUACACAUAUUGUGAUGCAAGAGCAAAUUUAAUAUACAGAUGUUGCUAGAGACGGAUUUGUUAUUCUAUACCACUACUUGUAUAAAAAAAAUUCCUUCAAUUGUGUUUUCAUUCAUGUUGUUUCCUAUCAUCCAUUUUCACAAAAGAGACGAAAGUUCACUCAAACAAUCUAAACCAUUAGAAACAUAGCUGCAUUAUGUACACAAAUAUUGCUUCAUCAUCAGUCACUGUUACAGUGGCUCAUGUGAUUCAACAGCAAACUUACAUUGUUAUAAUGCUACAGGUAGAUUUGUAGCUCCAGAUAUGUUAUACUUAAUAUAAAAAAAAUAUACCCUUUAGUUGUGUUUUCAAUCCUGUUGUUUUCUAUCAUCUAUUUUGUCCAACACAAUUCUACUUCAGCAGUUAAAUCUUUUCAUCAACUUGUUUCUUUUUGUGUACGAACAGUGACAAGUAUUUGGGGUUUAGUAGCACUUCAGCUUGCUGAUGAAGAAUUUUUACCUUUUGAUUAUCUGUCCUAUGCCAAUGAGCUGCAGGUAUGUUUCCUAUAGUGGAGAAAUGAGUAUAAUAUACCUGCUUCUACAAUUGAAAGUAAUCUAAUCUUUUGAUUGUUUGAUCCUGUAACUAGAGAAGUGUGGAAGACUUGAAAAUUGAGUUGUCAGAAAAGGGCAUAAAACUAUUUCCCUUAUUUAACUCUAUCAAGGAACUGAGAAUGGCAGCGACUAAAAUUGCAAACGAGAUAAAGGUACAUCUCCAGCUCUAUUAGUCAAAAACUUGGUAGAGAUCUCUAAGUGUGCUAAAUUUUAUUGAUAGAAGCACAAUUCAUUAGGUGCUACAAGACAGAAAUGUUUGGGCUUCUGUAUCAAAAAAUGACCACUACAAAGUAAGAGAAUUGAAUGACAGACUAAUGAUGGCAGAGCGAGCAUUCACUGACCGCGAAGGACUUCCUGGAAGGACAUGGUACAAGCAUUUGGUAAGCUUCUUUAAAUCACCUGCAAGUGACCUUGUUGUAGCUAAUUAAAAAUUCAGUUAAGUGCUUGUUAUUUCACCUUGAUUGAAGGUUCUUAUUUUUCUUCCAUUACAAAGCACAAAAAUGACAUCUACUUAGACCAAAGAAUUUCAGGAAAGAAUAAUCACAAAAGCAUUUGGAACAUCUAGCAUACCAAAAUGCGUGCAGCUGAAAAUGACACUUUUGAUAACUGAAACCAAAUACUGACUGAUGCUUUAUAUCAUUCAGAUAUUUGCACCAUCAAAGCACAAUGAUUAUGGUUCUAAGUACUUCCCUGGAAUAGAUGAUGCCAUCGAAAAGGCCAAAAGCAUUAACACCACAGACUUGUGGCUUGCAGUACAGCAUGAAGUCUGGAGAGUAUCUAGAGUGAUUAAACAUGCUUCACUGGUCCUCAGUGGUCAGUUAACAUGACUACCGUCAUCUUAUACCCCUAAAUUCCACGUGUGUAUUUGCUAUUAAUACUAAAACAAUUGGGUGACAUCUGGUGGACUUGCUUUAGUUCAAGACUGAAUCUGGGGAUUUUAUAUUGCAUUUUGUUUUUUUUCUUAGGUAUACUAUUGACUGUUCCUCAUUUGACUCACUAAUGGUUAGGAAAAAGAACUUGAUGGUCACAAAGGGAGAUAACCUGUAGUUAAGCUAAACAUGCAAACGCCCAAUCUGAGACCAUUUCUAAUAACCAUGUAGUCCAAGUCCUAGCUGCAUGAUACAAAAUUCCAACAUAAUUUCUCAGGGAAAUGAUUGGCAACUAAAUAUUUUACAGUUUAUUCUUGAUUUCUCAAAUUUGGAAAAUCAGUCUAUUGGUGUGCUUCCAUCUGAAGUGAAAUUUUCAAGAUCAAUACCACAGACAGGCUCUCACAAUGCCUCAAAAAUUUCCAUCCAUCAUUAUUGCAGUUAUCUCAAACGGGAGAUAAAUCCAAUAUUUAAAGAACUUCAUAGUGGUUGAGCAAACAAAAUACUACCUAAUCCUGAGUCCAACAGCACUAUAACAAAUUCUUUUGACAGUUUCACAGUUGAGCCAGUAAUGUGGCCUAGGCCAACAAAUAAGAAUUAAAGUUUCAAAAUUAGAGGUCUAAAUGGAGUACAACAGUUUCUGACAUACUGCAGUACCAAGCUAAAGGAAAGUUGGAUGUCAACACAAAUGAAAGCAUCAUUUCCAUUGCAAAAAGAAGAUAUACAUGUCACAAUAUGCUCAUUAAGCUGUACAACUAAAGCUAGGUUAGAAAUGUAAAGCAGUUAGGAACACAAAAAUCUGUAUUUCAGAUUUGGUAAAUACUGUACAAUUAUUUCUACUGAACCUACAAUAUAUACAAUGAACAACAGUUAUUUCCGAGUCCUCUACUUCCAAACCUUAAUUGCACCAUCCCUACUGCUCGAAAUCAGAAGCCUCUGGUUCAGCUUCACAGAAGCCAAAGAGAGGACAGAAUCACGGUGACAUCCUGCAGAAUCAGUGGCAGCACCAGCAAGGAUAGUCUUUGUGGUCAAUCUCAUUGUCAAAGGUCGUCUUCUGCCCUCCUGUUUGUAAAAAAGAUCAAUAUAAAUUAGUAGGCCAUCAUCCCAGAACAUAAGUGAGGGGCUAUUUCUCGUCCAAAUGCAGCUAGGUAAGUUUACAAUCACAGGCAAAAAGAAGAAGCGAUAGAGAACCAUUGAACUAAAGAAAAUCUUCAGUUUGAAAACGUACGACAUUUGAAUCCAACACUACCCCCCCCCCCGGGGGGAAAAAAAAGCCCAACCAUCAGUCCAGUUUUCUCCUUCCAGGCAUGGCCCAGGAUUUUAAACUAGUACCUUUACAAUGAGAAGGGAAGAAACUUCUCAAGGAUUGCCAAAAAAACAUACAACUUAAGAGUCCCUAAUAAUUCUGAAUAGAAGCCUACCCAAAUUUUUGAGAACUUCAUUAGAAACAAUUCAUGUCCCAAGUAAAAAAGAGAAACAAAUCAUGAUGAUGCCAUUAACAUACCUGCACAACUUGCACACCGUAGUAAGACUUUGUCUCAAAACUAUCAUCAUUUCCAACUCCCUUUAUAGAUGGUCCACAUACACAAUAACUUCGAUCAGGGCUGAAGCAUAGAUAUGCAAGGGUCAAUAGAAUUGCAAUGACUGCCCAAAUGCAUAAAGAAAAUUAGAAAAUGUACCUGGAAUGGUCCCAGCGACGUAUUUUCAAGUCAGUACCCCCUGUCAAUAGAUCCCCGCCUGGCAACGGAAGUAAAGCACGGAUGCCAGGAAGACGUGGAGGUGGUUCAUUCAACUCAUCGAUUCUAUAUUUCGAAUUAGCACUUAGCCUGAUAUCUGAUUUGGCAUUCCCCUUGCUGGAUGCUCUGGCUAAUGCCCAAGGCGAGUCAGAAAUUUCAGCAUCCGUCUCAUUAUUUGCUACCCUCAACACCUGCAAAAAGCAGAAUAAGUAGCACAAAAAUCCACCAGUAUAAAAGCACGAAAUGUUAUUGCAGUGAUUGAACGACAGGUGCCAACUGCUCAUUCCAUUCAUCAGUCUAACUACAAUAUCGGGGUUUCGUAUAUCUUAUUCGAGUGAAUUUCACAUUUAAAAUCUAAUUGUCUGUGACUUCCAAAGUAUCCCAGCACAACAAGUAUAUUCUCUCAAAAAUUACUCCCCAGAUGUACAUUAUACUUCCCCCUCCAAUCCUUCUGUAUCUCCAUAACUAAUCAUCCCUCCCAAGCAUGCAUGUUUACCAGCAAGAACAUCUAUAUGGAUCAUAUUCUUUCUAAAAUACAACAUCACAUCAAUCAAUUUAAUCACAUUCAGUCAAAUUUCACUCUUUUGCUAGAUUCUUUACUAUUUUGUAAAAAGUACAAAGUGAUCCAACUGUACCUGAUGGCAGCUUCCAUUUUCUGCAUUCCAAAGAGAAACUUCAUUACACCCUGCUGCAACAUAAACAAGAGGUCUGGUAGAUAGGGAGAAGGAGGUACUAGGAGGAGGAACAAAAAGGCUCAUUUUCUCAAUUGGGCAUGCAAGAGAAUACUGCCAUGAAUUGACAGGUAUUCCAAACCUCAAAUCCCAAAGGGUAAGCACGCCUCUUGAUGACCCAGUGACAAACCAGUUCCCACAAGGAUCUGCAACCAGAGAAGAUACAUAACCCUCCUCAGGGACCACUUUUGAAUUCCAAACAUUUGAACUUGUUCUUGUAUCCCACAGAUGAAUUCCACAAUUCUGGGUACUGUACAAAAUCAUUUUGCAAGCACCACCAUCAGGGGAGUAGUUCAAAAGGUUUAAUAUAGCACCUUCUCCAACUCCGUUCUUUUUAACAUCAGCUAUGCCUGAAUAUUUCUCCACAACAUUGCCCAGUCCCCCGGAUAUGUAAUCAACAGAGAACAUGUGUAUAGCUCCAUCACAAGCUCCAACAACAACUUGAGCAGAACCCUGGAUCACAGCAACACACAGUGCUCGACUUCCAUCUAAAGAAUAAGUUAGGCGCGACCUGAAUGAGAUAUCUUUUUCUAACCUUUUAGAAUCCCAAAUUUUAACAGUAGAAUCUUCAGAUGCACUUACGAAAAAGCUAUGGUCAGUGGAAACAGCUAUGUCAUUAACAGCAGAGUGGUGAUCCUGGAGAUGCGCAACCAACACCCCACGAGGCCUCCACCCUGAAUCUGGAAUCGUCGAUGUUCGCCCAAAAGAUGGUACAUCUGCACCCUCACUUGAAGCAGAAUUACUUUCAAUUGAAAGGGAACUCCCUUUUGUUGUACCAGACACUCCCAUUUCCAGAAACUUGUUAUUUACAAAGGCUGUUUGAUCCAUUUCCCUGUCUUCAACUUCAUGUACAACCCUUCGCAAUUGUGUGGAACCACCACCAAUGCUGAUUGAGCCUGAGAUAAACUUAGGAGCUGGAUCUGAAUUGGCCAAGCUAAAUGAUUUACUAACUGGAUCCAUCCAUGGCAAGGAUGCAGAACCAAAACCUAAAGAACCACAUGGUAAUGAUGAAUCAGAGACUGUUGGAGAGCCUGCAGCUCGUUUGUUAUCAACUUUAAAGUAAUACAAAGGAAUGCCUUGUGAUGAUUUCUCCAUUAAACUGUUCAUUCCACUAAGAGGUGGAGAGAUAAAACCGGGCAACUGCAACUUUUCAGAAUCCAGGAAGUCGCCAGAAUCCAUAGCCAUAGGACUUUGCACUGAGUUGCCCACAACUUUUGAAUUCUGGUCAUUAUCAUUACAAUCUGCAAGAUCCAGAGGCAGAUUUGCACGUUCAACAACUUUAUUGCUCUGAAGAUCUCUUUGUCGGUCAGACCAGCACAUCAUUGGAUCCAGCUCCUUCACCCCUCUCUGAAGAAAAUCCACUGUUUCCCAAUUUUUAGCCUGUGAGUCACUGUUGUACCAUAUUUUUCGCUGUCUCUCCAGCAUGUCUGAGCUCCUGGCACUUUCUAAAACACGAUAGUAUCUCUCUCUUGACACUGGCGGCUCUAGGCAUGAAAAAAGAGCCUUUUCUGAAGCUAAAGAUGCUGGUUGUCUACGCAGGAAGGUGCGUAUAACAGGCACAAGGAAAACAUAUGAAUCUACUGCACCUAAACUCUCACUGCUAGCUGCAAUGAAUGUGACAUCGGCCCUCCUGACCCAUUGACUAGGAUAACACAACAGUGGAAAAGCGUGUUCUAUCAUCUCAAGCAAGAUUCUCUUCCUUAGAAAUCCACUUUUGCAUAAAAUAGCUAGGCAUUCCAGUGCAUUCACAAUUACAGCCUCAGUUACAUCGCUUAAAGCCUGCUCAAUGUAUGGCAAAAGAUAUUCCUCGACACUCCUUUGUCCCACGAAAAAGCAGACAUAUAUGAUCUGUCCAUAAAACACUGCCCUGAGUUGCUCAUCUCGGUCAUUUAGGAAAGCAGGGAGGAUGGGCAACAAGAAAUCAUUACUCUGCCUCUGGCCAAAAAACCAGCAAAGAUUGCCAAUGUCAUGCAGGAGUGCUCUCCUGAUAUUUGGUGUUUGCUUUGGGCCCAUCACAAGUUCUUGAAUGACAUCCGCAAUAGACUUCCUUAAUUGCACAAGCUGUGCAUCACUAUUUGGACUGUAUCUCCUUCCAGAUGUAUCAGAGGAUGUAGAGAGUGACUUCUGUGGCGAACUUGAUUCACUGAGAACUCCUGCCUCACUCAAACUUAUAGAGUGAAUCAAAAACCCAUAAGCAGUAAGUGCCAGCUUAGAUAUAUUGCUUGCAUAACAUAUCCUUACACUUUCCUCUGGAUCAUCAGGGAGCAUGGAGAGCAUUGGAAGAAUAUACUCGGGAAAAAUUUUAGCAUCACUGGGUGGAAAAUCUCUGACUAAGGGAAGAAUGUCACAUAAAGUCUCUAGGGCAGCACAACGCACAAUUGCAGCUGGAUCUGAGAGCAUUGCAAUAACAUAUGGAAGCACACGCUGCAAUCGAUCUUCAUCAUCAAUGUAUAAGGAACACGACUUCAAUAGAAGCACAGCUCCUCUCCUCAUGAAUGGCAGUUUGACAUUUCUUAUGCAAGAACAGAGCAAUGAGGCAAUCAGAACCAUACCUUCACAGCUCAUGAUAUCUUGAGGUAAUGGUAGAAAAGGCAUACCAAAAGUGUCUGACUGGUUGUCAUAAUCCGACAUUAAUGAGUUCAAAUCACUUGUUGUUAUCUUUCUUAAGAAGGGAUGGUGACUUCUGUUAAAUAUAUUAGAGAUACUCUGAAUCAGCUCAUCAGGAGAUUGCACAUCACACUGCUUUCUGUUUUGAGAAUAUGCAGAUCUAGCCACACCUUCCAGCAACGGUUUCAUGCUAUGAAAUCGAUUAUUUUCCUUCACAUCCCUGAGUAGAUUACCAACAUCACCAAGAAGAUCAAACCUAUCAUGAAUCGAGCCCUUAUCCACCUUUUCUCUUUUGCUACUGGUGUCCUUCUCCACAUUUGUAUUAUGUUGUGCAUCUGUCCCAUGCAGAGAUUGAUGCAUAGCAUCUAAAGAAAGCGCCUCCCCAGAAACAGUCUCCUUGACUACACUACUGCUCAUCAUUUGUCUAAGAAUCUCUUGAAAAGACGUCUGGCAUAUUAAAACCUACACCAAGGAACUUUCUAAAUAAGCUUGAGCACAGCGUAAUUAUCACCAAGAUAAAGAUCAAGCACCAAAAAUGCCUUACCCUUGCAUCAGAAUUAAGGGGAUUCAACAAGGAAUAGAAAUUGUGGAGAAAUGGAGAGAAGUAGCCAGGAAACACAAUGCCAGAGAAGUUCUGCAGAUAGCUUUCAGCAGAAAAACGUGCCUCCGGAUCCAAUUGAAUCAUAUGAAGAAUCAUCUUGCGGAUUCCUGAAUCUGGAAUCUUUAUGCAAACAAGAUAAAGACCAAAAAUAAAAGUUAAUUUAGAGAUUCAAUAAACACUCUAAGUGGACUAGUAGGCAAACACUUCAACCUAUAUAGUGAAGUCAAUGUUCCAUGAAAUUUCUUGAAAGAGAUUAAUUGGGAAAAUAUGAUGACACAAGAAGAAGCAGAGAAAGGUCCUUUGGUUAGAGCCAAGUUAAAAUGGCAUUGACUAGAUCUUACUUUUUCUAGAUGUUGGCUAGGAUCAUAUUGUCCUCUACGAUAAGCAAGCAGUUGAGACAACUCAAACAAUGGCUGACCCUCGAGGAAUAGCUCAGCUAUUACACACCUGAAGCAAGAACAUGAAAUUGAAGAAAAGUGUAAAUCCAUUGUAUCACAAGGCAAGAGCUUAUUGCCAUAUAGAUAAAGACAUCCUCAUCAAAGAUUUGUGCCUCAACCAUAAAAGCAACCAUCCAAAGCCAAAAAAGUCAAGAAAAUUAGUUUGUGAACUGCUUUGUAUAACGUAAAAAGAGAACCUCUUGACCCAACCAAUAUGUAUAUACCAAUAAAAUGUAGCAACUAAAGCAAACAAAACUUAAAAUGAUAGACCACAACUGGAUUGCUUGGAUGAAAUAUGUAGAAAUGAUAGUAAUUAAUUUGAUUGUGCUCUAACAUGAACGCUCACUUGAGGGCUGUACAUGAUUAUGCAAGCCCAAUUAAUCUCCUAUACACUAGCAGUGUCUGUCAGGCCUGGAUGCAUGACAACUAAUUUUAAUUUCAAUUUGAAAUCCAAGUUUUACAUGGCAAGCACCCAAGGCCAACAGUGCAUUCAUUGUCGGUGCAUAUAAGAUUAAUCCAUAGACAAGAGCUAAAACAAAUGCUGUUGAUCUAGAACCCUAAUCUCUUUUUCAGAAAUACCAAUUUGAUUACCACAUGAUAUAGAAGUAUAAGUUAUUGCAAAGAACUUUGGUUGUUUAUGGACUCCUGCAAAAGCAACUGAUGUGAAGCGCAUCACAUUCCUUGAAUGGGUUUGGGGCAAUUUCAUUGCUGUUGUUGAGGAAUAAAUCAUUGAUCUACUUGUAGGAUUUGAUACAAAAGGUAAAAGAAUCUUUACCCAAUUUUAUUAAAGAUCUAUUGUCACCAAUGUACUGUAUUAAACAAAGAAUCUCACAGAUCAACAUAGUCCUACUACUUUCACAUACUUCAUCCAUGUGGGCCAAUUAUAAGUCCCAACCACACUUUAGUCAGCCCCCACAAAAAAGAACACAUUUUUUUCUCCAUGUUUUGACUUACUUAGUAAGGUGACAAUGUUAUUUGGCUAUUUGCACAACAGCAAGAUCGUCAAAACAAAAGAUGAACUUGCACAGCAAGCUAAAAGCUACAAGAUGUGAGUUCAAGGAAAUAACCUGUUCGAGCUUGCCAGAUCAAGUCAUUCAAAGUAACAGGCAGAAAGAGGGUAGAAAAUGAUACUGUUCAUAUAUAGCGCAAAGUCCAGGAUGCCAGAGAGAUACUAUCAUCUAUGUCCAAUAAGAAACAAUGAUUCCCACUCACACAAACGAUUUCAGACAAGUUUCUGACACAUAUCAAGCUCAGAUCCAGAAUUCCAUCAAAAGAUGAAAUGACUAUUGUUUUAAAAAUGUAAAGCAAGACACAAAAGUAGAAAUUUUAUCAUAUAAUAAAGAAAGACAAACAUGUGAUACUAUCAUCUAUUUAAUAAAAUAUCAAUAAGACAAGCAAUGUUCCUUAGAUGGAAAAACAAAUCCUGGAUCAAGAAACAUCUUAUUGUUAAGUUAACAUAAUCAGAUACUUUACUUCCAAGUUCAGGUUCUUAUAAAACAUCAGUGAUAUUUAUGCUCAAGCAGCAUAUGCAGGUAUAAGUAAAUUAAAAUUUCAGGGCAAACAAAGACUUGCACAAGGAAAAAAUUAUUCUUUCAAAAUGGGAAAGAAGGUCUCAUCAUAUCUUCAAUUCAGUAAAUUGCAAUCUAGUGUGUGCAUUUGUGUAUUUCAAUUCGCAUAAAUAAUUUUAAAAGCAUGUAUAAGUUUAGUUAAUGCCACUUCUCAUGUACUGGGAAAAGCAUAUUUACCACCUUUAGGCAUCACAUUAGAUUUCUCAAGCACCACUGCCCAUGCUUUUACAAGACAACAACCCUCUUGGCAAUAAAACAAAAGCAGUGCAAGGGGCUAAUAUAGAACAAUUUGCAGCAGAAGGGGCACUAAACUUGUUAGUGAUAUAGGCUGAAGCCAAAGAGAAAAUCUGGAACUUAAACAAUAACCGGGAAGUAAAGGAUUCUGGGUCAAUUGAUAAAAAAUUAGCAUAGGCAGCAACAAUUGUCUUUUGAUAGUAUUGCAAAAGAAAAGACCCACAUUGACCAAAAAAUCAACUGUCACAAUACAUGUUGCCACUUUCAACACAAUUUCCACUUAUCUGCACACUGACGUAAACAUGAUUCUACUACUAUGGAGCAUUUAAGAAGCAAAUGCUCCUUGAAUACCAAAACUUCAAGAACCAAAGCGAUAAAUUAUUUCCAGUGUAUUUUUUAAUAAAGUAAUCUUCAAUUCCAAAUUAUCAGCUCAAAUGCAGAAAACUUACCCUACAGCAAAGAUGUCCAUUGAUGGUUUUAAUGGUGCAUCUUGAGCAACUUGCGUUUCACCUCCAUGCCCAUAAAAUCUCUGAAAAAUGAAAGCAACUUCUAUUAGUGAGUAUAGACAAAAGGCAACUGUCACAUUCACUAAAUGCAAUUCUCUCUCUCUCUCUCUCUCUCUCUCUCUCUUCAUUCAUUUUCUUUGUAGAAAAGAACUUCUAAUAUUUCACAGUCUAGUUAACCAUGCUAUAAAUAACCAAUUUUCCAUUUGAAAGAGGAAAAGAAUCAAUCAAUACUUGGUAACAAUUUGAUGAUCAUGUGUCAUGAAUGGUCAACAUAGGAUCAAAAUUAAUCUCCAGUCCGAAUUAGUCUUACAGGGGAUGAUAAUUUCGCUGAUUGUGACCAUUCAGGUGAUCCAUACUUCAGGUAUUGGAUUCUUCUACAAGACUUUUGUUUUUGCCUUUUAUUUUCUACACUUCCUAAUGCAUUUUGCUUCCCAUCAUCAUUAGCAUAAUGUUUAUGUCCUUUCUGCACUAGAAGAAACCUAAACAUAUGUUGUUGUACCUAACAGACAAGGAGAAAAGAAAGUCCAUUUAUUUGUCUUCUUAUAUCCAUCCAUAACCUUAUCACAACUGUGAUCAUGAAUCCAAUAAAGCUUACAAAGGCAGCUGCACAAACUAAACAUAAAUGGUCAGGGCUACCAAGAAAGUUGUGAAAAUUGAAAAACAAUAUUUAUCGACCAAAAAGUUCGAGAAGAGUUUCCUUGUUUUACCUUAAUUGGACAAAGGGAGAACUCUGAAGUAAGAGAUCUAGAUGUCAAAAAAGCAAUUAAUAUGAAAUGUCUGUAGUAAUGAAUUUCAAUUUUGUCAAGGGGGCGAAAAAACACACAGUUACGUAAUUGCACAUAGAUUCAGCAAGGGUGUCAUUUAGUAAUUGUCAUGGUAAGUGCUGUUUCCUUAAACAUAAAUAAGCCGUCUGCCUUGCACUAAUAGGGGAAAUUACGAAUGUUUAGAAAGUUCAUCUUCAAAAGGACAAGGAGGAGGAAGCAAUAUUUGGUUGUUACUAGUUGUCAGGCAAAUUAAGAAAACCACUCCAUCGAACUAAAAGAAUCACCAAUAAAGCUGAUCAAGAUAGUCAAGUACUUUUAUUGUGAGUUAAGCUAGUGUCUUUGAAAAGAAAUACAACCAAAAACUCAUUCUAGCACUAUGUAUACAGACAACCAAAAUUAACUUUUCAUCUGAAAUUGGAUCUCACCAGCACAAACGAAUAGGAAGCAGACAACAUUCUCCAGAAUACACCAAAAAGGUCAUUCUUCUAGGGCACUUCUUACAGAAAAUAAGAAGUUACUUCCAUUAGUCACCAAAAGGAAAGAAGUUGACUCAUAUUAGGCAGGCCCUUUUAAAAAAUGAGAAAUAUAUGUUGUUAACUGCAUAGUGUUUCCCCCUAUCUUUAUGUUUUAUGACACCAGCCAACUGAAAGGUUGAAAGUCAGCCACUCUAAUCAAACAAGCAAUCCAUUAACAAUAUGAAAAAUCAUGACAAGAAGUUCAUAUAUCUAGCAAAACUUCUCUGCCAAGCAAUUUUAUACGUCCUCCCAGACCUGAAUAAUGAAAAGCAUUGUUUGGAUUGAGAUGAUUUCAGAUAAAAUAAUUUGCUUCACAAAUUCCAAUUACCUUUUUAUCUUCCCAGUCACCUUUUUAUCUCACAUACAUCACAUCAUAAAAAGCGCUACAGUAAUUAUCUCAAAUAAAUCAUCCAAAUAAACUCCUAUCCAAACAAACCCUCAUAACUAGAAUCCAAAUUUAUUUCAUUAAGCAAAAACCAGAAAGGUACAAUCAUAAAGCAAUGCGCCAAUGAAAAAAUUAGCAAUUCAAAGUAACAGAAGAUCUAAGCAAUUUUAUGAUCAUCUCAACUGUAUCACAUUCUAGGCAGGAUAUUGCCAAAAUCCCAAGGCUUAUGAGAUGCUUUAAAUUUGUAUUAGCAUUAACCCCUAUAGUACUAGGACGAAAAGUUUAAUUUGAAGUCAAGAACUAGAAAAGCUCAAACUAAAAUAUUAUUUCCCAUCCUGCAUAUGUUAACAUAGAUUUUCACAUAAAUAUUAGAUGAAUUACAAAAUUAAAUUAAAUUAAGCUUAUCUUGCUAAAUCUCUGGUUGGGAAAAAAAAAAGAUUAACUAGAAUAAGAAACCAACCUCAGGAGCAAGGUAACACCGCCUUCUUCCACCAGUGUCAAAGAAAAACGAAAAAUCAGAAGGAUCAUCAUGUGGAAUAUACGUCGGUUUGAAUGAUGCAAAAUCAGCAAGAUAAAGCCAGUUCCAGGAAGUAACCAGAACAUUCUCACACUUAAUAUCACCUGCAUCAGAUUAAAUUAAGUUACUUCUUCCUAAGAAUCAAUAUAAUGUUGCUAACAGAGGAGAUUAAAUUUACACUUAUCUUACCAUGACAAACUCCAUUUUCAUGGCUCUGUUUUGCAGCAUAAAGCAGCUGCAAGACCAAAAAUUUCAUUAAGCCCUAACUGCAACUAAAAGACUAACACUGCAAUGAGAAGAAAGAAAGAAACCUGAAAAGCCAGCCAUUUCUUCUCAACAAGACUGAGGAAAGGUCGAGUGCUCAACCGAUCAUGAAGAUUAUUAAAAAAGUAUUGCCUCAACAAGUAGGCAGCUUUGUCAGUUUCAAGCCAAAACUGCAGCAUACAACAUUUGCAAAAUAAGACCAUUUUAAGCCACCAAAAAAGCAAGAAAACAAAACAAUCAUAAAGUCUUAAACUCCUUAAAGCGACUAAAAACCACAAUUAUUCAAUCAUUCAGAAGGAUUCAUCAGUCAAUGAGACAAUUAAACAUCUAAAUGUAGAUAAAGUAAAAGCCCUCCUUUUGGUGUCAAAAAUUACUGUCAGUUUAUGUCACACCAAAACUGCCCUUUAGAGUUAGUAUUAAAACUACUCAAAUCUACUUUCAUUUUACAUCAUGAUCUCAAAAACAGUAGCUUCAUUUAUUAAGAAAAAGAAAAGGGCAAUAUAACCAUCUUUCCAGCAAGCACAGGCAUAGGAUAUGCCAUAUACACUAGUCUCCAGAAGUUAUUUCUGCCUUUCUUCAUUUUCAGUCGAAACUUCAGGGAAUUCGAAACCUAAAUUUAUGGUCAUCACCUAAACACAUUCCUACCAAAUGUAAAAGGAAGAGAAAAAAAAAAGAAUGCAAAGUAUUUCCAUCAAAGUAUCAGCCUCGUGGUGCCCCCAAAUUCCAAUGAAAAAAACAAUUUCAGACUGACAUGAAUGAUUUACAAAUUUGUCUUUAUAAACCUUCAAUUGGUAGCAUAAACUAAAUUAUUUUAAAUAAAUACUACUUUACAAACACUAUUUUUCCCUGAGCUCCACUUUCUCCUAAUACCCAUAUUGGUAAACCAUAAUUCUACCUAGCUUGUAACAAAGUAACCGGGAGAAAUUCAAAUAGCAGCAUCACUUUGAUAAAGCAUUAAUCUGAUGCAACUCAUUUCCGCCACUGAUGUCCAUUGCUUUUGGCAAUCCCAAAAGGAACACUAGUUCCCAGAGCUCGACUAUGAACACGAGCUUAAUAUUUACUUCUGGCCCUUUGCUUACUACAUAUUACGCUCUCAUUUAACUGCUUUAUAAGAUGCUGCAACCAAAAAUUAAAAUGCAUCCCUUUUAUUAAAUAUGCUUCACACUACAAUUUCUCUUCCACGUUCUUCUAAGGAAUGAAGUACUAAUCUCGGCAAGGGUGAUACCAAUUUUAGCCCUAUCCUCAAACUAAAAUACAAUUAAAAUCAAUUCACAAAUAUCAGUGCGAAGGUGCAUUUAUGUACAAAUAAAUGUACUUCAGAGUAAAAGUAGAGGCAGACCUGGAAGGGCCAGACAUGAGGGUGAUCGAGGCCAGUGAAUACACCGCGAAUUUGGGAGAGGCGGCGCUCGUAGUCGCGUAAGUCAAUGGAGUCCCCUCUUUUGAAAUAAACCUUGACUAGCACAAGUCCUUCGUCGUGCUUGCACAGGAUCGAUUUCAGGAAUCGUCCUCGGCCCAAGACUUCUUUCAAUACUAAAUUAUAAGAAGACGGUAAAUCGUGCAGGUAAUACUCCGUCGCCGAAGCUUGCGUUGUUCGCGCGAUUUUAUUCCCCAUUCUGAGCUUGUGUUGUUUUCCCUCCAAGCGUUUGAAUUAGCUAGGGUUUUGUUUUCUGUUUUGCUUUUAAUUGUUUCUUUCACAUUGCGCAGGUCCGGUUUAACGGUGACCGAAGCGCGGCAGAGAGGGGGAUCGGAGGCGGAGGUGGUGAUGGGAAGGGACGGAAAAGGGGGGAGCUGCGGUUGCGUGGGACUGUGUGGCGGAAGCAAGGUAAUGCUACUGCAGCGGAUCGUUAAUUUUCCAGUGGUUUAUUGCCAUGUCAUCAACGAUUUGUUUUCACGUCUUGCACAAGAUUGUGAAAAAGCGUGGACGUAAACUAUUCAAUGGAAAUUGCAUUUUCUCACGCUUUUCACCACUCCACUUUUUUUCUUUUUUUUUUAUAAAAAAAAAACCAGUCAAUGCUCUUUGCGGAUAAAUUUUGGCUUCUCCUUUUGUUGUGAAUUCUUGUGCUUUGUGUUAUAAGUAAGUUAUUAAAAAUCAAAUGUCAUAAUUCGGUCAAUCAUUAGAAAUUAAACAUUAAUGGUGUAAUAUAUCGUAUUGUUUUUCAUAAUUUAUACCAAAAUCCUACUAUUAAGCAAUAAAUUGCCUUCCAUAUAUUAACAAAUCAUCCAAAAUCCUAGUAUCGGGUAUUUCUACUAAAACAAGUUUUUUAAAUAUAAUGUUACAGUAUUACACAAUAACUCAAAAAAUAUUUUAUCCAUACAAUAUAUCAAAUAUUUCAAAAAAAAAUUAUAUACACUGUUACAGUAACAUUUUUCAAAAACAUUCCAAAAAACAACUAAUCCAAACGGAACUAAUAAGGGUGCCUUUGGGAGUUGAGGGUUUGGACUGAAAAGAAAGGGAGAGAAGAGAAAAUCUGAUUUUCCUUUGUUUGUGAGUUUUUAGUAAGAAGGAAAAGAAAAAAAUGGGAGGAUGAAUAGUAGAUAAAAUUUUUCCUCCCAAAUUGAAAAGAAAUGAAGAGAAAGUUAGAGGAACCUUAUAAAAUUUUUUUAAAAUACUUAUUUUAUCCUUAAAAAUGUCUUGAACAAAUAUAAUGACUUUCAUAUCCAAAAUCAUUCCACUAAUUCUCAAAACUCCCAAAUAACAUAACAAUCCCUUCUCUCCUCUCGUAACUUAAGUUCUCCCUUCUUCACUUUUCUAUCCUAAACUCCCAAACUUAGCCUAAGUGUGUAUUUAUAUCCUUUUUUGUUCUUUUGAAGGUGGCUAGCAUUCUCGAUAAAACAUAAGAAGUUCUCCGAUGCAAUUAGGAGGAGGUACUUGCAAAUAAAACAAUAGCUUCCCCCAAUCAAACUAUUAAAGUUCAAGCCAAGUCGUGCAAGCACAAUUAGCGCAAAUCUUCAACGUUACGUGUUAGAUACUUGGAUAUAUCUGUGAAAUGUUUUUUCGUGGAAUUAAACUUCUGCAAAUAUGAAUCAAUUAUUAAAUAAAAGAAAUAAAUUGAUUUCCUUUUUGUGCCCUUAUCGCCAUCAUAUUUACCUAUUCCCUGUAAUUUGCUAGGCUUGAUUAGAUUUAGAAGCAAGUAAAACAACGUUCUCAAUCGCGAGGAAGAAACCAUUCGAUCAUCAAAAAGAGUACGCCCAUAAGAAUUCCACACAGUAUGGAUUCACAGAUCGGACAACUCAAGGAACAGAAGAACGCACAAGAAUUUAUUUAAUAUGGUAAAUCACAGAUCACCAUAGAUUCAUAUAUCUAGGUAUAAUCAAAGGCGUAUUUACAUUUCCAAGUUCAUAAAAAACAAAGAAAUCAGAAGAUCAACAUUUGAUAAUCACAGCCGAUGACGAUGACGAUGAUAUUUAUGAUCUUCAGUCUUCGUUCUUAAUAGGAUCUUCAUAGUUGGGAUCAUUUACGUCGAGAGCUUCUUUGUGGAUCCGUCCUAGCUCAGCAUCGGAGUAACCGUCACCGGACCACGUGAACUUGCCGCCAUGGCCACCUUUCUUCGGCGAUCCAUUCAUGCCUGUAGCCGAUUUCCUGUCUCUCCUGAUCUCCUGACCGUUGCCGGCCUUCACAUUUGUCUUGGAGCUUUUGCCGGAAUUCUUCAUCUGUCUCUCUCCACUCGUGGCUCUUCUGUAUCUACUCUAUCAAUUGAAGCGAGUGAGAACAGGAAACCCAGGUUGGCAGAAUUUAUAGGAAGCUCGGGGGUUUGUACAUUGGGAGCGGUAUUUUAAUCGCGACCUUGUGGGCUGAUCAUGUAACAUGACAGCGACUGUAACAAAUGGAUAAGAACGGACUAUUCUGUCAUUUUUUUAUUUUAUUUUUUUGGGUAUGGGAACAAACUCCGGUUUUCUUUACCAGCCAAAUCAAUGAUCAUACACUCAC
rnacentral:lncRNA from 1 species